UUUUUUUUUGUCUAGUACACUGAAAAAUCAAGGGGGGCAAAUAGGUGCAGUCCCAUAGCGAGAGCUUCAUUGAUAGAUUUUUCUAGUGGACAACAUCUUCCUACAAUCCUACUGGUGAUUUGCAAUCUACUUCCAGGGACGAAGUAGUACAGAUUAUUCAGCACAAUUAUUUUUGUCUAGCACACUGAAAAAUCAAGGGGCAAUUAGCUGCAGCCCCAGAGCGAGAUCUUCAUGAAAUCCACAUACCUCUUUGUCCAGCCCGGCGCAUGCGGAUCGUCUUUGCCAGUUGACUGUUCCAAGUCUGGCGCUGACAAGCUCAGGCCAUCGCAGGUGCUGUUCAGGCCUAGUUGAACUGUCAGUGCCGCAUCGCCCACAUCACCAAUGCUCGAAUCGGCGGCCGCGAAGGCCAGAGUUUGGACGGGGUCGCCGUCCGGUGGGCAGUCGCCGCCUACGAGAUCCGGCAACGGGAACCUGCCAAAACAACAGAGCACUCCUAAUUUGCGCCAGCAAACAUACCUGUCAAUCGGAUCUGAUAGAUACUCGAAUCCAUUGCCUCCCGCCUCCGUCGUCGCCAUAGCUCGGAGCUUGUCCCACUGUGCGGCGCUACAAGGGAUCCGCGAUAUGUUUAUCCAUUGGCGAACGCGCCGUUGCGCCGGAACCCAUCGAUGGCACACGUUAUGUGGAUUCUGUACCAACGGAACAGACAGAAGCUCGCCGUGAAGUUACCCCAUUAUCACGGCGACGUCUCGGUAUGAUCCUGUUCAAUGGUCAUAUGAUACCUUUCUCUAUACGAGCAUGUUGAUUACAUGCAUGCACGCGUCGCUGUCUUACUGGCACGCCUACCAGGAGCAGGCGAGCCCGUCCUCUCUAUCGCCGUGUUCUGAUACCCCAAUCUGAUCCCUCAGCAAAUCAAGAAGCCAAGUAGUGAAAGUACAUCGGUUUUAAGCAGAUUUCAGAAAAUGUUCAGUGAUGAAGGUGAAGGAAAAAAUUCAAACCAAAAGAAAAUUAGUGGCAAAUCAAUGCUUCAUAGGUCAGCAGAUUAUUUUUCAGUAAGAAGGAACCAGAUGCAGAUUCAGUACACAGGUAAAUUUGGAACUUCAGAGGGACAACAUUUCUAUAACAUGUACCAGCAAUCCAGGUUCCAUGGAACUACUGUUAAUCCACCACUGAGCAUUGAAGGCAGUCAAGGUAGUCAUGGUGAUGGAAUAAUCCAGAGAGGGAUGCAUGAGAGCCACAAUGCAAAGGGAGUUACACCAUCACAGUUAUCAUUGUACUGCAUUAACACAGGAGAAAAGCAGUUUGAAGCCAAUCAAAGGGGUACGAACAGUCCAGAGAAAGAGAUAUCGAACAAUCAGAAUGGAGGUCUUCUGAGAGAGGAAAUGGACACGCUGCCAUAUAGUGUUCCUAAGGAAUAUGGGGUGAGACAUGUCCUUCAGGAGAGGAAAAAUUAUGAGCCAGACAUGAGUGUGCGGCGAAAUGUUUCGACUUCAACCCCAGAUACCGUGCAAAUUAAUUCCUACUCAACCAACACCCCAACCUUAGUUGGCAAGAGAGGUCAUUCCCAACACACACUACAAGAAACACCGGCGAGCAAGAAGUGGGCAUCAGAUAGAGGAAUCCAUGGUGGGUCGACGCAGAGCAUUUUUGAAAGAACUCAAAAUCAGGAGAUGCAGAUUCCUACUGGACCUAGAGAAGCUGGAGGUCAAGUAGCAGAGGAAUACGACUCAAUCCAACUCGGCAGUCAUGUUGAAAAUCCACAGCCUGUUGAAGCUGGAGAUCGAAUUGUUAGAUGCAACCAGGAAGGAGAGACUAUAUGUAGAACAUCAGGAUCAGAUAUUCACCAGUCUGCCGAACCUGGAAAUGUUAACUCAAGUGAUUCAUGACUCAAGUGAUUCAUGGCUUCCUCUCAAUGGGUCUGGAGGCCCGAUUAGGCACUGCCAUAAUUCCUCCAAGAAAAUGGGCAGUAGGAUUCAUAUGUACACAGGCAGGAGAUCAGAUAUGAGGAAAAAUGGUAGCCCUUUUCCUACUAGCAACAAUAGAUCAUCAGCAAGGAUGAAUUCAUUAAGAGGAGAUGAUAAUGAUCCAUGGCCCAUUAGAGCGUCUACACCAGCAUCUAGCGCUACUCCUUGUGAGUCUACAUAUGGUGCUUUAUUCUCUCCUAAAACAAUUACCGACAGAUACAUGAAUAUGGAUGCUCAUGUUUGCGGUAGUGGCAUUAGAAAUGAAGCCCAGGUCCAAAGACAAGUUCAAAUUAACAAUGAUGGCAUAGGUGAUGCACUUCCUGUUCUAGAAACUCAUCUUGAAGGUGAUGUAAACACUGAUGGGGCUAUGGCGCCAGCCCUUAAGGCGCCAUGGGCGCCAUGAGGAUGAUUGCCUGGAACUGCCGAGGUAUGGGUCAGGGUCUCGGCAGUAACAAGAUGUGCUACCUGACUAGGUUGAUUCAUGCGACAAAAUCUCAGGUUAUUUUCAUAUCUGAAAUUAAAUCAUCUAAAUAUAGCUCUUCUGAUCUGAAUCAACGUUUUAACAUGGAUAACAGUGUUGUAGUUCCUUCCAAUCGUCUAUCCGGAGGACUUUGGCUGAUGUGGAGUGAAGACCUUCAAGUUCAUGUACAUAUCUCUAGUUUCCAUGUUAUCUUAGCCUCUAUUGUUAAUGUAGCUUGUAAGGAGGAGUUUGCACUGGUUUGUAUUUAUGGUGAUCCGUACCAUAGACAAACUAGCCAAAUAUGGGACCUUGUGGCUUCUUUUGUGUAUGAUAAUGCCAACAAGCCAAUAGUUUGUAUGGGAGACAUGAAUGACCUUCUGUAUGAUAUGGACAAGAGCUCCCACUCUGUGAAUACUAGUCGUAUGCAUGCCUUUCGCAACAUCGUCAAAAACUGUGGGUUCUUUGACUUGGGUUAUAGUGGCCCUGCAUAUACUUGGACUAACAAACGUUAUACUUCCAUGCCAACUUUUGAGCGUCUUGACAGAUGUUUGGUAAAUGCAGAAUGGUGUGCUUUAUACCCUAUCACUAAUGUUUACAAUUUGCCUAUUACCAUUAGUGAUCAUGCUCCCAUUCUCAUAUCCACAGAAGGUAAAUUUAAGAAGCCUUUGCAAAGUUUCAAAUUUGAAAAUUGGUGGCUUAUGGAAAAAGACUUUCAUGAUCAUGCUAAAGCGGCCUGGAGUAGUACUACUCAUAGACCUUAUUAUGCUAGAACUAACCAUCUUGCAGGCUCACUGAAAAAAUGGUGUAAGAAGAAAAAGCCACUGAACUAGGAGCUGAAUUCAUUGGAAGAGCAAAUAAGAGAUAUCCAAUUGAAGCCAGUACAUGAGCAAGAUCACAAUCUGGAGGCUUCCCUUGUUUGCAGGUAUGAGGAAAACUUGAAAAAACUUACUCAAUACUAUAGUCAGAGAGCAAAAAAGUAUUGGGCUAUAAUGGGGGACAGGAAUACUAAGUUUUUCCAUCAUGCUGUUCUUAAAAGGAGGAGGAAAAAUCAAAUUGUCUCAAUCAAGGACAAGAAUAAUAUUACUCAUUUUAACCCUGAAAAAAUUGCUCACACCUUUGUUGAUUAUUUCAAAGAUAUUUUUGGGACUAACAAAACAGAUCAAGGGAGGCCAUACUUAGGAACGACUACAACUACUGAUGAAAGAGAUUACACUUAUAGCAUUCCAGACAAGCAGGAAAUUUGGAAUAUUCUAAAAGAAAUGAGGGUGAGUGCAUCUCCAGGCCCAGAUGGACUGAAUGUGGCCUUUUAUCUAGCAGCUUGGGAUUGGAUAGGAGAUGACAUUACUAAUCUGGUAAGGCAGUUUUAUGAUUCUGGUGUUAUGCCCAAGCACAUCAAUAAUACCAACAUUGCUUUGAUUCCCAAAAAACAUGUUUGCAAUAUUCCUGCAGAUUAUAGGCCUAUUAGUCUAUGUAACGUUGUCUACAAAAUUAUUGCUAAAUCCCUUGCGAACAGGCUUAAACCACAUCUCCCUGACUAUAUUCAUCCCUCUCAACAAGCAUUUAUUGAAGGAAGGAGAAUUAGUAACAAUAUAAUCAUAGCUCAAGAAAUCACUCACUCCUUUGCACUCAAGUCUUGGAAAACUCCUGCUUUCAUGCUUAAAAUUGAUCUUGCCAAAGCCUUUGAUCGUCUAGAAUGGAAAUUCAUUAUUGGCGCUUUGGCACAUAAAGGGCUACACAAUCAUUUCAUCAACUCAUUUAUGCCUGCAUUUCUACUCCAGUCUUUUCCGUUAUCAUAAAUGGCCAAGAAUAUGCUAAAUUCAAAAGUAGUAGAGGCAUAAGACAAGGUUGUCCACUCUCUCCAUAUCUCUUUGUCCUUGCAAUUAAUGAAUUAUCUGUCUCCUUGCAGGAAGCUAUGAGACAUAACCAUCUUUCAGGUAUUUCCCUUGGACCAAACUGCCCCCCUAUCCACUCUCUCAUGUUUGCGGAUGAUCUUCUUGUUUGUGGCCAAGCUACACUCCAAGAAGCCACUAUUAUGAGUCAACUCAUUCAAUCUUUUUGUGCUAGAUCUGGCCAGAUCCCAAAUUGGAAUAAAUCUGGAAUUCUAUUUAGCAAAGGUGUAGACAGCAGCAUUCAGCAAGCUAUAAAAAACAUCUUCCCUGUUGUUUCCAUUGAUAAUAACUUCAUUCAUCUAGGGCAUCCUCUCAUUCUGCCAGCAAAAGAUAGAUCCUCUGCUUAUAAUUUUAUGGUUGAUAAAUUCAAAGUCAAACUCCCUACUUAUAAGCCCACCAAACUCUCUCAUGCUGGUAGGCUCACUCUUAUAAAUUCUGUGUUUGCUUCCAUCCCUAUAUAUUACAUGUCCAAUAUUCUUUUUCCCAAGAAGUUCCUAGCCAAACUCAAUUCAAUUAUUAGAAACUUCUGGUGGGCAGGAGUUAGAGAGGAAACUAAUGAGAGAUCUCUUUGCCUCAGGGCCUGGAAAGACAUUUGCUCCCCUAAGAAUGAAGGAGGUUUAGGCAUAAAAAACUUGCAAGCCACCAACAAAAGCCUAAUCCUUGCAGCUGCCUGGAGGAUAGCAGAAAACCCUAAUAGCCAUAUCUCAAAAGUUUUGCAGUCUAAAUAUUUCCCGGAUUCUUCCCUUUGGAGAGCUAACCCAAACAUCCCCAAAUCUGCCUUUUGGACUUCAAUCAUCAAAGUUAGGCCAAUGCUCAUCAACAAUUCUUUUUACCACAUUACAAAAGGCAAUAUUUCUCUUUGGAGCUCUCCUUGGUUCAACUCAUGGGAAAAUAUUUAUGAUCAUCUUGUUAUCCAAAAUAAUGAUUUUAAAUACCCGGCACUAGUUAAAGAUCUCUGGCUUCCUAAUCACAAAAUGUGGAAUCACAAUUUUAUUGAUAUGCUAUUUGACCAAGACACGGCUGUAAUUAUAAAGCAGGUUCCAAUUAUUCAAGCUGAAGAUGAUGAUAUUUUGUGCUGGAAACUAACUCCAACAGGGAAAUUCAACACAAAAAGUGCAUACAAACUUUGUCUACAGGUGAUGAGGGAAGAGGGGAGCCACAACCUAGAGCUCUAGCAGACAAUACUAAGGAACUUCUAAAGCAAGUUUGGAAAGCCAAAGAUAUUGCUCCAAGAAUCCAAACUUUUGCCUGGAGACUAAUUAGAAAAGCUCUGCCAACGGGGAAAAGAGCAGGUAAACAUUCUAAAUAUAUCAGUACCCGUUGUGCUAGAUGUGGGUUGGAAGAACAUGAUAUGCACAUAUUGUUUACUUGUCCGUUUGCUAGAGCAGCCUGGUUUGCCAAACCUUGGUACAUAAGAUCUGAUUUACUAAUUCAAAAUUCUGAUUCUCUAGCUUCCAUUAUUAUGAGUUUUGCUAGUUCAGAUCACCCUUAUGCUACUUUAAGCAAUAUUUUUACAUUCAUGUGGUGCUUAUGGAAAGCAAGGAAUGAUAAACUCUUCCAGAGAAAAGAUGUGUCUCCUUUCUAGAUCUUUUUUGUAGCACAUGCUAUCACAAAUAGCUUAUCUUUAGAAGUAAGGACAUUGGAACAGAGAAGGUUAAUCACUGAAAAUCACAGGAUAAAUUCUCAGGAGAAAGAAAAUCAGAGACAGGGAAUUACAAUUGAUAGUAUCAUGCUUCCAGAUUCAGUCAAAAUUUACACAGAUGCAGCUUGGCAUGAACUAAGAAAUUCUGACACUAUUGGAAGUGUAAGAACAGGAAUUGGUAUUUUUUUUGCAGGUACAUCAGAGAGACCAAAAGAUGGAAGCUACCAUCUCAGCGACUAUUGAACACUCACAAUCAGCAAUUCAAGCAGAGGCACAUGGAAUCAAUCUAGCGGCAAUCAUUAUCAACAUGCUAAAUAUUCAACAAGCAGGCCAUUUUAACGGACAAUCUUACUCUUGCAAAAGCAGCAGCAACAAGAUCUCCUAAUUCUCAACCUGACACUGGCAAAUAAGGAGCAUUCUGACAAACUUGUGUAAUAACACUGCAACAAAACAGGUUCAGGUGUUUCAUAUUCCUAGAAGUCAUAAUUGUGAGGCUCAUGUAGCAGCCAAGUUAACUCAAUCUCAGAAUAUAUUUCCUGAACAGAGUUCUAGGAUAAGCUGUUGUAAUGUUCAGCAUAAAAAAUGGCAUUGUCCCCUAAUUCAAAUCAUUGCAGACAUUGCUAAUCAGGGAUAUGUCAUUACCCAUGUAAACUGCAGAUAAAUGAAUGUAUGUUAGGCGCCUUGUGCGCCUUUCUCUUGUUCAAAAAAAAGGAAGUACUCCCUUCGUCUGAAAAUUCUUGUCUUAGAUUUGUCUACAUAUGGAUGUAUCUAUUCAUGUUUUAGUGCUAGAUUGUCUUAGAUUUGUUUAUAUACGGAUGUAUCUAUUCACAUUUUAGUGCUAGAUACAUCUAUAUAUAGAUAAAUCUAAGACAAGAAUUUUGAGACGGAGGGAGUACGAUCUAACGCACCUAGUAUGAUGAACUGAAGAUGUACUAUGUGAUGAACUGAAACGGGGAAAGAACGGAAAAAGAAGAACAAAGUAAGCAGAAAAGUGAAUUGAUGAGGAUAAAUAGUUUGUCUAAUUCACAUGUAUAUUCCAUAAAUAUAUAAUGCAGCAACAAGAAACAAAAAACUAGAAUAAAAAAAUAGAUCAGAAUAAAAAAAUAGAGCGUAAACAGAGUGGACAUCAGCUCACAUCUAGGUCUGUCUACCUGAGGAUAAAACGCCUGAAGCAAUGAGAUAAUCCGCAAAUAUGUAAAGAACAUGAAGAUAAAACGAGGAAAGAAAAUAUGUUGAUGGCGAUCGUGGCAUGAAGAUAUCAAAAAACACGAACCGAAGUAGGUGCAUAAACAAAUCGAAGUAGGAGCAUAAACAAACUGAUCCGAGUGAGACAUCACCACCAUAAGUGGCACGCUCAAAUGCCCUCUCAUUAGUAAAAGAAGAAGAUCCUAGAGCUCCAUGAAAGCUCUCAUUAGUAAAAGAAGAAGAUCCUAGAGCUCUAUGGAAGUCUCAACAGUACUCUCAUUUUGUAAAAGCAAGAAGGGUAUGUUUGUAGAAAAUAAAAAAUCCAUCAAAGAUAAAGAAGACCUUGGUCCAAAGGAAGUUGGGAUGAGGGCUAGCAUCAAUUCACUAAGACAGGUUUUACACAAAGGCAAUAUACUCGGGGGUUCAUCAUGAUGACUAUACAUUUUUUAGAAAAGGAGGAUGACCCCCGACCCCUGUAUCUGGAAGAUGCAUACGGCCACUUUAUUAAUUAUUCUCAAGGAUCUUACAAAGUAUUACGAACAAUAUACCUGAAUCCAUCAUCUUGGCAACAUAUGCCGCUACUCUUAUCCAUAUUAUGAAGGGAUGCUAGCUGGGCCACUACCCAAACCACUCACCUAAACCUAACAUCAAUAGCCGGAAGCCCCAGCCGAGCCACAUACCGGGUACGGGGCACAAUCCGGUCAGACGCACUCUUGUGUCGUCGCCGCCAUCUUCCACAAGUCCGUCUUCAGAUUAUAUUGAGUCUUCUACUUUGUGAAGGCCACAUCUGCCAUCGACGUCACCAGGACGCCAGAUAGCUACCUCCUCCUGCACGAGUCCAUCUCCGCGCAUCGGACGUCGAGCCUCCACAGCGCCAUGCCGCCGAUCUCCGCCGCCAUCAAUGAGUGAGAUGAAGUACCGCUCCAUCACGACAAGUACAAGGUGAGGAAGGGCGAGGUCGUCAUCGGAGACACGGCCGGAAGAUAAGCACCGCAGUCACGAGACAUGCCCGGAGCUGCGACGCGGUAGAUCAGACGGGCCGCCACCAGGAACUAGACAAGCUCGCCAUGCACACCCGGCAUCCCCAUGCCCAAGUCGGCGCCUUCAAGAAGGUGACGACGCUGAGGCGCCGUCGUCGCUUAGCCACCGGGGCUAGGGUUUUCACCCGGGCGCAGGGGAAGGGGGGAAGGGGGGAAGCAGGGGAGGUUUAGCCUUGGCACCACCACCAAGGAGGGAAUGGCGUCCGAGACGCCAUCGACGCCGUGACCACCACCAGCGGCCAAGUGUUUCCCCCGGCCAAGUACCCUGCUGCCACCUCCGUGUUGGAGAACGUAGUAAUUUCAAAAAAAUUCCUACGCACACGCAAGAUCAUGGUGAUGGCAUAGCAACGAGAGGGGAGAGUGUUGUCCACGUACCCUCGUAGACCGUAAGCGGAAGCGUUAUGACAACGCGGUUGAUGUAGUCGUACGUCUUCACGAUCCGACCGAUCCAAGUACCGAACGUACGGCACCUCCGAGUUCAGCACACGUUCAGCUCGAUGACGAUCCUCGGACUCCGAUCCAGCAAAGUGUCGGGGAUGAGUUCCGUCAGCACGACGGCGUGGUGACGAUGCUGAUGCUCUACUGGCGCAGGGCUUCGCCUAAACUCUGCGACGAUAUGACCGAGGUGGAAUAUGGUGGAGGGGGGCACCGCACACGGCUAAGGAACGAUCCGUAGAUCAACUUGUGUGUCAUGGGGUGUCCCCCUGCCCCCGUAUAUAAAGGAGCAAGGGGGGAGGUGGCCGGCUGAUAGAGGCAAAGGUGUCCCGUCUUUCGAUGAGAUGAUGGAUAUCGCUUUGGUGGAAGUCGACUUUGACGAUCCGACUACGAACGUGCGAGGACGUCGCGCCUUAGCAAUCGCUAAACCAACUCCGAGAGGUUAUUGACCACGCCGGAGCACGAUCAACCUGACCACGAGGGUCUGUUUCCUGCGAGCAAACAAAGAACAAGCAAGAAACUGAGAUUGCAAUCUAUAUAUUGCGAAUAUAAGAUGAAAGCUUUAUUGAUCAAGGUGGGGUUCUGUGACGCCUUUGUCUGGUCGUUGAACACAAACGAAGUACGCGAAGUUGCAGCUAUGGCGAACUUUUAAUCUAAACAAAACCCAAAGUCUAAAUGAUGCCCUAAGGGCUGUAUAUAUGGAGGAAGAGGGGGGAAUUUCGUGGCCCUUGGUGGAGGGGUCCGAAAUCAACCCUAUCUCUUGUUUCCCCACACAUACGGACUCUAAAAAUAGCCUAUACUUAUGUAUUUCGAAAUUACAUGGGCCUGGCCCAAUAAUAAGGUGACGCAGCACCUAAAAUAGCCUCGGGACGAAAUUUAUGAAGUGGCAUCUUGUAUAUUUCGUCCAAGGCUUCAUGCACCCAUUAUGGUGGCUUCAAAGUCCUGAAAUCAUCACUUGUAACUCCGUUCUUGUUCCCCUUGCGCAUGCCAUCAUCUUCAUGCUUGUUCUUGCUCCAAUGUUCAUCCUUCUCCAAGCUAGGCCCUUCAUUUGUAAGCACAACAAAUGUAUCCAAUUUAGGCAGCAUCAUAUUCUCAUGAACAUUAGAAUCAUUACCAAGAAACGAAAGUACCUGGUAAUUUAGUUGGCGUGCACGAGCUCUAGUAAUUGGUCCAGUAUGUAUAGCAGCACGGGCUGUGGGUGUAACAAUUGUAUUGAUGUCCUCAUCAUCCUCCCCUUCUUGAAAUGAAGUCGUCCUCGACGGAGGUUCAUCUUCCUCACCCAAAUAAGGCUUCAAAUCUGCAAUGUUAAAAGUGGGACUAACCCCAAAAUCUGCAGGCAGCUCAAGUUUAUAUGCAUUAUCAUUUAUUUUCUCUAACACCUUAAAGGGACCAUCAGCACGUGGCAUUAACUUUGAUUUGCGCAAAUCAGGAAAUCUAUCCUUACGCAAAUGUAACCAAACAAGAUCUCCAGGUGCAAACACAACAUGUUUUCUACCCUUAUCUCCAGCAAGUUUAUAUUUAGCAUUCAUACGCUCAAUGUUUUCCUUAGUUAACUCAUGCAUUUUUAAAAUCAAUUCAGCACGUUGUUUAGCAUCAAAAUUAACCUUCUCCGAAGAUGGAAGAGGCAACAAAUCAAUAAGUGCACGAGGUAGGAAACCAUACACAACUUCAAAAGGGCACAUCUUAGUAGUAGAAUGCAAUGAACGAUUAUAAGCAAAUUCAAUAUGAGGCAAGCAUUCCUCCCACAUUUUCUUAUUAUCUUCAAAACAGCCCUAAGCAUAGUAGACAACGUUCUAUUGACUACUUCAGUUUGUCCAUCAGUUUGGGGGUGACAAGUAGUACUAAAAAGCAGUUUAGUCCCCAACUUAGCCCAUAAACAUCUCCAAAAGUGGCUAAGAAAUUUAGUAUCACGAUCUGAAACAAUAGUAUUUGGCACACCAUGCAAGCGAAUAAUUUCACGAAAGAACAAAUCAGCAACAUUAACAGCAUCAUCGCUUUUAUGACAUGGUAUAAAGUGUGCCAUUUUCGAGAAUCUAUCCACGACAACAAAUAUGCUAUCCCUCCCCUUCUUUGUUCGAGGUAAACCUAAAACAAAGUCCAUAGAUAUAUCCUCCCAAGGAACACUAGGUACAGGCAAAGGCAUAUAUAAACCAUGAGGAUUGAGUCGUGACUUAGCUUUUUGACAUGUAGUGCAGCGAGCAAUAAAACGCUCAACAUCCCGUCUCAUCUUUGGCCAAAAGAAAUGUGUAGCAAGUACGUCCUCCGUCUUCUUCACGCCAAAGUGUCCCAUUAAUCCUCCUCCAUGCGCCUCCUGCAACAACAAAAGACGAACGGAGCUAGCUGGAAUGCAUAGCUUGUUAGCACGAAACACAAAUCCAUCGUGAACAACAAACUUGUUCCACAUUCUUCCUUCUUUACAAUUCUGCAUUACAUCUUUAAAAUCAGCAUCAUGCACAUAUUGAUCUUCGAUGGUCUCCAAACCAAAUAUUUUGAAGUCAAGUUGUGAAAGCAUAGUAUAGCGACGAGACAAUGCAUCAGCAAUAACAUUUUCUUUUCCCUUCUUGUGUUUAAUGACAUAAGGGAAAGUCUCAAUGAAUUCAACCCAUUUAGCAUGUCUACGAUUCAGUUUAGCUUGACUUUUAAUAUGUUUCAAAGAUUCAUGAUCAGAAUGUAUAACAAAUUCUUUGGGCCAUAAAUAAUGUUGCCAUGUUUCUAAAGUCCGAACAAGAGCAUAUAAUUCUUUAUCAUAAGUAGAAUAAUUCAGACUAGGCCCACUCAAUUUUUCAGAAAAGUAUGCAACAGGUUUGCCAUCUUGUAAUAACACACCUCCUAAUCCAAUUCCACUAGCAUCACAUUCAAGCUCAAAAGUCUUAUUAAAAUCAGGAAGUUGGAGUAAAGGAGCAUGUGUCAACUUAUCUUUCAAUACCGUGAAGGCUUCUUCCUGUGCGGUACCCCAAACAAAAGGCACAUCCUCCUUUGUAAGCUCGUUGAGAGGUGCAGCAAUGGUGCUGAAAUCUCUCACAAAACGCCUAUAGAAUCCAGCGAGGCCAAGAAAACUCCUCACCUGUGUGACCGUUUUGGGCUGCGGCCAACUCUCAAUAGCUUCAAUCUUGGCUUUGUCAACUUCAAUUCCCUGUGGAGUAACAACAUAGCCAAGAAAAGAUACUCGGUCGGUGCAAAAGGUGCACUUCCCAAGGUUACCAAACAAACGUGCAUCACGUAGAGCAAUAAAAACAGCACGUAAAUGUUCCAAAUGUUCUUCCAAAGAUCUGCUAUAAAUCAGUAUAUCAUCAAAAUAGACUACCACAAAUCGUCCAAUGAAAGCAUGUAAAACUUCGUUCAUUAAUCUCAUGAAAGUACUAGGUGCAUUAGUUAACCCAAAAGGCAUGACUAACCACUCAUAUAAUCCAAACUUAGUUUUAAAUGCUGUUUUCCAUUCAUCUCCCAAUUUCAUACGAAUUUGAUGGUAGCCACUACGCAAAUCAACUUUGGAGAAUAUUGUAGAGCCACUCAAUUCAUCAAGCAUAUCAUCUAGCCUAGGAAUAGGAUGACGAUAACGAAUAGUAAUAUUAUUAAUGCCUCUACAAUCAACACACGUACGUGAUGUACCAUCCUUUUUCGGCACUAGAAUAAUAGGAACAGCACAAGGACUAAGGGAUUCGCAUAUAUAACCUUUGUCGAGAAGCUCUUGUACUUGACGCAUAAUCUCCUUCGUCUCCUCUGGAUUGGUACGGUAUGGUGCACGGUUUGGCAGUGAAGCACCGGGAAUUAAGUCAAUCUGAUGCUCAAUCCCUCGAAUAGGCGGUAAUCCCGGUGGCACGUCUUGUGGAAAAACGUCAGCGAACUCCUGCAAAAUGUUAGUGACAGCAGGAGGCAAAGAGGAAGGCACGUCCUCGAAUGAAAAUAAUGCCUCUUUGCACACAAAAGCAUAGCAAACAGAUUUGCUGAAAUCUAGCUCAUCAAUAUCAGAUUUGGUGGCAAAUAAACAUGCACUUUUCAAUUUAAUUUCAGAAGCAACACUAGAUGGUUUAUUAUUAGGCUUCAUUUGUUGCUCAAAUACUUUUGCCACAAUCUGAUUUUCACUCUUAUUCUUCUCCUGUUGUGCUUUAUUAGCUCUAUUAAUAUCAUCUUUCAAAAUGGAAUCAGGAGUCAUAGGAAGCAAAGUAAUAUUUUUAUCCUUAUGAACAAGAGUAUAGUGAUUGUUUCUACCAUGGUGUACAGAAUUUUUAUCAAAUUGCGAUGGUCUACCCAGUAAUAAGGAACAUGCUUGCAUAGGUACCACAUCACAAUCAACAUAAUCAGCAUAUGUAGAGAUACUAAAAUGCACACGAACAGUACGUGUUACCUUAACCUUGCCGCUGUUGUUGAACCAUUGGAUGUAGUAAGGAUGUGGAUGUGGUCUUGUGGUGAGAGAAAGCUUCUCCACCAUCUCCAUGCUAGCCAAGUUGUUGCAGCUCCCUCCGUCUAUUAUGACGCGCACAGAACGUUCCUUCACAACUCCCUUGGUAUGGAACAAAUUGUGCCUCUGAUUUUGCUCAGCUUGUGUGACCUGCACACUCAAAACACGUUGAGCAACUAAACAUUCAUACCUGUCAGCGUCUUCAGGAGCCAUGUAUUGCGUCUCAUGAUCAGAAUCAUCUCCACCAUGUUCUUCACGUGUAAUAAGAGCCAAUGUCUCCUCAUCAUAGUCACUAGCGGACUCAUAUCCACCAUCCGCGUUAGCAAUCAUCACACGCGGAGAUUUGCAUUCCCUCGCAUAAUGACCUCCUCCCUUACAACGACGACAAAUAAUAUCACUUGUGUGCCCUGUUGAUGCCAUGGAAGAAGAAGAACGCUGUGCAGGCCCCGCAGGUGCGCUCUUGGCAGAUAAUGGUGGUUGUGCCUGUUUUCUUGUAUCACGGCUGGAGGUGGCACCGGAUGGAGGUGCUGGUGCAGUUGAAGUAGAAGAUGCACGUGGUGUCCAUGAUGAAGGUCGGCCUGCAGAAAAAUUAGUUCGCCCCAAUGCUUGUCGAUCCUGCACUUCACGUUCAGCUUUACAAGCAAGAUGGAAUAAACGAGUGAUAUUAGUAUACUCCUUAUAGUCUAAAAUGGUCUGAAUCUCUCUAUUUAAUCCACCCAGAAAACGUGCAAGCAUAGCUUCAUUCUCCUCAACAAUACCACAUCUAAUCAUGCCAGUUUGUAAUUCCUGAUAAUAUUCUUCUACAGAAUUUUUCCCUUGUCUUAAACGCUGCAAUUUUUGAAGCAAUUCACGUUGAUAAUAUGGUGGAACCCAACGCGUACGCAUAGCAGUUUUCAAAGCAGCCCAAGUAGUUGGAAUAGGAUAUAAUCUAUAAUGUUCAGACCACCAUACACAUGCAAAACUAGUGAAAGCACACACAGCAGCAGCAACUCGUCUCUCCUCAGGAUAUUGUAAACAUGUAAAUCGUUGUUCAGUUUCUAACUCCCAAGUAAGAUAUAUAUCAGGAACAUAUCUACCCUCAAAUGGUGGAAUAUUCAAUUUCAGUUUAGGAAUAUGGACAUCAUCGCGUACCUGAGGUGGUGGUGCAGGCCUACCAUGACGAAUAUAUACCUGAGGUCGACCUGCUGGUGGUGGUGCUGGUGGCUGCUCGUAGAUCUGAUUUUGAUCAACCUCAUCCUCAUAAUCACCCGCAUACUCAUCAUCCUCCUGGGUACCAGCAGGAGCAGUAGCAGGAGCCAAAGAAGCACCAACAGCAGUAGCAGCGGCACCAGAAGUUUGUCCUGUCUCAAUAGGAACACGCUGUGCUCGUCCAUACUGAUUCGGAAGGGGGCGUAGUUGUUGUUGUUGCAGAGGUGCGACAGGUGCAGCCGGUGGUGGAAGACGCGCAAGCAGUUCAUUAAAUAUGUUAUCGAGAUUUGUUUCGAACGUCUUCUCAAGGCUAGUGAUCUUCUCCAUGGCCUCUUCAAAAUUGUUCAGCACAUCUUGUACCUGUUCAGUCAUCAUUUGCUGAAACUUAUCAUGAAGCUCCUUGUUCGAUAAGUUCUCCCAGUCAAUCUCGUCGGCUUGUGAUCCUGGCAUGGUUAGCAGCAAUAGAAACACACAAGAAUAUGAUCCUACAGACUACUAAGAAGUGGUGGUGGUGUAUCACAAAUCCGUCAAGCAAAUCUCAAAUUCUUACCAGUUCUUACCCAGCAGCAGGCGGUGAUCGGCAACCGUUGUAGUCAAAAACUCUCAAAGCUUGGAUAGAGCGAUUACCAGGGAGAGUCGAACACACGACGUAGAUGUAUGUGGAGCUGGGAAGGCUUAUAGUAUGGUAGCAAAAAGGGUCAGCAAUAAUCAAUUCAGAGAUGCAAAGUUGAAUAAACGCUCAACGACGGUACUGUGCUGGUCCUAGGCUAGACUGUGCUAGAGACGCGAGCCUAGAACACCAACAAAAUCACGGCGCGGCACGUAAACAAGGGAAAAGCACACUCUGAAAUUUUUCUUUUCGCUCUCUCUUUUUUUUUGCGCUCUUUUUUUUAUUGCGCUGUUUUUUUUUGCGAAAAAGCACUAUAAUGGCGAGUGUCUCAAAACUCUUCCUAGGUCAAACUGACAGGAUGGGCACGAAAUUUUUUUGUUCGAAUUUUUUUUUUCGACUGCCCGGACCCAAAAACUGGAAACGGGUCAAAAAAAACUUCCUAUAAUGGCACCUGUCUCAAAACACUCAGAAACACCUAAAAAUAGGAUAGCCAGAAAUUUUUUCGAAAAAUGCGUUUUCGAAAAAUUUUGGGCCUAAACGGAGCGUGGCUACCCGACUCUUUUUUUUUUCCGAAACCUACUCCGGCAAGGAAACACGAAUCGGAAUCUAUAUGGAUCCCGAAAACAAACCUAAUAAGCAAGGAACUCGGAUUGGUGGUGGAUAUAUGGUGGUGGUAUAUGGCAGCGGUGGUGGUAGCGGUGGUAGUAUAUGGAUAUGGAUCGGUGGUGGUAUAUGGGCACGGAUUGGUGGUGGUAUAUGGAUACGAAUUCGGAGCGGUGGUGGUAGAUGGCAGGGGCGAUGAUGAUGGUGCGGCGGCGGCGUGACAACUUAUGACCAGAACUCGAAACUCUAAAAGACUAGACUCUAAGACCAGCAACUAGACCGACGAUGCAACCGCAAAUUCAACAAAGCAAAACCCUAAAAAGAUUAUGCAAAGGCUCAGAUUGGUUCGGAUAUGAUGAAUUAACCCUAAUUUUUUUUGUAUGGCUUUUUCGUGGACUGUAGGUAUGAAGAACAGACUCGAUCUAAACUACGAAAAACUGUAAAAUCUCACCGAGCAACCUGGAAAUCUGAUACCACUUGAUAGAGGCAAAGGUGUCCCGUCUUUCGAUGAGAUGAUGGAUAUCGCUUUGGUGGAAGUCGACUUUGACGAUCCGACUACGAACGUGCGAGGACGUCGCGCCUUAGCAAUCGCUAAACCAACUCCGAGAGGUUAUUGACCACGCCGGAGCACGAUCAACCUGACCACGAGGGUCUGUUUCCUGCGAGCAAACGAAGAACAAGCAAGAAACUGAGAUUGCAAUCUAUAUAUUGCGAAUAUAAGAUGAAAGCUUUAUUGAUCAAGGUGGGGUUCUGUGACGCCUUUGUCUGGUCGUUGAACACAAACGAAGUACGCGAAGUUGCAGCUAUGGCGAACUUUUAAUCUAAACAAAACCCAAAGUCUAAAUGAUGCCCUAAGGGCUGUAUAUAUGGAGGAAGAGGGGGGAAUUUCGUGGCCCUUGGUGGAGGGGUCCGAAAUCAACCCUAUCUCUUGUUUCACCACACAUACGGACUCUAAAAAUAGCCUAUACUUAGGUAUUUCGAAAUUACAUGGGCCUGGCCCAAUAAUAAGGUGACGCAGCACCUAAAAUAGCCUCGGGACGAAAUUUAUGAAGUGGCAUCUUGUAUAUUUCGUCCAAGGCUUCAUGCACCCAUUAUGGUGGCUUCAAAGUCCUGAAAUCAUCACUUGUAACUCCGUUCUUGUUCCCCUUGCGCAUGCCAUCAUCUCCAUGCUUGUUCUUGCUCCAAUGUUCAUCCUUCUCCAAGCUAGGCCCUUCAUUUGUAAGCACAACAAAUGUAUCCAAUUUAGGCAGCAUCAUAUUCUCAUGAACAUUAGAAUCAUUACCAAGAAACGAAAGUACCUGGUAAUUUAGUUGGCGUGCACGAGCUCUAGUAAUUGGUCCAGUAUGUAUAGCAGCAGGGGCUAUGGGUGUAACAAUUGUAUUGAUGUCCUCAUCACCGGCCCAAGGAGGGGGCGCGCCAAGUGUGGAGUCCUACUAGGACUCCCUAGUCCUAGUAGGAUUCCACCUCCCUUGUUGGAGUAGGAGAAGGGGAAAGAGGGGGAGAGGAAGAAAGAAAGGGGGGCUGCGCCCCUUGUCCAAUUCGGACCAGAGGGGGGGCGCAGGCCUCCUUCCUUUUGGCCUCUCUCCACUAUUCCCGUAUGGCCUAAUAAGGCCCAUAUACUCCCCGGCGAAUUCCCGUAACUCUCCGGUACUUCGAAAAAUACCCGAAUCACUCGGAACCUUUCCGAACUCCGAAUAUAGUCGUCCAAUAUAUCGAUCUUUACGUCUCGGCCAUUUCGAGACUCCUCGUCAUGUCCCCGAUCUCAUCCGGGACUCCGAACUCCUUCGGUACAUCAAAACUCAUAAACUCGUAAUGUAACUGCCAUCGAAACCUUAAGCGUGCGGACCCUACGGGUUCGAGAACUAUGUAGACAUGACCUAGAACUAUUCUUGGUCAAUAACCAAUAGCGGAACCUGGAUGCCCAUAUUGGCUCCUACAUAUUCUACGAAGAUCUUUAUCGGUCAAACCGCAUAACAACAUACUUUGUUCCCUUUGUCAUGGGUAUGUUACUUGCCCGAGAUUCGAUCGUCGGUAUCCAAUACCUAGUUCAAUCUCGUUACCGGCAAGUCUCUUUACUUGUGACGUAAUGCAUCAUUUCGUAACUAACUCAUUAGCUACAUUGCUUGCAAGGCUUAUAGUGAUGUGCAUUACCGAGAGGGCCCAGAGAUACCUCUCCGACAAUCGGAGUGACAAAACCUAAUCUCGAAAUACGCCAACCCAACAUGUACCUUUGGAGACACCUGUAGUACUCCUUUAUAAUCACGCAGUUACGUUGUGACGUUUGGUAGCACCCAAAGUGUUCCUCCGGUAAACGGGAGUUGCAUAAUCUCAUAGUUACAGAAACAUGUAUAAGUCAUGAAGAAAGCAAUAGCAACAUACUAAACGAUCAAGUGCUAAGCUAACGAAUGGGUCAAGUCAAUCACAUCAUUCUCCUAAUGAUGUGAUCCCAUUAAUCAAAUGACAACUCUUUUGUCCAUGGUUAGAAAACAUAACCAUCUUUGAUAAACGAGCUAGUCAAGUAGAGGCAUACUAGUGACACUAUGUUUGUCUAUGUAUUCACACAUGUAUUAUGUUUCCGGUUAAUACAAUUCUAGCAUGAAUAAUAAACAUUUAUCAUGAUAUAAGGAAAUAAAUAAUAACUUUAUUAUUGCCUCUAGCGCAUAUUUCCUUCAGUCUCCCACUUGCACUAGAGUCAAUAAUCUAGUUCACAUCGCCAUGUGAUUUAGCAUCAAUAUUCACAUCUGUAUGUGAUUAAUACCCAUAGUUCACAUCGUCAUGUGAUCAACACCCAAAGGGUUUACUAGAGUCAAUAAUCUAGUUCACAUUGCUAUGUGAUUAACACCCAAAUAGUACUAAGGUAUGAUCAUGUUUUGCUUAUGAGAGAACUUUAGUCAACGGGUCUGUCAUAUUCAGAGCCGUAUGUAUUUUGCAAAUAUUCUAUGUCUACAAUGCUUUGCACGGAGCUACUCUAGCUAAUUGCUCCCACUUUCAAUAUGUAUCCAGAUUGAGACUUAGAGUCAUCGGGAUCAGUGUAAAAGUUUGCAUCGAUGUAACUCUUUACGAUGAACUCUUUUAUCACCUCCAUAAUCGAGAAACAUAUCCUUAUUCUACUAAGGAUAAUUUUGACCAAUGUCCAGUGAUCUACUCCUAGAUCACUAUUGUACUCCCUUGCCAAACCAGGGCAGAGUAUACAAUAGGUCUGGUCCAUAGCAUGGCAUACUUUUAUAGAACCUAUGACUGAUGCAUAGGGAAUGACUUUCAUUCUCUUUCUAUUUUCUGCCGUGGUCGGGUCUUGAGUCUUACUCAAUUUCACACCUUUGCAACACAGGCAAGAACUCUUUCUUUGACUGUUCCAUUUUGAACUAUUUCAAAAUCUUGACAAGGUAUGUACUUAUUGAAAAACUUAUCAAGCGUCUUGAUCUAUCUCAAUAGAUCUUGAUGCUUAAUAUGUAAGCAGCUUCACUGAGGUCUUUCUUUGAAAAACUCCUUUCAAACACUCCUUUAUGCUUUGUAGAAUAAUUCUACAUUAUUUCCGAUCAACAAUAUGUCAUUCACAUAUACUUAUCAGAAAUGUUGUAGUGCUCCCACUCACUUUCUUGUAAAUACAGGACUUUCCAAAAGUCUGUAUAAAACCAUAUGCUUUGAUCAACUCAUCAAAGCGUAUAUUCCAACUCCGAGAUGCUUGCACCAGUCCAUUGAUGGAUCGCUGGAGCUUGCACAUUUUGUUAGCACCUUUAGGAUUAGCAAAACCUUCUGGUUGCAUCAUAUACAACUCUUGUUUAAAAAUCCAUUAAGGAAUGCAGUUUUGACAUCCAUUUGCCAGAUUUCAUAAAAUGUGGCAAUUGCUAACAUGAUUCAGACAGACUUAAGCAUCAAUACGAGUGAGAAAAUCUCAUCGUAUUCAACACCUUGAACUUGUCGAAAACCUUUUGCAACAAGUCGAGCUUAGUAGAUAGUAACACUACUAUCAGUGUCCGUCUUCCUCUUGAAGAUCCAUUUAUCUAACAUGGCUUGCUGAUCAUCGAGCAAGUCAAUCAAAGUCCAUACUUUGUUCUCAUACAUGGAUCAUAUCUCAGAUUUUAUGGCCUCAAGCCAUUUCGUGGAAUCUGAGCUCAUCAUCGCUUCCUCAUAGUUUGUAGGUUUAUCAUGGUCUAGUAACAUGACUUCUAGAAUAGGAUUACCAUACCACUCUGGUGCAGAUCGUACUCUGGAAGACCUACGAGGUUUUGUAGUAACUUGAUCUGAAGUUUCAUGAUCAUCAUCAUUAGCUUCCUCACUAAUUGGUGUAGGAAUCACUGGAACUGAUUUCUGUGAUGAACUACUUUCCAAUUUGGGAGAAGGUACAAAUUACCUUAUCAAGCGCUACUUUCCUCCCACUCACUUCUUUCGAGAGAAACUCCUUCUCUAGAAAGGAUCCAUUUUUAGCAACGAAUGUUUUGCCUUCGGAUCUGUGAUAGAAGGAUUACCCAACAGUUUCCUUUGGGUAUUCUAUGAAGACGCACUUCUCCGAUUUGGGUUCGAGCUUAUCAGGUUGAAAAACUUUUUUAUAUAAGUAUCACAACUCCAAACUUCAAGAAACGACAACUUGGGUUUCUUGCUAAACCACAGUUCAUAUGGUGUAGUCUCAACGGAUUUAGAUGUUGCCCUAUUAAACGUGAAUGCAGCUGUCUCUAAUGCAUAACCCCAAAACAAUAAUGGUAAAUCAAUAAGAGACAUCAUAGAUCGCACCAUAUCCAAUAAAGUGCGGUUAUGACAUUCGGACACACCAUAACGUUGUGGUGUUCCAGGUGGCGUGAGCUGUGAAACUAUUUCACAUUGUUUUAAUUGAAGACCAAACUCGUAACUCAAAUAUUCGUCUCCGCGGUCAGAUCGCAGAAACUUUAUUUUCUUGUUACGAUGAUUUUUCCACUUCACUCUGAAAUUCUUUGAACCUUUCAACUAUUUCAGACUUAUAUUUCAUCAAGUAGAUAUACCCAUAUCUGCUCAAAUCAUCUUGUGAAGGUCAGAAAAUAACGAUACUUGCCACGAGCAUCAAUACUCAUUGGAUCGGUAUGUAUUAUUUCCAACAAGUUAGUAGCUCGCUCCAUUGUUCCGGAGAACGGAGUUUUAGUCAUCUUGCCCAAAAGGCACGGUUCGCAAGCAUCAAAUGAUUCAUAACCAAGUGAUUCCAAAAAUCCAUCUUUAUGGAGUUUCUUCAUGCGCUUUACACCGAUAUGACCCAAACGGCAGUGCCACAAAUAAGUUGCACUAUCAUUAUUAACUUUGCAUCUUUUGGCAUCAAUAUUAUGAAUAUGUGUAUCAUCACGAUCGAGAUCCAACAAACUAUUUUCAUUGGGUGUAUGACCAUUGAAGGUUUUAUUCAUGUAAACAGAACAACAAUUAUUCUCUGACUUUAAAUGAAUAACCGUAUUGCAAUAAACAUGAUCAAAUCAUAUUCAUGCUCAAUGCAAACGCCAAAUAACAUUUAUUUAGGUUUAACACUAAUUCCGAAAGUAUAGGGAGUGUGCGAUGAUGAUCAUAUCAAUCUUGGAACCACUUCCAACACACAUCGUCACUUCACCCUCAACUAGUUUCUGUUUAUUUUGUAACUCCUAUUUCGAGUUACUAAUAUUUAGCAACCGAACAAGUAUCAAAUACUCAGGGGCUACUAUAAACACUAGUAAAGUAUACAUCAAUAACAUGUAUAUCAAAUAUACCCUUGUUCACUUUGCCAUCCUUCUUAUCCACCAAAUAUUCAGGGCAUUUCCGCUUCUAGUGGUCAUUUCCUUUGCAGUAUAAUCACUCAGUUUCAGGCUUUGGUCCAGCUUUGGGCUUCUUCGCGGGACUGACAACUUGCUUGUCAUUCUACUUGAAGUUCCCUUUCUUUCCCUUUGCCCUUUUCUUGAAAAUAGUGAUCUUGUCAACCAUCAACACUUGAUGCUCUUUCUUGAUUUCUACCUUCGUCGAUUUCAACAUCACGAAGAUCUCGGGAAUCAUUUUUGUCAUCCCUUGCAUACUAUAGUUCAUCACGAAGUUCUAGUAACUUAGUGAUGGUGACUAGAGAAUUCUGUCAAUCACUAUCUUAUCUGGAAGAUUAACUCCCACUUGAUUCAAGUGAUUGAAGUACCCAGACAAUCUGAGCACAUGCUCACUAGUUGAGUGAUUCUCCUCCAUCUUUUAGCUAUAGAACUUGUUGGAGACUUCAUAUCUCUGAACUCGGGUAUUUGCUGGAAAUAUUAACUUCAACUCCUGGAACAUCUCAUAUGGUCCAUGACAUUCAAAACGUCUUUAAAGUCCCGAUUCUAAGCCGUAAAGUAUGGUGCACAAAACUAUCAAGUAGUCAUCAUAUUGAGCUAGACAAACGUUCAUAACGUCUGCAUAUGCUCCUGCAAUAGGUCCGUCACCUAGCAGUGCAUUAAGGACAUAAUUCUUCUGUGCAGCAAUGAGGAUAAACCUCAGAUCACGGAUCCAAUCCGCAUCAUUGCUACUAACAUCUUUCAACACAAUUUUCUCUAGGAACAUAUCAAAAUAAACAUAUGAAAGCAACAACGCAAGCUAUUGAUCUACAACAUAAUUUGCAAAAUACUACCAGGACUAAGUUCAUGAUAAAUUUAAGUUCAAUUAAUCAUAUUACUUAAGAACUCCCACUUAGACAGACAUCUCUCUAGUCAUCUAAGUGAUUACGUGAUCCAAAUCAACUAAACCAUGUCCGAUCAUCACGUGAGAUGGAGUAGUUUUCAAUGGUGAACAUCACUAUGUUGGUCAUAUCUACUAUAUGAUUCACGCUCGACCUUUCGGUCUCCGUGUUCCGAGGCCAUAUCUGUAUAUGCUAGGCUCGUCAAGUUUAACCUGAGUAUUCCGCGUGUGCAACUGUUUUGCACCCGUUGUAUUUGAACGUAGAGCCUAUCACACCCGAUCAUCACGUGGUGUCUCAGCACGAAGAACUUUCGCAACGGUGCAUACUCAGGGAGAACACUUCUUGAUAAUUAGUGAGAGAUCAUCUUAAAAUGCUACCGUCAAUCAAAGCAAGAUAAGAUGCAUAAAGGAUAAACAUCACAUGCAAUCAAUAUAAGUGAUAUGAUAUGGCCAUCAUCAUCUUGUGCUUGUGAUCUCCAUCUCCGAAGCACCAUCGUGAUCACCAUCGUCACCGGCGUGACACCUUGAUCUCCAUCGUAGCAUCGUUGUCGUUUACGCCAUCUAUUGCUUCUACGACUAUCGCUACCGCUUAGUGAUAAAGUAAAGCAAUUACAGGGCGUUUGCAUUUCAUACAAUAAAGCGACAACCAUAUGGCUCCUGCCAGUUGCUGAUAACUUCGGUUACAAAACAUGAUCAUCUCAUACAAUAAAAUAUAGCAUCACGUCUUGACCAUAUCACAUCACAACAUGCCCUGCAAAAACAAGUUAGACGUCCUCUACUUUGUUGUUGCAAGUUUGACGUGGCUGCUACGGGCUGAGCAAGAACCAUUCUUACCUACGCAUCAAAACCACAACGAUAGUUUGUCAAGUUAGUGCUAUUUUAACCUUCGCAAGGACCGGGCGUAGCCACACUCAGUUCAACUAAAGUUGGAGAAACAGACACCCUCUAGUCACCUGUGUGCAAAGCACGGCGGUAAAACCAGUCUCGCGUAAGCGUACGCGUAAUGUCGGUCCGGGCCGCUUCAUCCAACAAUACCGCUGAACCAAAGUAUGACAUGCUGGUAAAUAGUAUGACUUGUAUCGCCCACAACUCACUUGUGUUCUAUUCGUGCAUAUAACAUCAACGCAUAAAACCUAGGCUCGGAUGCCACUGUUAGAGAACGUAGUAAUUUCAAAAAAAUUCCUACGCACACGCAAGAUCAUGGUGAUGGCAUAGCAACGAGAGGGGAGAGUGUUGUCCACGUACCCUCGUAGACCGUAAGCGGAAGCGUUAUGACAACGCGGUUGAUGUAGUCGUACGUCUUCACGAUCCAACCGAUCCAAGUACCGAACGUACGGCACCUCUGAGUUCAGCACACGUUCAGCUCGAUGACGAUCCCCGGACUCCGAUCCAGCAAAGUGUCGGGGAUGAGUUCCGUCAGCACGACGGCGUGGUGACGAUGAUGAUGCUCUACCGGCGCAGGGCUUCGCCUAAACUCUGCGACGAUAUGACCGAGGUGGAAUAUGGUGGAGGGGGGCACCGCACACGGCUAAGGAACGAUCCGUAGAUCAACUUGUGUGUCAUGGGGUGCCCCCUGCCCCCGUAUAUAAAGGAGCAAGGGGGGAGGUGGCCGACCCUAGGAGGGGGCGCACAAAGUGUGGAGUCCUACUAGGACUCCCUAGUCCUAGUAGGAUUCCACCUCCCUUGUUGGAGUAGGAGAGGGGAAAAGAAGGGGAGAGGAAGAAGGAAAGGGGGGCUGCGCCCCUUGUCCAAUUCGGACCAGAGGGGGGGCGCAGGCCUCCUUCCUUUUGGCCUCUCUCCCCUAUUCCCGUAUGGCCCAAUAAGGCCCAUAUACUCCCCGACGAAUUCCCGUAACUCUCCGGUACUCCGAAAAAUACCCGAAUCACUCGGAACCUUUCCGAACUCCGAAUAUAGUCGUUCAAUAUAUCGAUCUUUACGUCUCAACCAUUUGGAGACUCCUCGUCAUGUCCCCGAUCUCAUCCGGGACUCCGAACUCCUUCGGUACAUCAAAACUCAUAAACUCAUAAUAUAACUGUCAUCGAAACCUUAAGCGUGCGGACCCUACGGGUUCGAGAACUAUGUAGACAUGACCUAGAACUAUUCUUGGUCAAUAACCAAUAGCGGAACUUGGAUGCCCAUAUUGGCUCCUACAUAUUCUACGAAGAUCUUUAUCGGUCAAACCGCAUAACAACAUACUUUGUUCCCUUUGUCAUCGGUAUGUUACUUGCCCGAGAUUCGAUCGUCGGUAUCCAAUACCUAGUUCAAUCUCGCUACCGGCAAGUCUCUUUACUCGUUACGUAAUGCAUCAUUCCGUAACUAACUCAUUAGCUACAUUGCUUGCAAGGCUUAUAGUGAUGUGCAUUACCGAGAGGGCCCAAAGAUACCUCUCCGACAAUCGGAGUGACAAAACCUAAUCUCAAAAUACGCCAACCCAACAUGUACCUUUGGAGACACCUGUAGUACUCCUUUAUAAUCACCCAGUUACGUUGUGACGUUUGGUAGCACCCAAAGUGUUCCUCCGGUAAACGGGAGUUGCAUAAUCUCAUAGUUACAGGAACAUGUAUAAGUCAUGAAAAAAGCAAUAGCAACAUACUAAACGAUCAAGUGCUAAGCUAACGGAAUGGGUCAAGUCAAUCACAUCAUUCUCCUAAUGAUGUGAUCCCGUUAAUCAAAUGACAACUCUUUUGUCCAUGGUUAGGAAACAUAACCAUCUUUGAUAAACGAGCUAGUCAAGUAGAGGCAUACUAGUGACACUAUGUUUGUCUAUGUAUUCACACAUGUAUUAUGUUUCCGGUUAAUACAAUUCUAGCAUGAAUAAUAAACAUUUAUCAUGAUAUAAGGAAAUAAAUAAUAACUUUAUUAUUGCCUCUAGGGCAUAUUUCCUUCACUCCGAACCAGACACAACAUCAGCAAGCGCGUGCACGCCGGAGAUCCAGGCCGGCCGGAGGUCAUGCAACACGAGCGGACCAGAUCGACUCUGAUCUGACGAGGGGAGCCCGGGGCCUCCCCGCGCCAUGACCAGCACCCACCGGGACCUCGCUGCCCAUUCAGCCUAGGGGAUCCGGCCUACCUCACCGACGAGCACUCCCCGCCACCGGAGGAGCGCCGUCCGCCCCAGCGAGGCCGUCGCCUCAGAUCAGCCGGCGCGGAUCUAACCAGCAGCGCGCACCAGCCGACGCACCGGCCACCGAUCUCCGUCGUCGCCGCGCCCGAAGAAGCAGCCCCUCGCGACCCCUGUUCCAAGCGAGGUCAAACGAGAUCCCCGCCGCCGCCGGCACCGCGCGGUCUUUGCCCGGCGGCGCCCGGCGGCGGCGGCGGGAGGAGANNNNNNNNNNNNNNNNNNNNNNNNNNNNNNNNNNNNNNNNNNNNNNNNNNNNNNNNNNNNNNNNNNNNNNNNNNNNNNNNNNNNNNNNNNNNNNNNNNNNNNNNNNNNNNNNNNNNNNNNNNNNNNNNNNNNNNNNNNNNNNNNNNNNNNNNNNNNNNNNNNNNNNNNNNNNNNNNNNNNNNNNNNNNNNNNNNNNNNNNNNNNNNNNNNNNNNNNNNNNNNNNNNNNNNNNNNNNNNNNNNNNNNNNNNNNNNNNNNNNNNNNNNNNNNNNNNNNNNNNNNNNNNNNNNNNNNNNNNNNNNNNNNNNNNNNNNNNNNNNNNNNNNNNNNNNNNNNNNNNNNNNNNNNNNNNNNNNNNNNNNNNNNNNNNNNNNNNNNNNAGGGCUAUUAAGAUCCAGUGACUGCUUCACGCCGACCAACCACUAAAAAGAUGAACAAACAACGGAUCAUAAGCACUUGCUGAAAAGCCGGACAGAGGCUACGGUAGAGUGGUAGCUGCAUGUACAUGUGGUGGCUACACUUACUUGAUUACAAAAGAAAAUAUAAUUUUAUAUGAUAACUUAAUACUCCCUCCGUCCUAUAAUGUAAGAUUUUUUUGGCACUAGUGUAGUGCCAAAAAAGUCUUACAUUAUGGGAUACUAGUGCCAAAAAAGUCUUACAUUAUGGGACAAAGGGAAUAAGAAGUAGUAUAAUUGAGGCUUUUUUUGAGUUACUGGUUGAAAAAAAUUGUAAUACAGCUUGAAUAUUUUUGGUACACAGGUUGAAUUUUUUUAGGUACACGUUCAAUAUUUAUUUGAAUAUAUGUUGAACAUUUGUGGAAUUCACGUUGAAUAUUUUUCUAAUACAUGCUGAACAUUUUUCAAGAUUGUUAUUAACAUUUCCGUAAAACAUGCGAACAUUUUUUAAGUGUUUAUAAACAUUUUUUAAUGAUAGUAAUUCUUUUGUAUAUGUUAUAAAUACUUUUAAAAAUUGGGUGAACAAAAUUUUACGUUUGUUAUGUUGUGGACAUUUUUAAAAUUGCGUGGAAAAAUGAGACCGUAACCAAGAUCCCACCUCACCAGCCCACAUAGACAGUCCACCCCGACCCGAAGAAGCCCGUGGCAAAGAGAGCCUAGCGAACGCAGAGGAUAGGGAGAGAAAAAGCAACCAGACGCCCAUCGCUCGCUCCUUCUCCCCACUGGUCGCAGCCAUGAGACCCUCCUCCUCUUCCUGCCCUCUCCCGCCUCCCCCGACCUGCUCGUCCCGCCUCCCCCAGCUCCGCUGCUUCGUCGGCCUCCGGUGGUCUGCCCCCCGCGUUCAGGUAUGCUCGCCCCCGUCAUCCCAGCGGAACCACGCCCCCAACCUCAACCUGGCGCUACCUGCUCGGCUGCAGGAGCAGAGAGGGUCGGAAAAGAGCGAUGGUUUUGAAAUUUUAUUAUGCUGUCCCUCUGGCGCAGGUCAGGGGGCAAUUAGACGCGUUUGCAGGAAUUGGCAGUGGUGCGCGUGGAUGCGGUGCGCGAUUCAGGUUAGUUCGAGGCUUGCUUUGUGAAUUCUGAACCUUAUGGUGCCGCUGCCGUUAACAAGCAUGCUGAAAACAAAAUCAAAAUUACAGUAAAAAUGUUGGUCAGUACCGAUGUUGGUAGUUUGCUCUAAUGAAUUGCAACUCUGAAAUAUUGUCAUGACUCAUAAGUAACUGGUACCACUGGUAGUGGGUACCUUUGGGCAACAAACUAUGAUGUUAGUAAGAUACCGGUUCAAUUCGUGAACAUGUAAUGGUAAGUUGGUAGUCAAUCAUAAACUCGCGAUAAAACUAGAAAAAGUUGAUGAUACUAGCUGAAUGGUAUGGUUGGUGAAAAUUUACCUUGAUUUAAGCACUCACAUUUGAUUCUGAAAUUGAGUGGGUCCAAUAUCGAACAUAUUUUGUACCCUGAUGAAUCCCCUUUUUUCUGACUACAGAGCGCCUGCUUCCAGUGCGUCCCAACCUUGUUAUAGCUCCACCGUCAUUAGGAACGACAAUUCUCAAAAUGCUGAUUUUCCACGUAACUACUCCAAAAGGGAGAAGAAACCAUUUCCUAUACCAGUACUGGAGUUAAGGCGCCGAGCAAGACAGAGGAUGAAGGAAGCUGAAGGGAAGCCUAGGGGGCCGCCGCCACCUCCGAAAAAUGGAUUGCUGGUCCAGAGACUAAUACCAGAGGCAUACAGAGUGUACAACGCAAGAAUUUUGCUGAUCAACAACUUGAAGAGGCUGAUAAAAGUAGUACCAGUGAAAGGCUGCAAGUAAUUAUCUUGUCCUGUUUUUUUUCCUGAUAAGUAUGCUCUUGAAAUCGUGCUAAAGGUAAAAUUCCUCAUUACAUAUCUAUCACACUCGACAGAAGAGGUCUGUCUUCAUGCUGUAUAAUCUGUAAAGCACAAUAGCAUGAUAGGAUUUGUAUAAACGACAGAUAAAGUACCUCACAUACACGUGUUCCAUUGGCAAUAUGAUUAAGUUAUGCCAAUGCAUAUAAUUAACUUACCUUUUCGUCUAGUAAUAUGACAUGAACCAUGUAGGAUGGAGGUAUCUAGAUGCACAGUUGAAGUAGUCGGCUUGAGAGUAUUCUAGAAGGUUGUUUCUUGUGUACCCCGUUGAAUACAUACAUUUGCGCGUACAUUACUGAAUCCAAUUAAGGCAUCUCCAUUUGGUUUUAUCAAAGCCUCCAGUGAGUCAAAACGGACAUCUGCAUUAAGUCAGGACAGAAGUUUGGACUUCAUGUUUAUUUCUUGAAGAAAUCUCUGUUCAUGUUAAAAUUUAAUCCUGUGAUGGUAUUUGAUAAUUUGAAAAUGAUUUAGUUCAUAAGUCAUAAUGCUGUGUUGCCCUGUGCUUUUUAGUUUUUUAUGUUGUGUUGUGUCACAUUGACAAAAUUAUAUUGAUACACAUGACUAUUUUACAAUUUACCAACUUAUGUACCCUUAGGUUGUCUUAUGCAUUUGUUCAGUCCACUAUGCCGCUCAUGUGCACUCGUGAUUAUCAGUGAGAUCUAUGAUUUCUUUACUAUUGCUAUAUGUGAGGAAAUAAUGCCUGUUUCCGGUGCAGAUAUUGCAGUGAGAUACACGUUGGAUCUGUUGGACACCCUUUCAGAACAUGCCGAGGAAUGUCUUCUGAUAAACGCAAGGGAGAACAUGACUGGGGAAGUACUUUUGUUGAAGCUGUUUUCUUGCCAGUUGAAGCUUACCACCUAGAGGACCGUCUGGGCCCGCGUAUUCCUCAUGACCAGAGGUUUGAGGUGCCCCGCGUUCCUGCUCUUGUGGAGCUUUGCAUCCAAGCUGGUCUCGACCUCCCUGAGUACCCCACAAAACGCCGAAGAAAGCCAAUUGUUAAGAUCGGAAGGAAAGAGUUUGUCGACGCAAAUGAAGAUGACCUGCCUGACCCAGAGCCUGACAAAUUUAAGGAGCCAAUUCUCGAAGAAAUAUCCGACGAUGAGAUUACCCCUCCGUCGAGCCCAGAGGAGACGGCUGCUCUUGCUGAGGAAACACUCGAAGUGUGGGAGACACUCCGGAACGGUGCCUUGAGGUUCAUGAAGAGGUAUUCAGUGAGGGUGUGCGGAUACUGUCCUGAGGUGCACAUUGGAGCGAGUGGUCAUAAAGCGCGCAACUGUGGAGCCUUCAAGCACCAGCAGAGGAAUGGACAGCAUGGGUGGCAGGCGGCGGUGCUCGAUGACCUAAUACCCCCUAGAUACGUCUGGCACAUGCCGGAAUCUGGGGAGUUGCAGAAGGAGCUCAAGAUCUUCUAUGGGCAGGCGCCGGCUGUCGUUGAGAUAUGCAUUCAGGGCGGCGCACAAGUGCCGGAGAAGUACAAAGCCACAAUGAGGCUAGAUAUAGGGAUUCCCUCCAGCUUGAAAGAGGCUGAAAUGGUCGUCUGAAUGGAAAUGUGGUGUUUACGUUUUGUACGAUUGAGGUCAAGAAAACUGCAAGCUCCAUUCGUGCUGACCAUAGGUUCAUUAUUAUCUUACUCCAUGUAUAUAUAGCAGGAACUUAGCUUAGUCAGAUAAUCUGGUAAGUUUUGUUUGUUUCAGAUGUGAAUCAACGUUUACCAGAUGUUUCUUUGUCUGAGGGAUGUCAUGGCCACUAUUUACAGCGAUGGAAUUGGGGCACACAUGCUGAUGCUGAUAUGUGCCUUACGCUGCGGUGUGCUACAUGAACACUUUGUGUCAAAUUCAGAACCAGUGCAAGUUCAGAUUUUUCUUUUCUUAAUGAAGGAUGCCUGGAAUCAAGAGAUGAAGUGAUUUCCUGCCUUGCACAACAGCAAUCUUGUUUAGUACAUGCUGAAAGCUUGCAUCACUUCAAUAUACACCAAAUUGUGUUCAUGUUUGGACAUCUACAGAACAUCAGAAACCUCUCCCACACUGAAAAGCACGACGAUCAGACCGCGUUCAGCUGGGACACGUUACGCCGUCGAAUUCUCGGAGUUUCGAACCGUAGUCGUGACGCAAAAAGGGAGUCUCCAUUGCCAUCGGAGAAACAAUGCAAUUUAAUUACAAGGCCUUGUUCAGCCGAACCGUUUGCAUUUGGGAGCUGGGACGCCCUCACACUCCCACACAGGUGCAUACAAUUAGUGAACGACGAUUUGUGUGGCCAUCGUCAAUGGGGCGGGGGCUCCACCGCCGUCCUGAAGAGCAGUAUGUAGACCUUAUCAACAGAGAAGUACAAGAAUCCGCCCCUGGCGUGCGUGACGUAUGAACCGAAGCUCGUCCCCACGAUGCAGUGCCAAGCCGCGCCGUAAGCGGUGUCGAACUCCUGUCAGCAAAGGAUAAUUAUAAGCUCCACCAUGUGUGCACUAAUGCUCAUGUGAGUAGAAAUGUAAAGUUUGCGAGUGUUCGAACAAAUCAUGUGAUUGUCUGGUUAAAUUGUGAAUGACAUUAGAGAAGCAAUGGCAAAGCUGGCAGAGAUUGAGCAUUUUGAGCGCGGCAGAUGUGAAUAGUCAUUCCCCGGAAGGCUAGAACAGUCAAUUGACGCAUAUUUCCUGGUCAAACUUAUGCGGUGACACUGACAGCCACAUGCAUGAUUACAACUUUGGAUUGUUCUAUUUGUUAAAUGAUCUAAUCGGUGGUUAGCUACGCGAAUGAUCGUUUCAUUAGGCUUGACCCCAUCGCCUAGGUGUUGGGAGCCUGAUGCUCCAACUGCCAAUGAUGACAAGCAAAACAACAAACUCAUUUUCAGACAGCUGCAGAGGGCAGCCGACUCAAUACACUCCACCUACGUAUCCCUUCGUUCCAAUUUACUCGUCCUGUUUUUAGUUCAAAUUUGAACUAACUAAAACCACGACGAGUAAAUAGGAACGGAGGGAGUAGAUAGUACUAGUAACACACAAAAUGGAAGUGGUGUGGUGAUCAUAAUGCGGAGGAUCUAUCCGCAAUUUCGACAUGAAUGCAGCUCAAUCCUUCAAGGCGGAUACAAAUGCAGAAGUACAUCGAUCAAUUAUCACUGCAUUGCCGCGAGAGUACAGUCGAACUUACUCCCAGAAUCAGAGGUGUUCUACGAAAGUUCCUAGCAAGCUAGCAAGAUGCUGCACUCGCUGCACAAUCACGAGUAUUAUAAUCGGCGACUAGAAGGCAACAGGGGCAAAUACUCCUACUAGUACUAGCAAUCAUGUACGUACGUACUGCCAAUCCGCCGCGUCUGACGGUGCAUUUUUUUGGGAGCAGGCAACGCGGCGGGUUCCUGGCCAAGCUGUGCGCUAGCAAUCUUGGAGACGGCAAUGGGGUUGUAGUCAUGGUUAGUUACCUUCUUGAGGGCGAGCGCGAGGCGCUUGGGCUCGAGUCGGCGCGGGAAGUGCGGCAUCCCGGCGAGCUCGUCGCGGGCGCAGCGGAACGCGCGCCGCUGCAGCGCGGGCGGCAUGUCGGCCGCCACCACCCGCACCACCGCCUUCCUCUCCGCGCCGACGCCGUCCUCCUUCUUCGAGCCGCCCUCCUCGGCGCCAGCGCCGUCGUCCUCCGCGAGCCUGGCGACGCCGAGCAGCGACCUGAUGACGCCGCCCCGGCGCCCCGCCUCGCCGCGGGCCUCCUGCUCCCUCAUGCUCGCGAGUAACAACUCACAACCCUCCCUUGCCGCCGGCCGGGAGCGUUGUUUGCCGAGCGGGCCGGGAGGAGGGAAACGAGCUGAGCUGAGCUGAGAUGGCGAGUGUGCUCUGGUAUUUCUUUGUUAACGCUGUGCGGCGGUUGGGGCGGCUUUUUGUAUUGGGGCGGGAGAGGAUGUAGCGUUGGGGCUCGUUAAAGUUGGCGCCGUACUCUCAUCUCCCGUUUUUAUCAUUUCUUUUCUCGGCCUGCCCGGGAAGCCCGCCGGUGGGAUCACCGACGCGACGGGCACGGCCGAGCUCCGGGACGGCGCACGAUGGUUUUGUUUCUUUUUGCUCGGCGAGGCGCGCGCGUGGCGUUGGGGGCGACGACGAGCGGCGAGAUCCGGACGUGGAACGGCUGCCAUGGCCACGGUAGGACUGCUGCACCGUGCACCAUACCGCCCCGCGCAGUUGACUACAGUAGUUCAGUAGGCAGUUUUGCUAAGUCUCGGUCAAAGUCUCGGUCGAUGCUACUACAUUCCUUUAAUCUUGCAUGAAGAUUGAUACAAUUUUUUCUUCUCUUUAGCUGUUUUCUUCUUAUUAUUAUAAGCUACAUUACUUGACUGAGCCUUGGUUAAGCCUUAGCCGACUGAGACCUAGCCACACCUUUCAGUAGGAAUAAUUCAGUAGGUGGAUGGUACUACGACUGCUUCAUCGGACCGUCCUCGCUUCACCGUGGUGUUCAGGCAAAACAUGGUGUGUGUGAUGAAAUAUGACGCGUCGAGUUGUGCAGUGCGUGCAGACACUGGUUUGCUUGUCCACGGUAUGAAGCUAUGAACGAGGAGCACCUGGUUCUAGGUUUGAUCGGCUAAACCAUCAAAAUGAGUUCCGGAGGGAAAAGUUCCUUCCUGGGAGCAAAAUUAGAAGUUGGGCGCUCGUUGGCGGUGAAUGCACACCCUCCUGCCCUCAUGCGCACGAGCUUAGCAACUGCAGCGAAAGAAUUUUCGUGCCUAAUAUGUAGUGUGGAGUGUUAAGAACUAUGAAGAGCCAUACAUUUGAACUUUUCUAAAAUUUCGAACGCGUUUUUUUUAAAUAGAAUACAACUUGAAACGUGAACCUUUUUCAAAUUUGUGAACAAAUUUUUUAACAUAUGAACACGUAUUUUAAAACAAGAACAAUCUUGAAACACUGGAGAACAUUUUGAAAUUAUGAACAAAUUUUUAAAAAUGAUAACAAAUUUUGAAACUACAAACUUCUUUGAAGUAUCGAACAAAUUGUAAAAUUGCAAACAUUUCGGUAAAAAAUAAAAAAAUGUAACUUUGGACACUUUCUUAAAAUGCACACAAAUUUGUAAAUUCCAAUUAUUUUUUUUGAAAUUACGAACAAUGUUUAUGAACAAAAUUUGAAACUUUGAACCUUGUUCUAAAAGGUGAACAAAUUUUGUAAUUCCAGAUUUUUUUUUGAAAAGGCAAUUCUUGAGAACGUGACAAAAGUGGAACUUUUGAACCUUUUUGUAAAAAAAAUGAUUUUUUUUAUAUGUUCAUAUAAAAAAAGUGGUUUUUAAGAACAAUAACAAAGAAAAAAGGAAUAUAUCUAAAGUUGAAAAAUAAACAGAAAAAAUGAAUACAGAAAAAGGAAAAAAAAGAAACAUAAAGAAGGAAAACGGAAAAAAGAAAUGUAAAUAGAAACAGAAAAACAAAAAAAGAAAAGGAAAAACAAACGAAAAUGGUAUAUAGAAAGCAAAAACAUCAGUUCAAAAACCGAGCUGCCUCACUGUGCGAAAGUGGGCCGGCCCAAUUCCGGCACUCGAGGGGAUCGCAUUGCGAAUGCUUCUUGGCAGUUUGACGCUAAAAGCGUCAAAUAUGUUUUUCCAUCCUCCCGGCGCCCGCGUCACCUUGGGCGGACCUAACAAGGAGGUGAUCGGCCGCUCACUCGCCGGUUUUCCUGGUUCGCUGGGUGCGGUUGACAUGUCCGGUUAAAAGGUCCACCAUUGACUUUUUGAGAAAAAUACAUUUUUAAAAGAAAAUAGAAAUAUAAAAUUGAAAGGUAUUUUGUGAUUUUUUUAAAAAGUUCAGGAAUUCAAAAAAGGAUCUUGGAUUUUGAAAAAAAUCGCUAAUUUGGAAAAGUUCAUCAAUUUAAAAGAAAUAAUAAUUUGAAAAGAGUCAUGAAUUUUAUUAUUUUAUUGAUUUUGGGAAAAAAGUUCACGAAUUUGAAAAACUUCAUGGACUUCGAAAAACAAAUCACAUAUUCAAAAAAAUGAAUUGAAGAAAAGUUCACGUGUUUUGGAAAAAAGGUUCAUGCUUUUGAAAAAAGUUUUAAAAAUUGAAAAAAGAUUUUGAAUUGGAAAUAAGUUCAUGGAUGUAAAAAAAGAAUAAAAAGAUAAAAAGUAGAAUUAAAACAGUGCGGAAAACAAAACAAAAAACGAUGGAAGCUUCAAAAGCUUCCCUCUCGUGCCCAACGGGACAACCCAUUCUACAUGUAUCAAAGCGAGGGGUUUGUGCACCGUUUACGAACAAGGUUGUACACCCAUAGAGGUUCAUUCGAGUGGUUGGUUCUAUUCAUGGCCCGAGCAUAACAGGUGGUCAUGUGGAAAUAGCAUUAGUUCUCUUCUUUCAUGUGGAAUGGCCCAUGUGUUUGGUUCGAACCGGUGACGACUCCUCAUCCGGUCGCUUCGCUCUAACUAGCAUCAACACUAUUGAGUCACCAUUACUCUAGAGUGGCGCUGACCGGCAUGAAAGUGUUGGAGAACGUAGUAAUUUAAAAAAAAUCCUACGCACACACAAGAUCAUGGUGAUGCAUAGCAACGAGAGGCGAGAGUGUUGUCCACGUACCCUCGUAGACCGAAAGCGAAAGCGUUAUCACAACGCGGUUGAUGUAGUCGUACGUCUUCACGAUCCGACCGAUCCAAGUACCGAACGUACGGCACCUCCGAGUUCAGCACACGUUCAGCUCGAUGACGUCCCACGAACUCCGAUCCAGCAGAGCUUUGCGGGAGAGUUCCGUCAGCAUGACGGUGACGAUGUUGAUGAUGCUACCGACGCAGGGCUUCGCCUAAGCACCACUACGAUAUUACCGAGGUGGAAUAUGGUGGAGGGGGGCACCGCACAUGGCUAAGUGAUCAAUGAUCAAUUGUUGUGUCUAGAGGUGCCUGUCGGUGUCAAAAUCGGCGGAUCUCGGGUAGGGGGUCCCAAGCUGUGCGUCUUAGGAUCAAUGGUAACAUGAACACGGGAAUUUACCCAGCUUCGGGCUCUCUUGAUGAGAUAAUACCCUACAUGCUGCUUGAUUGACUUUAAUGAGUAUAUGGGUUACAAGAGUUGAUCUACCUCGAGAUCAUAUGUUGUGGUCUAAACCCUAGAGGUAUGAUGAGUAAUAUCAUAAUCCUCUAUCGACUAGCCUAGCCUCGGUUUAUAUAAUGUACCAGAGGCCUAGGAUAACAAGAUUCCUAGCCGAAUACGCCGGUGGGGGAGGAGUCCUUGUCUUGAUCACCAAGUCUUGUAGAAUCUUCCUUGUGUAUACUUCGGCUGUCCGAACUGGCCCAUGAGUAAACGGCCAUGGCGAUCCUCGGCCCAAUCCAACUGAUCGGGAGACGACGUGGUGAGUACCUGAUACGUCUCCAACGUAUCUAUAAUUUAUGAAGCAUUCAUGCAAAUUUAAUAUUUGUUUUGAAUGAUUAUGGGCAUUAUUAUACACUUUUAUAUUACUUUUGGGACUAACCUAUUAACCGGAGGGCCAACCCAUAUUGCAGUUUUCUUGCCUAUUUUAGUGUUUCGAAGAAAAGGAAUAUCAAACGGAGUCCAAACGGAAUGAAACCUUUGGGAGCGUGAUUUUUGGAACGAACAUGAUCCAGGAGACUUGGAGUUCACGUCAGAGAAGCUUCGAGGAAGCCAUGAGGGUGCCCCCCCCCUACUGGGCGCCCCCUGUCUUGUGGGCCCCUCGAGCGUCCCCCGACCAACUUGUUUCACCUAUAUAUUCCCAAAUACCCUAAAAACAUCGAAGGAGAAGAUAGAUCGGGAGUUCUGCCGCCGCAAGCCUAUGUAGCCACCAAAAGUCAAUCGGGACCCUGUUCCGGCACCCUGCCGGAGGGGGGAUCCCUCACCGGUGGCCAUCUUCAUCAUCCCGGCGCUCUCCAUGACGAGGAGGGGGUAGUUCACCCUCGGGGCUGAGGGUAUGUAUCAGUAGCUAUGUGUUUGAUCUCUCUCUCUCUCUCUCGUGUUCUCUCUAUGGCAUGAUCUUGAUGUAUCGCAAGCUUUGCUAUUAUAGUUGGAUCUUAUGAUGUUUCUCCCCCUCUACUCUCUUGUAAUGGAUUGAGUUUUCCCUUUAAAGUUAUCUUAUCGGAUUGAGUCUUUAAGGAUUUGAGAACACUUGAUGUAUGUCUUGCCGUGCUUAUCUGUGGUGACAAUGGGGUAUUCACGUGAUUCACCUGAUGUAUGUUUUGUUGAUCAACUUGCGGGUUCCGUGACCUUGGAAAUCUAUGCAUAGGGGUUAGCACACGUUUUUGUCUUGACUCUCCGGUAGAAACUUUGGGGCACUCUUUGAAGUACUUUGUGUUGGUUGAAUAGAUGAAUCUGAGAUUGUGUGAUGCAUAUCGUAUAAUCAUCCUCACGGAUACUUGAGGUGACAAUGGAGUAUCUAGGUGACAUUAGGGUUUCGGUUGAUUUGUGUCUUAAGGUGUUAUUCUAGUAUGAACUGUAUGAUAGAUUGAACGGAAAGAAUAACUUCAUGUUAUUUUACUACGGACUCUUGAAUAGAUAGAUCAAAAAGGAUAACUUUGAGGUGGUUUCGUACCCUACCAUAAUCUCUUCGUUUGUUCUCCGCUAUUAGUGACUUUGGAGUGACUCUUUGUUGCAUGUUGAGGGAUAGUUAUAUGAUCCAGUUAUGUUAUUAUUGUUGAGAGAACUUGCACUAGUGAAAGUAUGAACCUUAGGCCUUGUUUCCUAUCAUUGCAAUACCGUUUACGCUCACUUUUAUCAUUAGUUACCUUGCUGUUUUUAUAAUUUCAGAUUACAAAUACCUUUAUCUACCAUCCAUAUUGCACUUGUAUCAUCAUCUCUUCGCCGAACUAGUGCACCUAUACAAUUUACCAUUGUAUUGGGUGUGUUGGGGACACAAGAGACUCUUUGUUAUUUGGUUGCAGGGUUGUUUAAGAGAGACCAUCUUCAUCCUACGCCUCCCACAGAUUGAUAAACCUUAGGUCAUCCACUUGAGGGAAAUUUGCUACCGUCCUACAAACCUCUGCACUUGGAGGCCCAACAACGUCUACAAGAAGAAGGUUGUGUAGUAGACAUCAAGCUCUUUUCUAGCGCCGUUGCGGGGAGGUGAGUGCUUGAAGGUAUAUCUUUAGAUCUUGCAAUCGAAUCUUUUUGUUUCUUAUUUUAUCAAUAGUUUAGUCUAUAGAAUAAAAUCACAAAAAAAUGGAAUUGAGUUUGUCUCAUACACUUCAUCUUUUUAAUAUCUUUCAUGAGAAUGAUGGUAAGGAAAAUUGUGCUCAGGUGCUAGAAGAAGAAGUCUAUAAAAUGUUUGGCAUAAAAUAUUUGAAUGAUGAGCAUGAUUGCAAUGUUUUUAGUAUGAACUCCUUGAAUAUCCAUAGUACUAAUGAUGAUUGCACUAGUUAUGAUGAAAAUGUCUCCUAUAAGCAUGUUAAUUUUUGUGGAGAGCAUUGGGUUUGCAAGUACACACCAAAUAGGGAAAAUAGAUAUUGCAAGAGGCAUAAGCAUUUAGAAACUAAAUUGUUGCAAGAAAGGCUAGAUAAGAAUGCUAAAAAUUCACAUUUCCUUUGCCGUACUUGUGAACUUUGCAAUGAACGUGGUCAUUUACAUCUCCGAUGCAAAUUAUUUCAUGAUCAAAUCGUGUCCAAAAAUUGUGAUGAUUUGAUUUCCCUUGCACAUUAUAAUGAACAUAGUUUGCUUUUGGGUUAUGAAGAAAUGAAAUGUUUAACUAAGAAUCUUCCAGAAUUUGUCCUUAAGAAACUCUUUGAUUUUGAUCUAGAGGCAAUUUAUAUGUAUUGUGCGGUGAAUUGCAUUGAAAAUCCUUAUAUUGCCAAUUACAUAAAGAAAAGAAAGCAAGUGGAAGAUGAAGAGAAUACUAAUGAAAGGGAAGAGACUUCCCAAUAUCUGUUGGGUUUCGUAGUAAUUUCAAAAAAUUUCCUACGCGCACACAGGAUCAUGUGAUGCAUAGCAACGAGAGGAGAGUGUUGUCUACGUACCCAACGUAGACCGACUGCGGAAGCGAUGACACGACGUAGAGGAAGUAGUCGUACGUCUUCACGAUCCAACCGAUCAAGCACCGAAACUACGGCACCUCCGAGUUCGAGCACACGUUCAGCUCGAUGACGAUCCCCGGACUCCGAUCCAGCAAAGUGUCGGGGAAGAGUUUCGUCAGCACGACGGCGUGGUGACGAUCUUGAUGAACUACAGCAGCAGGGCUUCGCCUAAACUCCGCUACAGUAUUAUCGAGGAAUAUGGUGGCAGGGGGCACCGCACACGGCUAAGGAAUCGAUCACGUGGAUCAACUUGUGUCAACUUGUGUGUUUAGAGGUGCCCCUGCCUCCGUAUAUAAAGGAUGGAGGAGGAGGAGGCCGGCCAAGGCAAAGGUGCGGCCAGGAUAGGGAGUCCUACUAGGACUCCAAGUCCUAGUAGGAGUCCACCAAGAGGGGAGGAAGGGAGAAGGAAUAGGCGGAGAAGGAGAGGUGGCCGGCCCCCUUUUCCCUAGUCCAAUUCGGACCAAAGGGGAGGGGGGGCGCAGCAGCCUUUUUCCUCUUCCCACUAAAGCCCAUCAAGGCCCAUUACUUCUCCCGUAACUACCCGGUACUCCGAAAAAUACCCGAAUCACUCGGAACCUUUCCGAUGUCCGAAUAUAGUCGUCCAAUAUAUCGAUCUUUACGUCUCGACCAUUUCGAGACUCCUCGUCAUGUCCCCGAUCUCAUCCGGGACUCCGAUCUCCUUCGGUACAUCAAAAUGCAUAAACUCAUAAUAUAACUGUCAUCGUAACCUUAAGCGUGCGGACCCUACGGGUUCGAGAACAAUGUAGACAUGACCGAGACAUGUCUCCGGUCAAUAACCAAUAGCGGGACCUGGAUGCCCAUAUUGGCUCCUACAUAUUCUACGAAGAUCUUUAUCGGUCAGACCGCAUAACAACAUACGUUGUUCCCUUUGUCAUCGGUAUGUUACUUGCCCGAGAUUUGAUCGUCGGUAUCCAAUACCUAGUUCAAUCUCGUUACCGGCAAGUCUCUUUACUCGUUCCGUAAUACAUCAUCUCACAACUAACAUAUUAGUUGCAGUGCUUGCAAGGCUUAUGUGAUGUGCAUUACCGAGAGGGCCCAGAGAUACCUCUCCGACAAUCGGAGUGACAAAUCCUAAUCUCGAAAUACGCCAACCCAACAUCAACCAUUGGAGACACCUGUAGUACUCCUUUAUAAUCACCCAUUUACGUUGUGACGUUUGGUAGUACCCAAAGUGUUCCUCCGGUAAACGGGAGUUGCAUAAUCUCAUAGUCGUAGGAACAUGUAUAAGUCAUGAAGAAAGCAAUAGCAACAUACUAAACGAUCAGGUGCUAAGCUAAUGGAAUGGGUCAUGUCAAUCAGAUCAUUCUACUAAUGAUGUGACCUCGUUAAUCAAAUAACAACUCAUUGUUCAUGGUUAGGAAACAUAACCAUCUUUGAUUAACGAGCUAGUCAAGUAGAGGCAUACUAGUGACACUCUGUUUGUCUAUGUAUUCACACAUGUAUUAUGUUUCCGGUUAAUACAAUUCUAGCAUGAAUAAUAAACAUUUAUCAUGAUAUAAGGAAAUAAAUAAUAACUUUAUUAUUGCCUCUAGGGCAUAUUUCCUUCAGUCUCCCACUUGCACUAGAGUCAAUAAUCUAGUUCACAUCGCCAUGUGAUUUAACAGCAAUAGUUCACAUCACCAUGUGAUUAACACCCAUAGUUCACAUCGCUAUGUGACCAACACCCAAAGGGUUUACUAGAUUCAGUAAUCUAGUUCACAUCGCUAUGUGAUUAACACCCAAGGAGUACUAAGGUGUGAUCAUGUUUUGCUUAUGAGAGAAUCUUAGUCAACGGGUAUGUCAUAUACAGAUCCGUAAGUAUUUUGCGAAUUCUAUGUUUACAAUGCUCUGCACGGAGCUACUCUAGCUAAUUGCUCCCACUUUCAAUAUGUAUCUAGAUCAAGACUUAGAGUCAUCUAGAUUAGUGUCAAACUUGCAUCGGCGUAACCUUUUACGACGAACCUUUUUCCAUAAUCGAGAAACAUAUCCUUAUUCCACUAAGGACAAUUUUGACCGCUCUCCAGUGAUCUACUCCUAGAUCACUAUUGUACUCCCUUGCCAAACUCAGUGGUAUGGCAUACAAUAGAUCUGGUAUACAGCAUGGCAUACUUUAUAGAACCUAUGACUGAGGCAUAGGGAAUGACUUUCAUUCUCUUUCUAUUUUCUGCCGUGGUCGGGCUUUGAGUCUUACUCAACUUAACACCUUGCAACACAGGCAAGAACUCCUUCUUUGACUGUUCCAUUUUGAACUAUUUCAAAAUUUAUCAAGGUAUGUAUUCAUUGAAAAAAUCUUAUCAAGCGUCUUCAUCUAUCUAUAUAGAUCUUGAUGCUCAAUGUGUAAGCAGCUUCACCAAGGUCUUUCUUUGAAAAACUUUUAUUCAAGUAUCCUUUCAUGCUUUGCAGAAUAAUUCUACAUUAUUUCCGAUCAACAAUAUGUCAUUCACAUAUACUUAUCAGAAAUGUUGUAGUGCUCCCACUCACUUUCUUGUAAAUACAGGCUUCACUGUAAGUCUGUACAAUAACUAUAUGCUUUGAUCAACUUAUCAAAGCAUAUAUUCCAACUCCGAGAUUUAUUCACCAGUCCAUAAAUGGAUCGCUGGAGCUUGCACACUUUGUUAGCUCCCUUUGGAUCGACAAAACCUUCCGGUUGCAUCAUAUACAACUCUUCUUCCAGAAAUCCAUUCAGGUGUGUAGUUUUGACAUCCAUCUGCCAAAUUUCAUAAAAUGCGGCAAUUGCUAACAUGAUUCGGACAGACUUUUAAGCAUCGAUACGAGUAAGAAAAUCUCAUCGUAUUCAACACCUUGAACUUUGUCAAAAACCUUUUUCGACAAGUCUAGCUUUGUAGAUAGUAACACUACUAUCAACGUCCGUCUUCCUCUUGAAGAUCCAUUUAUUCUUAAUGACUCACCGAUCAUCGGGCAAGUCAAUCAAAGUCUACACUUUGUUCUCAUACAUGGAUCAUAUCUCAGAUUUCAUGGCCUCAAGCCAUUUUGUGGAAUCUGGGCUCAUCAUUGCUUCCUCAUAGUUCGUAGGUUCAUCAUGAUCUAGUAGCAUGACCUCCAGAACAGGAUUACCGUACCACUCUGGUGCGGAUCUUACUCUGGUUGAUCUACGCGGUUCAGUAGUAUCUUGAUCUGAAGUUUCAUGAUCAUUAUCAUUGGCUUCCUCACUAACUGGUGUAGGUGUCACUGAAACAGUUUUCUGUGAUGAACUAUUUUCCAGUAAGGGAGCAGGUACAGUUACCUCGUCAAGUUCUACUUUCCUCCCACUCACUUCUUUCGAGAGAAACUCCUUCUCUAGAAAUGAUCCAUUCUUAGCAACGAAUGUUUUGCCUUCGGAUCUGUGAUAGAAGGUGUACCCAACAGUUUCCUUUGGGUAUCCUAUGAAGACACAUUUCUCCGAUUUGGGUUCGAGCUUAUCAGGUUGAAGCUUUUUCACAUAAGCAUCGCAGCCCCAAACUUUAAGAAAUGACAACUUUGGUUUCUUGCCAAACCACAGUUCAUAAGGCGUCGUCUCAACGGAUUUUGAUGGUGCCCUAUUUUAAAACGUGAAUGCAGCUGUCUCUAAUGCAUAACCCCAAAACGAUAGUGGUAAAGAGAUAUCAUAGAUCGCACCAUAUCUAGUAAAGUACGAUUACGACGUUCAGACACACCAUUACGCUGUGGUGUUCCGGGUGGCGUGAGUUGCGAAACUAUUCCACAGUUUUUCAAAUGUACACCAAACUCGUAACUCAAAUAUUCUCCUCCACGAUCAGAUCGUAGAAACUUUAUUUUCUUGUUACGAUGAUUUUCAACUUCACUCUGAAAUUCUUUGAACUUUUCAAAUGUUUCAGACUUAUGUUUCAUUAAGUAAAUAUACCCAUAUCUGCUUAAAUCAUCUGUGAAGGUGAGAAAAUAACGAUAUCCGCCACGAGCCUCAAUAUUCAUCGGGCCACAUACAUCGGUAUGUAUGAUUUCCAACAAAUCUGUUGCUCUCUCCAUAGUACCGGAGAACGGUGUUUUAGUCAUCUUGCCCAAGAGGCACGGUUCGCAAGUACCAAGUGAUUCAUAAUCAAGUGGUUCCAAAAGUCCAUCGGUAUGGAGUUUCUUCAUGCGCUUUAUACCGAUAUGACCUAAACGACAGUGCCACAAAUAAGUUGCACUUUCAUUAUCAACUCUGCAUCUUUUGGCUUCAACAUUAUGAAUAUGUGUAUUACUACUAUCGAGAUUCAAUGAACCAUUUUCAUUGGGUGUGUAACCAUAUAAGGUUUUAUUCAUGUAAAUAGAACAACAGUUUAUUCUCUUACUUAAAUGAAUAACCGUAUUGCAAUAAACAUGAUCAAAUCAUAUUCAUGCUCAACGCAAACACCAAAUAACAUUUAUUUAGGUUCAACACUAAUCCCGAAAGAAUAGGGAGUGUGCGAUGAUGAUCAUAUCAAUCUUGAAACUACUUUCAACACACAUCAUCACUUCACCCUUAACUAGUUUCUGUUUAUUCUGCAACUCCCGUUUCGAGUUACUACUCUUAGCAACUGAACCAGUACCAAAUACCGAGGGGUUGCUAUAAACACUAGUAAAGCACACAUCAAACAUCUGUAUAUCAAAUAUACCCUUUUUCACUUUGCCAUCCUUCUUAUCCACCAAAUAUUUAGGGUAGUUCCGCUUCCAGUGACCAUUUCCUUUGCAGUGUAAGCACUCAGUUUCAGGCUUUGGUUCAGCUUUGGGCUUCUUCGUGGGAGUGACAACUUGCUUGUCAAUCUACUUGAAGUUCCCUUUUCUUGAAACUAGUGAUCUUGUCAACCAUCAACACUUGAUGCUCUUUCUUGAUUUCUACCUUCGUUGAUUUCAACAUCACGAAGAGCUCGGGAAUCAUUUUCAUCAUCCCUUGCAUACUGUAGUUCAUCACGAAGUUCUACUAACUUGGUGAUGGUGACUAGAGAAUUCUGUCAAUCACUAUCUUAUCUGGAAGAUUAACUCCCACUUGAUUCAAGCGAUUGAAGUACCCAGACAAUCUGAGCACAUGCUCACUAGUUGAGCGAUUCUCCUCCAUCUUUUAGCUACAGAACUUGUUGGAGACUUCAUAUCUCUCAACUCGGGUAUUUGCUUGAAAUAUUAACUUCAAUUCCUGGAACAUCUCAUAUGGUCCAUGAUGUUCAAAACGUCUUUGAAGUCCCGAUUCUAAGCCGUUAAUCAUGGUGCACUAAACUAUCAAGUAGUCAUCAUAUUGAGCUAGCCAGACGUUCAUAACUUCUGCAUCUGCUCCUGCAAUAGGUCUGUCUCCUAGCGGUGCAUUAAGGACAUAAUUCUUCUGUGCAGCAAUGAGGAUUUAACCUCAGAUCACGGAUCAAAUCUGUAACAUUGCUACUAACAUUUUUCAACACAAUUUUCUCUAGGAACAUAUCAAAAUAAACACAGGGAAGCAACAACGCGAGCUAUUGAUCUACAACAUGAUUUGCAAAAUACUACCAGGACUAAGUUCAUGAUAAAUUUAAGUUCAAUUUAAUCAUAUUACUUAAGAACUCCCACUUAGAUAGACAUCCCUCUAAUCCUCUAAGUGAUCACGUGAUCCAAAUCAACUAAACCUUGUCCGAUCAUCACGUGAGAUGGAGUAGUUUCAUCGGUGAACAUCAUUAUGUUGAUCAUAUCUACUAUAUGAUUCACGCUCGACCUUUCGGUCUCCGUGUUCCGAGGCCAUAUCUGCAUAUGCUAGGCUCGUCAAGUUUAACCUGAGUAUUCUGCGUGUGCAAAAACUGGCUUGCACCCGUUGUAGAUGGACGUAGAGCUUAUCACACCCGAUCAUCACGUGGUGUCUGGGCACGACGAACUUUGGCAACGGUGCAUACUCAGGGAGAACACUUCUUGAUAAUUUAAUGAGAGAUCAUCUUAUAAUGCUACCGUCAAUCAAAGCAAGAUAAGAUGCAUAAAAAGAUAAACAUCACAUGCAAUCAAUAUAAGUGAUAUGAUAUGGCCAUCAUCAUCUUGUGCUUGUAAUCUCCAUCUCCGAAGCACCGUCAUGAUCACCAUCGUCACCGGCGCGACACCUUGAUCUCCAUCGUAGCAUCGUUGUCGUCUCGCCAAUCUUAUGCUUUCACGACUAUCACUACCGUUUAGUAAUAAAGUUAAGCAUUACAUCGCGAUUGCAUUGCAUACAAUAAAGCGACAACCAUACGGCUCCUGCCAGUUGCCGAUAACUUGGUUACAAAACAUGAUCAUCUCAUACAAUAAAAUUCAGCAUCAUGCCUUGACCAUAUCACAUCACAACAUGCCCUGCAAAAACAAGUUAGACGUCCUCUACUUUGUUGUUGCAAUUUUUUACGUGGCUGCUACGGGCUUAAGUAAGAACCAAUCUCACCUACGCAUCAAAACCACAACGAUAGUUUGUCAAAUAGACUCCGUUUUAACCUUCGCAAGGACCGGGCGUAGCCAUACUUGGUUCAACUAAAGUUGGAGAGACAGUCGCCCGCAAGCCAUCUCUGUGCAAAGCACGUCGAGGGAACCGGUCUCGCGUAAGCGUACGCGUAAGGUUGGUCUGGGUCGUCUCGUCCAACAAUACCGCCGAACCAAAAUAUGACAUGCUGGUAGGCAGUAUGACUUGUAUCGUCCACAACUCACUUGUGUUCUACUCGUGCAUAUAACAUCAACAUCAAUAACCUGGCUCGGAUACCACUGUUGGGUUUCGUAGUAAUUUCAAAAAUUUUCCUACGCGCACACAGGAUCAUGUGAUGCAUAGCAACGAGAGGAGAGUGUUGUCUACGUACCCAACGUAGACCGACUGCGGAAGCGAUGACACGACGUAGAGGAAGUAGUCGUACGUCUUCACGAUCCAACCGAUCAAGCACCGAAACUACGGCACCUCCGAGUUCGAGCACACGUUCAGCUCGAUGACGAUCCCCGGACUCCGAUCCAGCAAAGUGUCGGGGAAGAGUUUCGUCAGCACGACGGCGUGGUGACGAUCUUGAUGAACUACAGCAGCAGGGCUUCGCCUAAACUCCGCUACAGUAUUAUCGAGGAAUAUGGUGGCAGGGGGCACCGCACACGGCUAAGGAAUCGAUCACGUGGAUCAACUUGUGUCAACUUGUGUGUUUAGAGGUGCCCCUGCCUCCGUAUAUAAAGGAGCCAAGGGGGGAGGAGGCGCCGGCCAGGAGGAGGUGGCGCAGGAGGAGUCCUACUCCUACCGGGAGUAGGACUCCCCCCCAAUCCUAUUCCAACUAGGAUUCCCAAGGGGGAAAGAGAGAGAGGGGUGGCCGGCCACCUCUCCUAGUCCUACUAGGACUAGGGGAAGGGGGGAGGCGCGCAGCCCCCUUGGGCUGCCCCUUUCUCCUUUCCACUAAGGCCCAUGAUGGCCCAUAUGGCUCCCGGGGGGUUCCGGUAACCUCCCGGUAACCCGGUAAAAUCCCGAUUUCACCCGGAACACUUCCGAUGUCCAAACAUAGACUUCCAAUAUAUAAAUCUUUAUGUCUCGACCAUUUCGAGACUCCUCGUCAUGUCCGUGAUCACAUCCGGGACUCCGAACAACCUUCGGUACAUCAAAAUGCAUGAACUCAUAAUAUAACUGUCAUCGUAACCUUAAGCGUGCGGACCCUACGGGUUCGAGAACAAUGUAGACAUGACCGAGACACGUCUCCGGUCAAUAACCAAUAGCGGGACCUGGAUGCCCAUAUUGGCUCCUACAUAUUCUACGAAGAUCUUUAUCGGUCAGACCGCAUAACAACAUACGUUGUUCCCUUUGUCAUCGGUAUGUUGCUUGCCCAAGAUUCGAUCGUCGGUAUCCAAUACCUAGUUCAAUCUCGUUACCGGCAAGUCUCUUUACUCGUUCCGUAAUACAUCAUCUCACAACUAACAUAUUAGUUGUAAUGCUUGCAAGGCUUAUGUGAUGUGUAUUACCGAGAGGGCCCAGAGAUACCUCUCCGACAAUCGGAGUGACAAAUCCUAAUCUCGAAAUACGCCAACCCAACAUCGACCAUUGAAGACACCUGUAGUACUCCUUUAUAAUCACCCAGUUACGUUGUGACGUUUGGUAGUACCCAAAGUGUUCCUCCGGUAAACGGGAGUUGCAUAAUCUCAUAGUCAUAGGAACAUGUAUAAGUCAUGAAGAAAGCAAUAGCAACAUACUAAACGAUCGGGUGCUAAGCUAAUGGAAUGGGUCAUGUCAAUCAGAUCAUUCUACUAAUGAUGUGACCUCGUUAAUCAAAUAACAACUCAUUGUUCAUGGUUAGGAAACAUAACCAUCUUUGAUUAACGAGCUAGUCAAGUAGAGGCAUACUAGUGACACUCUGUUUGUCUAUGUAUUCACACAUGUAUUAUGUUUCCGGUUAAUACAAUUCUAGCAUGAAUAAUAAACAUUUAUCAUGAUAUAAGGAAAUAAAUAAUAACUUUAUUAUUGCCUCUAGGGCAUAUUUCCUUCAAUAUCCUCCUAUUAUUUCUUAUGAUGAAUCAGGUAACGAGGAGGAACUUUCUAUUGAACCAAUCUCAUUAAUAAGGAGCCCAAGGAAGAUGGUUGAACCCACACAUAAUAUGAAGAAGAAAAAGAAAAGAAGGAGCAACAAAGGUAAAAAGGUAUCUCUCUUUAAUGAUGUUGCUCCUACUACUCAUUGUGAUGAUGAUAAUUGCUAUACUAUUGGUGCUAUCCAUACUAUUAAUGAUGAGAGUGAUUAUGCUUAUGAUAUGAAAAGGCCCAAGCUUGGGGAAGCUAUGUUUGAUGAGGAUGACAUAUUUGAGAAUAUAUUUGCUGCAAUGAAUGUUUGUCCCAAGCUUGGGGAUGCUAUGUUUUAAUGAAGAUGUUAUUUCUAGUCUCCCAAGUUUUGUUAUGCAAAGUUGUUAUGAUGAUAGCAUGCCUCUUACUUAUGAUUAUAUUGAUGAAAGUGGGUUUGGAAGAGUGUCAACUUUAGGAAGUAAUGAUCCCACUAUUUUGGAGGAUGUUUAAUCUUAUUGUGAUGAAUAUGAAAUUGGAUUUGGAAGAGUGUCAACUUUAUUUAGUGAUGAUUCCACUAUCUUGGAAGAGGUUUCAAUCGAUUAUGAUGAGAACAAAGUUGCUACUUAUGAUGAUUAUUGUGAUUAAACUUAUGCUAUAAAAAGUAGUGAUGAUUAUAUUUAUAAAACUUGUCAUGAUUAUGAUUACCCUUUUUCUAAACAUUACUCUUUUAAUGUGGAAACAAUUUAUAGUAUUCAAGUCUCCUAUGAUACUCCCACUAUUUCGAAUAAGAAGAAUUUUGCUUGUGUGGAUAGCAAUAAAUUUUCUAUGCUUGUAGAUCAUGAAAAGAAUGUUUUAGGUGCUGGUUAUAUUGUUGAAUUCAUUCAUGAUGCUACUGAAAAUUAUUAUGAGGGAGGAAUAUAUGCUUGUAGGAAUUGCAAUAAUAUCAAGUUUCCUCCCUAUGUGCUUAAAAUCUUGAAGUUAUGCUUGUUUUGCCUUCCUAUGCUAGUUGAUUAUUGUUCCCAUAAGUUGUUUGCUCACAAAAUCCCUAUGCAUAGGAAGUGGGUUAUACUUAAAUGUGCUAGUCAUAUUCUUCAUGAUGCUCUCUUUAUGUUUCAAUUCUUAUCUUUUAUGUGAGCAUCAUUUCAUCAUGCCUAGCUAGGGGCGUUAAACGAUAGCGCUUGUUGGUAGGCAACCCAAUUUAUUUUUGUUCCUUGCUUUUGUUCCUGUUUAGUAAUAAAUAAUUCAUAUAGCCUCUGGUUAGAUGUGGUUUUAUGUUUUAAUUAGUGUUUGUGCCAAGUAGAACUUUUGGAAAGACUUGGGUGAAGUCUUUGUGAUCUUGCUGUAAAAAACAGAAACUUUAGCGCUCACGAGAUUAGCUACCAUUUUUUACUGGAGAGUGCUUUUAGGUUGAUUCCUUUUGCAGAUUAUUAACAGACAAAUUCCUCAGGUACACCAAUUUAUUUCAUAAUUGUUGAAGUUACAGAAGUAUUCGAAUGAUACAGAUUACUACAGACUGUUCUGUUUUUGACAGAUUCUGUUUUCUAUGUGUUGUUUGCUUAUUUUGAUGAAUCUAUGAGUAGUAUCGGAGGGUAUGAACCAUACAGAAGUUGAAAUAUAGUAGAUAUUACACCAAUAUAAAUAAAUAAUGAGUUUAUUACAGUACCUUAAAGUGGUGGUCUGUUUUCUUAUACUAACGGAGCUUACGAGUUUUGUUUUGAGUUUUGUGUUGUGAAGUUUUCAAGUUUUGGGUAAAGAUUCAAUGGACUAUGGAAUAAGAAGUGGCAAUAGCCUAAGCUUGGGGAUGACCAAGGCACCUCAAGGUAAUAUCCAAGGACAACCAAGAGCCUAAGCUUGGGGAUGCCUCGGAAGGCAUCCCCUCUUUCGUCUUCGUUCAUCGAUAACUUUACUUGAAGCUAUAUUUUUUAUUCACCACAUGAUAUGUGUUUUGCUUGGAGCAUCAUUUUCUUUUAUUAGUAUUAGCUUGCUGUUAUUUAGAAUAAUGUUUUGCAUCUUUAUUUUCAAUAAAAAUGUCAAGGAUAGACUUUACCAUGCUUAUUUUGCAAGUAUACAUGUUGCUGUUUGGAAACAGAAAGUUUACCGCUGUUACAAAAAUUCACUAGAAAAGUCAGAGAAUGAUAUAAUGUUGAAACUUUUUGCAUAAUGAGAUCUGAUAAGUCUCCUACAGCGUAUUAUGUUUCUUAUAAUUUUUUGAGUUAGGGAAGUAUGAUGAAUAUUGCAUUCUUUACAGACUAUACUGUUUUGGCAGAUUGCUGUUAUGUUUGCAUUGUUUGCAUAUGUUUGCUUGUUUAAUGAUUCUAUUUUAGGAUAGAAGUAUUAAAUAUGCAGAGACAUUUAGUAUGAAAUGUUGAAUAAUAAUGUUAGUAAUUUGUUACAAUAGAAAAUGAUAAGGUUUUUGCAUUGUUUUAUACUAACUUAUCUCACGAGUUCUUGUUGAGUUUGGUGUGAAUGAAGCUUUCGAGAUUUAGGAAACCGUGAUAUAAAAGGAAUUAAGGAGACAAUAGCUCAAGCUUGGGGAUGCCCAAGGCACCCCAAGAUAAUAUUUCAAGAAGUCUCAAUCAUCCAAGCUUGGGGAUGCCCCGGUAGGCAUCCCACCUUUCUUCUUCAACAAUUAACGGUUAGUAUCAGUUAACCUAAGUUUUCGCUUCUUCACAUGAGUCGUGUUAUCCUUGCAAUAUCAUUUUGUUUUGCUUUGCUUGUUGUAUGAAUAAAAUACCAAAAUCUGAAAUUCUUAAUUGAGAGAGAGAGAGUCUUCAUAUAGUUAUAUAAUUAUUUAGCUACUCAUUGAUCUUCACUUAUAUCUUUUUGAAGUAGUUUGUCAUUUACUCGUGUGCUUCACUUAUAUCCUAUGAGUAAAUGGUUGAAUGAGUUGAGUGUCAUAAAUCUGAAAUUAUAUAUGUCUCAUUUUCUUACCCCAUGGGGAGUAAUGACUUCACAUCUAAGAAGUAGAGGUUGUAAAUUUAUUGAAGGUUAGCAAGCAUUGUAUUGGUCAUUUGAACAAUUCCUGAAAGAAUAUUGAAGGAAGGGAGAUUUCACAUAUAAAUAUACUAUCUUGAACAUCUUUUAUAAUUGUGAGCACUCAUUAAGUAUGACAUGCUAAAGAGUUGAUGUUGGACAAGGAAGACAACGUAAUGGGUUAUGUUUUCUCACAUCUCAGUUAAAGUAUAUUGCCAUGGAUCAUUCAAACAUGUUGAGAUUGCCUUUCCCCCUCAUGCUAGCCAAAAUUCCUUGCACCAAGUAGAGAUACUACUUGUGCUUCCAAAUAUCCUUAAACCCAGUUUUUGCCAUGAGAGUCCACCAUACCUACCUAUAGAUUGAGUAAGAUCCUUUAAGUAAGUUGUCAUUGGUGCAUGCAAUAAAAAUUGCUCUCUAAAUAUGUAUAAUCUAUUAGUGUGAAGAAAAUAAGCUUUAUACGAUCUUGGUAUGGAAGCAAUAAAAGCGACGGACUGCAUAAUAAAGGUCCAUAUACAAGUGGCAAUAUAAAGUGACGUUCUUUUGCAAUAAGAUUUUGUGCAUCCAACCAUAAAAGCGCAUGACAACCUCUGCUUCCCUCUGCGAAGGGCCUAUCUUUUACCUUAUGUCUUUUACUUUAUGCAAGAGUCAAUAUGAUCUUCUGAUGAGGACAUCAAUACCAUUAUUACACCCACAACCCCUACUGCUACAUAUACUGGACCAAUUACUAGAGCUCGCGCACGCCAAUUAAAUUAUCAUGUACUUUCGUUUCUUGGUAAUGAUUCUAAUGUUCAUGAGAAUAUGAUGAUGCCUAAAUUGGAUACAUUUGUUUUGCUUACAAAUGAAGGGCCUAGCUUGGAGAAGGAUGAACAUUGGAGCAAGAACAAGCAUGGAGAUGAUGGCAUGCGCAAGGGGAACAAGAACGGAGUUACAAGUGAUGAUUUCAGGACUUUGAAGCCACCAUAAUGGGUGCAUGAAGCCUUGGGCGAAAUAUACAAGAUGCCACUUCAUAAAUUUCGUCCCGAGGCUAUUCUAGGUGCUGCGUCACCUUAUUAUUGGGCCAGGUCUAUGUAAUUUCGAAAUACACAAGUAUAGGCUAUUUUUAGAGUCUGUAUGUGUGGGGAAACAAGAGAUAGGGUUGAUUUCGGACCCCUCCACCAAGGGCCACGAAAUCCCCCCCUCUUCCUCCAUAUAUACAGCCCUUAGGGCACCGUUUAGACUUUGGGUUUUGUUUAGAUUAAAAGUUUGCCAUAGCUGCAACUUCACGUACUUCUUUUGUGUUCAACGACCAGACAAAGGCGUCACAGAACCCCACCUUGAUCAAUAAAGCUUUCAUCUUAUAUUCGCAAUAUCCAGAUUGCAAUCUCAGUUUCUUGCUUGUUCUUCGUUUGCUCGCAGAAAACAGACCCUCGUGGUCAGGUUGAUCGUGCUUCGGCGUGGUCAAUAACCUCCCGGAGUUGGUUUCACGAUUGCUAAGGCGCGACGUUCUCGCACGUUCGUAGUCGGAUCGUCAAAGUCGACUUCCACCAAAGCGAUAUCCAUCAUCUCAUCGAAAGACGGGACACCUUUGCCUCUAUCAAAUGGUAUCAGAUUUCCAGGUUGCUCGGUGAGAUUUUACAGUUUUUCGUAGUUUAGAUCGAGUCGGUUCUUCAUACCUACAGUCCAUGAAAAAGCCACAAAAAAAUUAGGGUUAGUUCAUCAUAUCCGAACCAAUCUGAGCCUUUGCAUAAUCUUUUUAGGGUUUUGCUUUGUUGAAUUUGCGGUUGCAUCGUCGUGUCUAGUUGCUGGUCUUAGCAUCUAGUCCUUUAGAGUUUCGAGUUCUCACAGUUUGUCACGCCGCCGCCGCACCAUCUUCAUCAUUGUUGCCAUAUACCACCACCGCUGCCAUAUCUCACCAACGCUGCCUUAUACCACCACCGCUGCCAUAUCCACCAACGCUGCCAUAUACGACCGAUCCAUAUCCAUAUACCACCAUCGCUAUCAUAUACCACCACCGCUGCCAUAUCCUACCACCAUAUAUCCACCACCAAUCCGAGUUCUUUUCGCAUUAGGUUUGUUUCCGAGAUCCAUCUAAUUUCGGAUUCGUGUUUCCUUGCCUGAGUAGGUUUCGGAAGAAAAAAAAAGAGUCUGGAGACCCCCGGGCAGUUUUUAGGCCAAAAUUUCGGUGACCGAAAAUAUUUUUUCCCUACCUAUUUUUAGGUUCCCAGGAGUGUUUUGAGACAUUCGCCAUCAUAGUGAUUUUUUGUCGCACUUUUUCGUCGUCGCUGCCCUGAUUUCUGAAAAAAAAUUGUCAAAAAAUUUCGUGCCCAUCCUGUCAGUUUGACCUGGGAAGAGUUUUGAGACACUCGCCAUUAUAGUGAUCUUUCGCAAAAAAAGGCAGCGCAAAAAAAACAGAGCGGAAUUUUUUCCCCAGAGUGUGCUUUUCCCUUGUUUACGUGCAGCAUCAUGAUUUUUUUAGUGUUCUAGGCUCGCAUCUCUAGCACGGUCUAGCCUAGGACCAACACAGUACCGUUGUUGAGCGUUUAUUCAACUUUGUAUCUCUGAAUUGAUUAUUGCUGACCCUUUUUGCUACCAUAUUAUAAGCCUUCCCAGCUCCACAUACAUCUACGUCGUGUGUUUGACUCUCCCUGGUAAUAAUAUGGACGUAGAUGUAUGUGGAGCUGAGAAGGCUUAUAAUAUGGUAGCAAAAAGGGUCAGCAAUAAUAUGUGGAGCUGGGAAGGCUUAUAAUAUGGUAGUCACUCUAUCCAAGCUUUGAGACUUUUGACUACAACGGUUGACGAUCACCACCUGCUGCUGGGUAAGAACUGGUAAUAAUUUGAGAUUCGCUUGAAGGAUUUGUGACACACCGCCACCACCACCACUUCCUAGUAGUCUGUAGAAUCAUAUUCUUUUGUGUUUCUAUUGCUGCUAACCAUGCCAGGAUCACAAGCCGACGAGAUUGACUGGGAGAACAUGACGAACAAGGAUCUUCAUGAUAAAUUUCAUCAAAUGUUGGGUCAACAGAUGGAAGACGUGAUGGCCAGUUUUGGAAAGGCAUUGGAAAGGAUGGAUGACAUUGAGAAGACAAUUGACACCAAGUUGGACGCCAAGUUUGAUGAAUUACUCAAACGUCUCCCACAACCAGUUCUACGCCGAGAUACAGUAGGGCGAGCACAGCGUGUUCCUAUUGAGCGAGGACAAAAUUCUGGUGCCGCUGCUACUGCUGUUGGUGCUUCUGUAGCUCCUACUGUUACUGCAGAGGUGGAUGACUAUUACGAGGAUGAGGUUGAUCAAAAUCAGAACUACGUGCAACCACCAGCACCACCACCAGCAGGUCGACCUCAGGUAUAUGUUCACAACGGUAGGCCUGCACCACCACCUCAGGUACGAGAUAAUGACCAUAUUCCUAAACUGAAAUUGAAUAUUCCACCAUUUGAGGGUAGAUAUGUUCCUGAUAUAUAUCUUACUUGGGAGUUAGAAACUGAACAACGUUUUACUUGUUUGCAAUAUCCCGAGGAGAGACGGGUUGUUGCUGUUGUUUGUGCUUUCACUAGUUUUGCAUGUGUAUGGUGGUCUGAACAUUGUAGAUUAUAUCCUAUUCCAGCUACUUGGGCUGCUUUGAAAACUGCUAUGCGUACUCGUUGGGUUCAACCAUAUUAUCAAUGUGAAUUGCUUCAAAAAUUGCAGCAUUUAAGACAAGGAAAAAAUUAUGUAGAAGAGUAUUAUCAGGAAUUACAAACUGGCAUGAUUGGAUGUGGGAUUGUUGAAGAGAAUGAAGCUAUGCUUGCACGUUUUAUGGGUGGAUUAAAUAGAGAGAUUCAGACCAUUCUAGAGUUUAAGGAGUAUACUAAUAUCACUCGUUUAUUCCAUCUUGCUUGUAAAGCUGAACGUGAAGUGCAGGAUCGACAAGCAUUAGCGCGAACUAACUUUUCUGCAGGUCGACCUUCAUCAUGGACACCACGUGCAUCUUCUACUUCCACAGCACCAGCACCUUCAUCAGGUGCCACCUACAGCCGUGAUACAAGAAAGCAGACACAACCACCACUAUCUGCCAAGAGCGCACCUGCUGGGCCUGCACAGGGCUCUUCUUCUUCUAUGGCAUCAACAGGGCACACAAGUGAUAUUAUUUGUCGUCGUUGUAAGGGAAGAGGUCAUUAUGCGAGAGAAUGCAAAUCUCAGCGUGUGAUGAUUGCUACUGAGGAUGGUGGGUAUGAGUCUGCUAGUGACUAUGAUGAGGAGACUUUGGCCCUUAUUACACGUGAAGAACAUGGUGCAUAUGAUUCUGAUCAUGAGACGCAAUACAUGGCUCCUGAAGCCGCUGACAGGUAUGAAAGUUUAGUUGCUCAACGUGUUUUGAGUGUGCAGGUCACACAAGCUGAGCAAAAUUAGAGGCAUAAUUUGUUCCAUACAAAGGGAGUUGUGAAGGAACGUUUUGUGCGUGUUAUCAUAGACGGAGGGAGCUGCAACAACUUGGCUAGCAUGGAGAUGGUGAAGAAGCUAUCUCUCACCACAAGACCACAUCCACAUCCUUACUACAUCCAAUGGUUCAACAACAGCGGCAAGGUUAAGGUAACACAUACUGUUCGUGUGCAUUUUAGUAUCUCUACAUAUGCUGAUUAUGUUGAUUGUGAUGUGGUACCUAUGCAAGCAUGUUCCUUAUUACUUGGUCGACCAUGGCAAUUUGAUAAAAAUUCUGUCCACCAUGGUAGAAACAAUCAGUAUACUCUUGUUCAUAAGGAUAAAAAUAUUACUUUGCUUCCUAUGACUCUUGAUUCCAUUUUGAAAGAUGAUAUUAAUAGAGCUAAUAAAGCAAAACAGGAGAAGAAUAAGAGUGAAAAUCAGAUUGUGGCAAAAGAAUUUGAGCAACAAAUGAAGCCUAAUAAUAAACCAUCUAGUGUUGCCUCUGAAAUUAAAUUGAAAAGUGCAUGUUUAUAUACCACUAAAUCUGAUAUUGAUGAGCUAGAUUUUAGCAAAUCUGUUUGCUAUGCUUUUGUGUGCAAAGAGGCAUUAUUUUCAUUCGAGGACGUGCCUUCCUCUUUGCCCCCUGCUGUCACUAACAUUUUGCAGGAGUUCGCUGACGUCUUCCCACAAGACGUGCCACUGGGUUUACCACCUAUUCGAGGGAUUGAACAUCAAAUUAACUUAAUUCCCGUUGCAUCGCUACCCAACCGUGCACCAUACCGUACCAAUCCAGAGGAGACGAAGGAGAUUAUGCGUCAAGUACAAGAACUUCUCAACAAAGGUUAUAUACGCGAAUCCCUUAGUCAUUGUGUUGUUCCUAUUAUUUUAGUGCCGAAAAAGGAUGGUACAUCGCCUAUGUGUGUUGAUUGUAGAGUGAUGUCUACUACACAACCUUCUUCUUGUAUACGUUGUUGGGCCUGCAAGUGCACAGGUUUGUAGGACAGUAGCAAAUUUCCCUCAAGUGGAUGACCUAAGGUUUAUCAAUCCGUAGGAGGCAUAGGAUGAAGAUGGUCUCUCUCAAGAAACCCUGCAACCAAAUAACAAAAAGUCUCUUGUGUCCCCAACGCACCAAUAAAAUGGUAAAUUGUAUAGGUGCACUAGUUCGGCGAAGAGAUGAAGAUACAAGUGCAAUAUGGAUGGUAGAUAAAGGUUUUUGUAAUCUGAAAUAAUAAAAACAGCAAGGUAACUAAUGAUAAAAGUGAGCAUAAACGGUAUUGCAAUGAUAGGAAACAAGGCCUAGGGUUCAUACUUUCACUAGUGCAAGUUCUCUCAACAAUAAUAACAUAGAUAGAUCAUAUAACAAGCCCUCAACAUGCAACAAAGAGUCACUCCAAAGCCACUAAUAGCGGAGAACAAACAUAGAGAUUAUGGUAGGGUACGAAACCACCUCAAAGUUAUUCUUUCGGAUCGAUCUAUAAAAGAGUUCGUACUAGAAUAACACCUUAAGACACAAAUCAACCAAAACCCUAAUGUCACCUAGAUACUCCAUUGUCACCUCAAGUAUCCGUGGGCAUGAUUAUACGAUAUGCAUCACACAAUCUCAUAUUCAUCUAUUCAACCAACACAAAGUACUUCAAAGAGUGCCCCAAAGUUUCUAUCGGAGAGUCAAGAACGUGUGCCAACCCCUAUGCAUAGGUUCAUGGGCGGAACCCGCAAGUUGGUCACCAAAACAUACAUCAAGAGGCACAUGAUAUCCCAUUGUCACCACAGAUAAGCACGGCAAGACAUACAUCAAGUGUUCUCAUAAAAGACUCAAUCCGAUAAGAUAACUUCAAAGGGGAAACUCAAUUCAUCACAAGAGAGUAGAGGGGGAGAAACAUCAUAAGAUCCAACUACAAUAGCAAAGCUCGGGAUACAUCAAGAUCGUGCCAUAAAGGGAACACGAGAGAGAACACGAGAGAGAGAGAGAGAUCAAACACAUUGCUACUGGUACAUACCCUCAGCCCCGAGGGUGAACUACUCCCUCCUCGUCAUGGAGAGCACCGGCAUGAUGAAGAUGGCCACCGUUGAAGGAUCCCCCCUCCGGCAGGGUGCCGGGAAGGGCUCCUAAGAGGUUUUUGGUGGCUACAGAGGCUUGCGCCAGCAGAACUCCCGAUCUAUCUUCUCCGUGGAUGUUUUUAGGGUACGUGGGACUAUAUAGGCGAGAGAAGUCGGUCGGGAGGUGCUCGAGGGGCCCACGAUACUGGGGGGCGCUGUUGGGGAACGUAGCAGAAAUUCAAAAUUUUCCUACGAGUCACCAAGAUCUAUCUAUGGAGAAACUAGCAACGAGGGGAAGGAGAGUGCAUCUACAUACCCUUGUAGAUCGCUAAGCGGAAGCGUUCAAAAGAACGGGGUUGAAGGAGUCAUACUCGUCGUGAUCCAAAUCACCGGAGAUCCUAGUGCCGAACGGACGACACCUCCGCGUUCAACACACGUACAGCCCGGUGACGUCUCCCAUGCCUUGAUCCAGCAAGGAGAGAGGGAGAGGUUGACGAAGACUCCGUCCAGCAUCAGCACAGCGGCGUAGUGGUGGUGGAGGAGCGUGGCAAUCCUGCAGGGCUUCGCCAAGCAUCGCGGGAGAGGAGAAGGGAGAGAGGUAGGGCUGCGCCAGGGAGAGGUCAAACUCAUCUGUUGGCAGCCCCAAAACCCUCAAGUAUAUAUAGGGGGAGAGGGAGGGCUGCACCCCCACCUAGGGUUCCACCCCUAGGGGCGGCGGCCAGCCCAAACCCAUCUAGGGUGCGGCCAAGGGGGGGAGAGGGGAAACUUGCCCCCCAAGUUAGGUGGGUGCGCCCCCUCCCCCAAACCCUAGGCGGCUUGGGCCCUUGUGGGGGGCGCACCAGCCCACCUGGGGCUGGUCCCCUCCCACACUUGGCCCAUGCUGCCCUCCGGGGAUGCUGGCCCCACUUGGUGGACCCCCCGGGACCCUCCCGAUGGUCCCGGUACAUUACCGAUAAAACCCGAAACUUUUCCGGUGACCAAAACAGGACUUCCCAUAUAUAAAUCUUUACCUCCGGACCAUUCCGGAACUCCUCGUGACAUCCGGGAUCUCAUCCGGGACUCCUAACAACAUUCGGUAACCACAUACAAACUUCCUUUAUAACCCUAGCGUCAUCGAACCUUAAGUGUGUAGACCCUACGGGUUCGGGAACCAUGCAGACAUGACCGAGACGUUCUCCGGUCAAUAACCAACAGCGGGAUCUGGAUACCCAUGUUGGCUCCCACAUGUUCCACGAUGAUCUCAUCAGAUGAACCACGAUGUCAAGGACUCAAUCGAUCCCGUAUACAAUUCCCUUUGUCUAACGGUAUUGUACUUGCCCGAGAUUCGAUCGUCGGUAUGCUGAUACCUUGUUCAAUCUUGUUACCGGCAAGUAUCUUUACUCGUUCCGUAACACAUCAUCCCGUGAUCAACCCCUUGGUCACAUUGUGCACAUUAUGAUGAUGUCCUACCGAGUGGGCCCAGAGAUACCUCUCCGUCAACCGGAGUGACAAAUCCCAGUCUCGAUUCGUGCCAACCCAACAGACACUUUCGGAGAUACCUGUAGUGCACCUUUAUAGCCACCCAUUUACGUUGUGACAUUUGGUACACCCAAAGCAUUCCUAUGGUAUCCGGGAGUUGCACAAUCUCAUGGUCUAAGGAAAUGAUACUUGACAUUAGAAAAGCUUUAGCAUACGAACUACGAUCUUUGUGCUAGGCUUAGGAUUGGGUCUUGUCCAUCACAUCAUUCUCCUAAUGAUGUGAUCCCGUUAUCAACGACAUCCAAUGUCCAUGGUCAGGGAACCGUAACCAUCUAUUGAUCAACGGGCUAGUCAAUCAGAGGCUUACUAGGGACAUGGUGUUGUCUAUGUACCCACACAUGUAUCUAAGUUUCCUAUCAAUACAAUUAUAGCAUGGAUAAUAAACGAUUAUCAUGAACAAGGAAAUAUAAUAAUAAUAACUAAUUUAUUAUUGCCUCUAGGGCAUAUUUCCAACAGUCUCCCACUUGCACUAGAGUCAAUAAUCUAGUUCACAUCGCCAUGUGAUUAACACUGAUAGGUCACAUUGCCAUGUGACCAACAUCCAAAGAGUUUACUAUUGUCUAAUCUAGUUCACAUCUCCAUGUGAUUAAGUCUCAAUGAGUUCUGGGGUUUGAUCAUGUUUUGCUUGUGACAGAGGUUUUAGUCAACGGGUCUGCAACAUUCAGAUCCGUAUGUACUUCGCAAUUCUCUAUGUCAUAUUGUAAAUGCUGCUUCCACGCUCCACUUGAAGCUAUUCCAAAUGGUUGCUCCACUAUACGUAUCCGGUUUGCUACUCAGAGUCAUUCCGAUAGGUGUUAAAGCUUGCAUCAACGUAACCCUUUACGCCGAACUCUUUAUCACCUCCAUAAUCGAGAAACAUGUCCUUUAUUUACUCCAAGGACAAUUUUGACCGAUGUCCAAUGAUCCCCAUUCCUGGAUCAUUCUUGUACCCCUUGACUGACUCAUGCCAAGGCACACUUCCGGUGCGGUACACAGUAUAGCAUACUAUAGAGCCUACGUCUGAAGCAUAGGGGACGACCUUCGUCCUUUCUCUCUCUUCUGCCAUGGUCGAGCUUUAACUCUUAACUUCAUACCUUACAACUCAGGCAAGAACUCCUUCUUUGACUGAUCCAUCUUGAACACCUUCAAGAUCAUGUCAAGGUAUGUGCUCAUUUGAAAGUACCAUCUAGCGUUUUUGAUCUAUCCUCAUAGAUCUUGAUGCUCAAUGUUCAAGUAGCUUAAUCCAGGUUCUCCAUUGAAAAACACUUUUCAAAUAACCCCAUAUGCUUUCCAGAAAUUCUACAUCAUUUCUGAUCAACAAUAUGUCAACAACAUAUACUCAUCAGAAAUUCUAUAGCGCUCCCACUCACUUCUUUGGAAAUACAAGUUUCUCAUAAACUUUUGUAUAAACCCAAAAUCUUUGAUCAUCUCAUCAAAACGUACAUUCCAACUCCGAGAUGCUUACUCCAGUCCUUAGAAGGAUUGCUAGAGUUUUGCAUAUUUGUUAGCGUUCUUCAGGAUUGUCAAAACCUUCUGGUUGUAUCACAUACAACCUUUCCUCAAGAAAACUGUCAAGGAAACAAUGUUAUGACAUCCUACAUGCAAGAUUUCAUAAAUAAUGCAGUAACUACUAAUCCAAUUCCAACAGACUCUUAGCAUCGCUACGAGUGAGAAAGCCUCACCGUAGUCAACUCCUUGAACUUGUCGGAAAACAUCUUUAAUGACAAGCCGAGCUUUCUUAAUGGUGAUACUUACCAUCAUUGUAUGUCUUCCUUUUAAAAUCCAUCUUUACCCAACGGCCUUACGACCAUCAAGUAUUUCUUCCAAAGUCAUGGAUCCUCUCUCGGAUUUUAUGGCCUCGAGCCAUUCGUCGGAAUCCGGGCCCACCAUCACUUCUCCAUAGCUUGUAGGUUCAUUGUUGUCUAGCAACAUGACCUCUAAGACAGGAUUGCGUACCACUCUGAAGUAGUAUGCUACCUUGUCAACCUAUGAGGUCCGGUAGUGACUUGAUCCGAAGCAUCAUGAUCACUAUCAUCAGCUUCCACUUCAAUUGGUGUAGGUGCCACAUGAACAACUUCAUGUGCCCUGCUACGCACUGGUUGAAGUGAUGGUUCAAUAACCUCAUCAAGUCUCCACCAUCCUCCCACUCAAUUCUUUCGAGAGAAACAUUUCCUCGAGAAAGGACCUGAUUCCAGAAACAAUCCCUUUUGCUUCCGGAACUGAGACUGGAGGUAUACCCAACUGUUUUGGGUGUCCUAUGAAGAUGCAUUUAUCCGCUUUAGGUUCGAGCUUAUCAGCCUGAAACUUUUCCACAUAAGUGUCGCAGCCCCAAACUUUUAAGAAACGACAACUUAGGUUUCUCCAAACCGUAGUUCAAACGGUGUCGUCUCAACGGAAUUACGUGGUGCCCUAUUAAAGUGAGUGCGGUUGUCUCUAAUGCCUAACCCAUGAACGAUAGUGGUAAUUCGAUAAGAGACAUCAUGGUACGCACCAUAUCCAAUAGGGUGCAACUAUGAUGUUCGGACACACCAUCACACUAUGGUGUUCCAGGCGGUAUUAAUUGUGAAACAAUUUCCUCAAUGUCUUAAUUGCGUGCCAAAGCUCGUAACUCAGAUACUCAUCUCUAUGAUCAUAUCAUAGACAUUUUAUCCUCUUGUCACAAUGAUCUUCAACUUCACUCUGAAAUUACUUGAACCAUUCAAUAAUUCAGACUUGUGUUUCAUCAAGUAAAUAUACUCAGUAUCUACUUAAAUCAUCUGUGAAGUAAGAACAUAACGAUAUUCACUGCAUGCCUCAGCACUCAUUGGACUGCACACAUCAAAGUGUGUUACUUCCAACAAGUUGCUAUCUUGUUCCAUCUUACUGAAAACGAGGCUUUUCAGUCAUCUUGCCUAUGUGGUAUGAUUUGCAUAUCUCAAGUGAUUCAAAAUCAAGUGAGUUCAAACGAUCCAUCUGCAUGGAGUUUCUUCAUGCGUAUACACCAAUAGACAUGGUUUGCAUGUCUCAAACUUUUCAAAAACGAGUGAGUCCAAAGAUCCAUCUACAUGGAGCUUCUUCAUGCGUUUUACACCAAUAUGACUUACAUGGCAGUGCCACAAGUAAGUGGUACUGUCAUUACUAUCUUAUGAAAAUGUGUAUCACUACGAUCGAGAUUCAAUAAACCAUUCCUUUUAGGUGCUAGACCAUUGAAGGUAUUAUUCAAAUAAACAGAGUAACCAUUAUUCUCCUUAAAUGAAUAACCGUAUUGCGACAGACAUAAUCCAAUCAUGUCUAUGCUCAACGCAAACACCAAAUAACAAUUAUUUAGGUUUAACACCAAUCUCGAUGGUAGAGGGAGCGUGCGAUGCUUGAUCACAUCAACCUUGGAAACACUUCCAACACAUAUCGUCAGCUCACCUUUAGCCAGUCUCCGUUUAUUCCGUAGCUUUUAUUUCGAGUUACUAACACUUAGCAACCGAACCGGUAUCUAAUACCCUGGUGCUACUAGGAGUACUAGUAAAGUACACAUUAACAUAAUGUAUAUCCAAUAUACUUCUAUCGGCCUUGCCAGCCUUCUUAUCUACCAAGUAUCUAGGGUAAUUCUGCUCCAGUGGCUGUUCCCCUUAUUACAAAAGCACUUAGUCUCGGGUUUGGGUUCAACCUUGGGUUUCUUCACUGGAGCAGCAACUAAUUUGCCGUUUCAUGAAGUGCCCCUUCUUGCCCUUGCCCUUCUUGAAACUAGUGGUUUCACUAACCAUCAACAAUUGAUGCUCCUUCUUGAUUUCUACUUUCGUGGUGUCAAACAUCGUGAAUAUCUCAAGGAUCAUCAUAUUUAUCCCUGAUUUGUUAUAGUUCGUCACGAAGCUCUAGCAGCUUGGUGGCAAUGACUUUGGAGAAACAUCACUAUCUCAUCUGGAAGAUCAACUCCCACUCGAUUCAAGUGAUUGUUGCACUCAGACAAUCUGAGCACAAGCUCAAUGAUUGAGCUUUUCUCCCUUAGUUUGCAGGCUAAGAAAAUAGUCGGAGGACUUAUACCUCUUGACGUGGGCAUGAGCCUGAAAUCCCAAUUUCAGCCCUCGAAACAUCUCAUAUGUUCCGCGAUGUUUCAAAAACGUCUUUGGUGCCUCAACUCUAAACCAUUUAACUGAACUAUCACGUAGUUAUCAAAACGUGUAUGUACGAUGUUCGCAACAUCCACAGACGACGUUUUGGGGUUCAACACACUGAGUGGUGCAUUAAGGACAUAAGCUUUCUACUGUCCGCAUAAUCGCUACUGUCAACUUUCAACUAUAUUUUCUCUAGGAACAUAUCUAAACAGUGGAACUAAAGCGAGAGCUUACGACAUAAUUUGCAAAGAUCUUUUGACUAUGUUCAGGAUAAUUAAGUUCAUCUCAUGAACUCCCACUCAGAUAGACAUCCCUCCAGUCAUCCAAGUGAUUACAUGAUCCGAGUCAACUAGGCCGUGUCCGAUCAUCAUGUGAGACGGACUAGUCAUCAUCGGUGAACAUCUUCAUGUUGAUCGUAUCUACUAUAUGACUCAUGCUCGACCUUUCGGUCUCUUGUGUUCCGAGGCCAUGUCUGUACGUGCUAGGCUCGUCAAGUUAACCUAAGUGUUUCGCGUGUGUAAAUCUGGCUUACAACCAUUGUAUGUGAACAUAAGAAUCUAUCACACCCGAUCAUCACGUGGUGCUUCGAACCGACGAACUUUUGCAACAUUGCAUAGUUAGGGGGAACACUUUCUUGAAAUUUUAAUGAGGGAUCAUCUUAUUUACUACUGUCGUUCUAAGCAAAUAAGAUGUAGAAACAUGAUAAACAUCACAUGCAAUCAAAAUAGUGACAUGAUAUGGCCAAUAUCAUUUUGCUCCUUUUGAUCUCCAUCUUCGGGGCUCCAUGAUCAUCAUCGUCACCGGCAUGACACCAUGAUCUCCAUCAUCAUGAUCUCCAUCAUCGUGUCUCCAUGAAGUUGUCUCUCCAACUUAUUACUUCUACUACUAUGGCUACUGGUUAGCAAUAAAGUAAAGUAAUUACAUGGCGUUGUUCAAUGACACGCAGGUCAUACAAUAAAUAAAGACAACUCCUAUGGCUCCUGCCGGUUGUCAUACUCAUCGACAUGCAAGUCGUGAUUCCUCUUACAAGAACAUGAUUAAUCUCAUACAUCACAUAUCAUUCAUCACAUUCUUCUUGGCCAUAUCACAUCACAUAGCAUACCCUGCAAAAACAAGUUAGACGUCCUCUUAUUGUUGUUUGCAUGUUUUACGUGGAUGCUAUGGGUUUCUAGCAAGAACGUUUCUUACCUACGCAAAAACCACAACGUGAUAUGACAAUUGCUAUUUACCCUUCAUAAGGACCCUUUUCAUCGAAUCCUAUCCGACUAAAGUGGGAGAGAAUGGCACCCGCUAGCCACCUUAUGCAACAAGUGCAUGUCAGUCGGUGGAACCAGUCUCAUGUAAGAGUACGUGUAAGGUCGGUUCGGGAUGCUUCAUCCCACAAUGCCGCCGAAUCAAGAUUGGACUAGUAACGGUAAGCAUAUUGAACAAAAUCAACGCCCACAACUACUUUGUGUUCUACUCGUGCAAAGAAUCUACGCAAUAGACCUAGCUCAUGAUGCCACUGUUGGGGAACAUAGCAGAAAUUCAAAAUUUUCCUACGAGUCACCAAGAUCUAUCUAUGGAGAAACUAGCAACGACGGGAAGGAGAGUGCAUCUACAUACCCUUGUAGAUCGCUAAGCGGAAGCGUUCAAGAGAACGGGGUUGAAGGAGUCAUACUCGUCGUGAUCCAAAUCACCGGAGAUCCUAGUGCCGAACGGACGGCACCUCCGCGUUCAACACACGUACAGCUCGGUGAAGUCUCCCAUGCCUUGAUCCAGCAAGGAGAGAGGGAGAGGUUGAGGAAGACUCCGUCCAGCAGCAGCACAAUGGCGUGGUGGUGGUGGAGGAGCGUGGCAAUCCUGCGGGGCUUCGCCAAGCACCGCGGGAGAGGAGAAGGGAGAGAGGUAGGGCUGCGCCAGGGAGAGGUCAAACUCAUCUAUUGGCAGCCCCAAAACCGUCAAGUAUAUAUAGGGGGAGAGGGAGGGCUGCGCCCCCACCUAGGGUUCCACCCCUAGGGGCGGCGGCCAGCCCAAACCCAUCUAGGGUGCGGCCAAGGGGGGGAGAGGGGGAACUUGCCCCCCAAGUUAGGUGGGUGCGCCCCCUCCCCCAAAGCCUAGGCGCCUUGGGCCCUUGUGGGGGGCGCACCAGCCCACCUGGGGCUGGUCCCCUCCCAUACUUGGCCCAUGCUGCCCUUCGGGGAUGCUGGCCCCACUUGGUGGACCCCCCGGGACCCUCCCGGUGGUCCCGGUACGUUACCGAUAAAACCCGAAACUUUUCCGGUGACCAAAACAGGACUUCCCAUAUAUAAAUCUUUACCUUCGGACCAUUCCGGAACUCCUUGUGACGUUCGGGAUCUCAUCCGGGACUCCGAACAGCAUUCGGUAACCACAUACAAACUUCCUUUAUAACCCUAGCGUCAUCGAACCUUAAGUGUGUAGACCCUACGGGUUCGGGAACCAUGCAGACAUGACCGAGACGUUCUCCGGUCAAUAACCAACAGCAGGAUCUGGAUACCCAUGUUGGCUCCCACAUGUUCCACGAUGAUCUCAUCGGAUGAACCACGAUGUCAAGGACUCAAUCGAUCCCGUAUACAAUUCCCUUUGUCUAACGGUAUUGUACUUGCCCGAGAUUCGAUCGUCGGUAUGCUAAUACCUUGUUCAAUCUCGUUACCGGCAAGUCUCUUUACUCGUUCCAUAACACAUCAUCCCAUGAUCAACCCCUUGGUCACAUUGUUCACAUUAUGAUGAUGUCCUACCGAGUGGGCCCAGAGAUACCUCUCCGUCAACCGGAGUGACAAAUCCCAGUCUCGAUUCGUGCCAACCCAACAGACACUUUCGGAGAUACCUGUAGUGCACCUUUAUAGCCACCCAUUUACGUUGUGACGUUUGGUACACCCAAAUCAUUCCUACGGUAUCCGGGAGUUGCACAAUCUCAUGGUCUAAGGAAAUGAUACUUGACAUUAGAAAAGCUUUAGCAUACGAACUACGAUCUUUGUGCUAGGCUUAGGAUUGGGUCUUGUCCAUCACAUCAUUCUCCUAAUGAUGUGAUCCCGUUAUCAACGACAUCCAAUGUCCAUGGUCAGGGAACCGUAACCAUCUAUUGAUCAAUGAGCUAGUCAAUCAGAGGCUUACUAGGGACAUGGUGUUGUCUAUGUACCCACACAUGUAUCUGAGUUUCCUAUUAAUACAAUUAUAGAAUGGAUAAUAAACGAUUAUCAUGAACAAGGAAAUAUAAUAAUAAUAACUAAUUUAUUAUUGCCUCUAGGGCAUAUUUCCAACAGGCGCGCCCUCCUAUCUCGUGGAGACGAGUAUCUUCUGACUUGAACUCCACGUCUCUAUGAUGAUAUUCUUCCAAAACAUCACGUUGUCGAAGGUUUCAUUCCGUUUGGACUCCGUUUGAUAUUCCUUUUCUUCGAAAUACUGAAAUAGGCAACAAAACAGCAAUAUGGGCUGGGCCUCCGGUUAAUAGGAUAGUCCCAAAAGUAAUAUAAAAUUGUAUAAUAAAGCCCAUAAUCAUUCAAAACAGGUAAUAUAAUAGCAUGGAACAAUCAAAAAUUAUAGAUACGUUGGAGACGUAUCAAGCAUCCCCAAGCUUAAUUCCUGCUCGUCCUCGAGUAGGUAAAUGAUAAAAACAGAUUUUUUUGAUGUGGAAUGCUACCUAGCAUGAUUCUCAAUGUAAUUUCUCUUUAUUGUGGCAUGAAUGUUCAGAUCCAAAUGAUUCAAAAUAAAAGUUCAUAUUGAUAAAAGAAAUAGUAACACUUCAAGCAUACUAAUCAAAGUAAUCAUGUCUUCUCAAAAUAACAUGGCCAAAGAAAGUUAUCCAUACAAAAUCAUAUAGUCUGGCUGUUGCUCUAUCUUCAUCACACAAAGUAUUUAAUCAUGCACAACCCUGAUGACAAGCCAAGCAAUUGUUUAAUACUUUAAUAAUCUCAAACUCUUUCAACUUUCACGCAAUACAUGAGCGUGAGCCAUGGACAUAGCACUAUAUGUGAAAUAGAAUGGUGGUUGUGGAGAAGACAGAAAGGAGAAGAUAGUCUCACAUCAACUAGGCGUAUCAACGGGCUAUGGAGAUGCCCAUUAAUAGAUAUCAAUGUGAGUGAGUAGGGAUUGCCAUGCAACGGAUGCACUAGAGCUAUAAAUAUAUGAAAGCUCAACAAAAGAAACUAAGUGGGUGUGCAUCCAACUUGCUUGCUCAUGAAGACCUAGGGCAUUUUGAGGAAGCCCAUCAUUGGAAUAUACAAGCCAAGUUCUAUAAUGAAAAAUUCCCACUAGUAUAUGAAAGUGACAACAUAUGAGACUCUAUCAUGAAGAUCAUGGUGCUAUUUUGAAGCAUAAGUGUGGAAAAAAAGAGAUAGUAGCAUUGUCCCUUCUCUCUUUUUCUCUCAUUUUAUUUCCCCCUUUUUUUCUCUUUUUUUCUUUCCCUUUUUUUCUUUGGCCUUCCUUUUUUUUCUUUUUGGCCUUUCUCUUUUUUCUUCUUCUUCUUUUUUUUUCUUUUUUGUAAAGUCCGAAGUCUCAUCCCGACUGGUGGGGGAAUCAUAGUCUUCAUCAUUCUUUCCUCACUGGGACAAUGCUCUAAUAAUGAAGAUCAUCACACUUUUAUUGAUUUACAACUCAAAGCUAGAACAAGAUAUGACUCUAUAUGAAUGCCUCCGGCGGUGUACCGGGAUAUGCAAUGAAUCAAGAGUGACAUGUAUGAAAAUUAUGAAGGUGGCCUUGCCACAAGUACAAUGUCAACUACAUGAUCAUGGAAAGAGCAAUAUGACAAAAAGUAAUGUGUGUCAUAUGAACGGGACGGUGGAAAGGUGCAUGGCAAUAUAUCUCGAAAUGGCUAUGGAAAUGCCAUAAUAGGUAGGUAUGGUGGCUGUUUUGAGGAAGGUAUAUGGUGGGUGUAUGGUACCGGCGAGAGUUGCGCGGCACAAGAGAGGCUAGCAAUGGUGGAAGGGUGAGGUGCGUAUAAUCCAUGGACUCAACAUUAGUCAAAAGAACUCAUAUACUUGUUGCAAAAAUUUAGAAGUCAUCAAAAACCAAAGCACUACAUGCAUGCUCCUAGGGGGAUAUAUUGGUAGGAAAAGACCAUCGCUCAUCCCUGACCGCCACUCAUAAGGAAGACAAUCAAUAAAUAAAAUUGUGCUCCAACUUCAUCACAAAGCGGUUCACCAUAUGUGCAUGCUACAGGAAUCACAACCCUUAACACAAGUAUUUUUCAUAAUCACCUCAACUAGCAUGACUCUAAUAUCACUACCUCCAUAUCUCAAAACAAUUAUCAAGUAUCAAAUUGAUCAUAGCAUCCAAUUCACUUCCUAUGAAAGUUUUCGUUCAAAUUACCAUUCUGUUUAAGACUCUCAAAGUAAUAUAAGUGAAGCAUGAGAGUUCAUUAAUUUCUACAAAAUAUAACCACCGUUGUGCUCUAAAAGAUAUAAGUGAAGCACUAGAGCAAACGACAAACUACUCCAACAAGAUAUAAGUGAAGUUCAAUGAGUAGCUAAAUAAUUAUGCAACUAUGCAAAGACUCUCUCUCAUUAAAGAAUUUCAGAUCUUGGUAUCUUAUUCAAACAUCAAGCAAAACAAAAUAAAAGACAAUGCAAGGAUAGCACAACUCAUGUGAAGAAGCAAAAACUUAGGCUCAACCGAUACUAACCGAUGAUUGUUGAAGAAGAAAGGUGGGAUGCCUAACGGGGCAUCCCCAAGCUUAGAUGCUUGAGACUUCUUGAAAUAUUAUCUUGGGGUGCCUUGUGCAUCCCCAAGCUUGAACUUUUGUGUCUCCUUAAUUCCUCUCAUAUCAUGGUUUCUCUUUUUAUCAAAAGCUUCAUUCACAACAAACUCAACAAGAACUCGUGAGAUAGGUUAGUAUAAACCAAUGCAAAACCUUAUCAUUUUCUACUGUAACAAAGCACUAAAAUUAUUAUUCAACAUUGAAUACUAAAUGCCUCUGCAUAUUUAAUACUCCUAUCAUCAAAUAGAAUCAUUAAACAAGCAAACAUAUGCAAACAAUGCAACCAUAACAGCAAUCUGUCAAAACAGUACAGUCUGUAAAGAAUGCAAGAUUAUCAAUACUUCCCUGACUCCAAAAAUUAUGCAAACAAUUCAACGUUAUACCAUUCUCUGACUUUUCUAGGGAAUUUUUGCAACAGUGGUAAAUUUUCUGUUUUCAAACAGCAACAUGUAUACUAGCAAAAUAAGCAUGGCAAAGGCUAUCCUUGACUUUUUUAUUGAAACUAAAGAUGCAAAACAUUACUCUAAAUAACAUAAAGCAAAAACUAACAAAAUAAAUUGACGCUCCAAGCAAAACACAUAUCAUGUGGUGAAUAAAAAUAUAGCUCCAAGUAAAGUUACCGAUGAACAAAGACGAAAGAGGGGAUGCCAUCCGAGGCAUCCCCAAGCUUAGGCUCUUGGUUGUCCUUGAAUAUUACCUUGGGGUGCCUUGGGCAUCCCUAAUCUUAGGCUCUUUCCACUCCUUAUUCCAUAGUCCAUCGAAUCUUUACCCAAAACUUGAAAACUUCAACCACACAAAACUCAAAACAAAACUCAUAAGUUCCGUUAGUAUAUGAAAAUAAAACCACCACUUAGGUACUGUAAUGAACUCAUUAUUUAUUCAUAUUGGUGUAAAACCUACUGUAUUACAACUUCUCUAUGGUUCAUACCACUUAAUACUAGCCAUAGAUUGAUCAAAAUAAGCAAACAACACAUAGAAAACAGAAUCUCUCAAAAACAGAACAGUCUGUAGUAAUCUGUAUCAAACGUAUACUUAUGGAACUCAAAAAAUUAUGAAAUAAAUUGAUGGACCUGAGAAAUUUGUCUAUUAAUCAUCUUCAAAAAGAAUCAACCUAAAAGCACUCUCCAGUAAAAAAUGGCAGCUAUUUUCGUGAGCGCUAAAGUUUCUGUUUUUUACAGCAAGAUCACAUAAACUUCACUCAAGUCUUCCCAAAGGUUCUACUUGGCACUUUAUUGAAACAAAAGCUAUAAAACAUGAUUACUACAGUAGCAUAAUUAUGUGGACACACAAAAACAGUAAGGAUAAAUAUUGGGUUGUAUCCCAACAAGCGCUUUUCUUUAAUGCCUUUUUAGCUAGGCAUAAUGAUGGCAAUGAUGCUGACAUAAAAGAUAAGAAUUGAAACAUAAAGAGAGCAUCAUGAAGAAUAUGACUAGCACAUUUAAGCCUAACCCACUUCCUAUGCAUAGGUAUUUUGUGAGCAAACAACUUAUGGGAACAAUAAUCAAUUAGCAUAGGAAGGUAAAACAAGCAUAGCUUCAAAAUUUUCAACACAUAGAGAGGAAACUUGACAUUAUUGCAAUUCCUAUAAGCAUAUAUUCCCCCCUUACAAUAAUUUUCAGUAGCAUAAUGAAUGAAUUCAACAAUAUAACCAGCACCUAAAGCAUUCUUUUCAUGAUCUACAAGCAUAGAAUUUUUAUUACUCUCCACAUAAGCAAAUGUCUUCUCAUGAAUAGUAGUGGGAGCAAACUCAACAAAAUAACUAUCAUGUGAGGCAUAAUCCAAUUGAAAACUAAAAUCAUGAUGACAAGUUUCAUGGUUAUCAUUAUUCUUAAUAGCAUACAAUUCAUCACAAUAAUCAUCAUAGAUAGCAACUUUGUUCUCAUAAUCAAUUGGAACCUCUUCCAAAAUAGUGGAAUCAUCACUAGAUAAAGUUGACACUCUUCCAAAUCCACUUUCAUGUUCAUCACAAUAAGAUUCAACAUCCUCCAAAAUAGUGGGAUCACUACUUCCUAAAGUUGACACCCUUCCAAACCCACUUUCAUCAAUAUAAUCAUUAUAAAUAGGAGGCAUGCUUUCAUCAUAAUAAAUAUUCUCAUCAAAACUAGGGGGACUAAAAAUAUCAUCUUCAUCAAACAUAGCUUCCCCAAGCUUGUGGCUUUGCAUAUCAUUAGCGUCAUGGAUAUUCAAGGAAUUCAUACUAACAACAUUGCAAUCAUGCUCAUCAUACAAAGAUAUAGUACCAAACAUUCUAAUGCAUUCUUCUUCUAGCACUUGAGCACAAUUUUCCCUUCCAUCAUACUCACGAAAGAUAUUAAAAAGACGAAGCGUAUGAGACAAACUCAACUCCAUUUUUUUGUAGUUUUCUUUUUAUAAACUAAACUAGUGAUAAAACAAGAAACAAAAGGAUUCGAUUGCAAGAUCUAAAGAUAUACCUUCAAGCGCUAACCUCCCCGGCAACGGCGCCACAAAAGAGCUUGAUGUCUACUACACAACCUUCUUCUUGUAGACGUUGUUGGGCCUGGAAGUGCACAGGUUUGUAGGACAGUAGCAAAUUUCCCUCAAGUGGAUGACCUAAGAUUUAUCAAUCCGUAGGAGGCGUAGGAUGAAGAUGGUCUCUCUCAAGCAACCCUGCAACCAAAUAACAAAGAGUCUCUUGUGUCCCCAACACAACCAAUACAAUGGUAAAUUGUAUAGGUGCACUAGUUCGGCGAAGAGAUGAAGAUACAAGUGCAAUAUGGAUGGUAGAUAAAGGUUUUUGUAAUCUGAAAUAAUAAAAACAGCAAGGUAACUAAUGAUAAAAGUGAGUGUAAACGGUAUUGCAAUGAUAGGAAACAAGGCCUAGGGUUCAUACUUUCACUAGUGCAAGUUCUCUCAACAAUAAUAACAUAGAUAGAUCAUAUAACAAGCCCUCGACAUGCAACAAAGAGUCACUCCAAAGCCACUAAUAGCGGAGAACAAACGUAGAGAUUAUGGUAGGGUACGAAACCACCUCAAAGUUAUUCUUUCGGAUCGAUCUAUAAAAGAGUUCAUACUAGAAUAACACCUUAAGACACAAAUCAACCAAAACCCUAAUGUCACCUAGAUACUCCAUUGUCACCUCAAGUAUCCGUGGGCAUGAUUAUACGAUAUGCAUCACACAAUCUCAGAUUCAUCUAUUCAACCAACACAAAGUACUUCAAAGAGUGCCCCAAAGUUUCUACCAGAGAGUCAAGAACGUGUGCCAACCCCUAUGCAUAGGUUCAUUGGCGGAACCCGCAAGUUGGUCACCAAAACAUACAUCAAGAGGCACAUGAUAUCCCAUUGUCACCACAGAUAAGCAUGGCAAGACAUACAUCAAGUGUUCUCAUAAAAGACUCAAUCCGAUAAGAUAACUUCAAAGGGGAAACUCAAUUCAUCACAAGAGAGUGGAGGGGGAGAAACAUCAUAAGAUCCAACUACAGUAGCAAAGCUCGGGAUACAUCAAGAUCGUGCCAUAGAGGGAACACGAGAGAGAGAGAGAGAUCAAACACAUAGCUACUGGUACAUACCCUCAGCCCCGAGGGUGAACUACUCCCUCCUCGUCAUGGAGAGCACCGGGAUGAUGAAGAUGGCCAGCGAUGAAGGAUCUCCCCUUCGGCAGGGUGCUGGGAAGGGCUCCCGAGAGGUUUUUGGUGGCUACAGAGGCUUGCGGCGGCGGAACUCCCGAUCUAUCUUCUCAGUGGAUGUUUUUAGGGUACGUGGGACUAUAUAGGAGAAAGAAGUCAGUCGGGAGGUGCUCGAGGGGCCCACGAGACAGGGGGCACGCCCUACAUGGGGGGGCGCCCUUCUAUCUCGUGGAGUCCUCGAGUAUCUUCUGACUUGAACUCCACGUCUCCAUGAUGAUAUUCUUCCAAAAAAUCAUGUUGCCGAAGGUUUCAUUCCGUUUGGACUCCGUUUGAUAUUCCUUUUCUUCGAAAUAAUGAAACAGGCAAUAAAACAGCAAUAUGGGUUGGGCCUCCGGUUAAUAGGUUAGUCCCAAAAGUAAUAUAAAAGUGUAUAAUAAAGCCCAUAAUCAUUCAAAACAGGUAAUAUAAUAGCAUGGAACAAUCAAAAAUUAUAGAUACGUUGGAUACGUAUCAUAGAGGCAUUAAUAAUAUUACUAUUCGUUAUCGUCAUCCUAUUCCUAGGCUAGAUGAUAUGCUUGAUGAAUUGAGUGGCUCUACAAUAUUCUCCAAAGUUGAUUUGCGUAGUGGAUACCAUCAAAUUCGUAUGAAAUUGGGGAAUGAAUGGAAAAUGGCAUUUAAAACUAAGUUUGGAUUAUAUGAGUGGUUAGUCAUGCCUUUUGGGUUAACUAAUGCACCUAGUGCUUUCAUGAGAUUAAUGAAUGAAGUUUUACGUGCUUUCAUUGGACGAUUUGUGGUAGUUUACUUUGAUGACAUAUUGAUUUAUAGCAGAACUUUCGAGGAACAUUUGGAACAUUUACGUGCUGUUUUUAUUGCUCUACGUGAUGCAUGUUUGUUUGGUAACCUUGGGAAGUGCAUCUUUUGCACCGACCGAGUGUCUUUUCUUGGCUAUGUUGUUACUCCACAGGGAAUUGAAGUUGAUAAAGCCAAGAUUGAAGCUAUUGAGAGUUGGCCGUAGCCCAAAAUGGUCACACAAGUGAGGAGUUUUCUUGGCCUUGCUGGAUUCUAUAGGCGUUUUGUGAGAGAUUUCAGCACCAUUGCUGCACCUCUCAAUGAGCUUACAAAGAAGGAUGUGCCUUUUGUUUGGGGUACCGCACAGGAAGAAGCCUUCACGGUAUUUAAAGAUAAGUUGACACAUGCUCCUUUACUCCAACUUCCUGAUUUUAAUAAGACUUUUGAGCUUGAAUGUGAUGCUAGUGGAAUUGGAUUAGGAGGUGUGUUAUUACAAGAUGGCAAACCUGUUGCGUAUUUUUCUGAAAAAUUGAGUGAGCCUAGUCUAAAUUAUUCUACUUAUGAUAAAGAAUUAUAUGCUCUUGUUCGGACUUUAGAGACCUGGCAACAUUAUUUAUGGCUCAAAAAAUUUGUUGUACAUUCUGAUCAUGAAUCUUUGAAACAUAUUAAAAGUCAAGCUAAACUAAAUCGUAGACAUGCUAAAUGGGUUGAAUUCAUUGAGACUUUCCCUUAUGUUAUCAAACACAAGAAGGGUAAAGAAAAUGUUAUUGCUGAUGCAUUGUCUCGUCGCUAUACUAUGCUUUCACAACUUGACUUCAAAAUAUUUGGUUUGGAGACCAUCAAAGAUCAAUAUGUGCAUGAUGCUGAUUUUAAAGAUGUAUUGCAGAAUUGUAAAGAAGGGAGAACAUGGAACAAGUUUGUCGUUAAUGAUGGAUUUGUAUUUCGUGCUAACAAGCUAUGCAUUCCAGCUAGCUCUGUUUGUCUUUUGUUGUUGCAAGAGGCGCAUGGAGGGGGAUUAAUGGGACACUUUGGCGUGAAGAAGACAGAGGACGUACUUGAUACACAUUUCUUUUGGCCAAAGAUGAGACGGGAUGUUGAGCGUUUUAUUGCUCGCUGCACUACAUGUCAAAAAGCUAAGUCACGACUCAAUCCUCAUGGUUUAUAUAUGCCUUUGCCUGUACCUAGUGUUCCUUGGGAGGAUAUAUCUAUGGACUUUGUUUUAGGUUUACCUCGAACAAAAAAGGGGAGGGAUGGCAUAUUUGUUGUCAUGGAUAGAUUCUCGAAAAUGGCACACUUUAUACCAUGUCAUAAAAGCGAUGAUGCCGUUAAUGUUGCUGAUUUGUUCUUUCGUGAAAUUAUUCGCUUGCAUGGUGUGCCCAAUACUAUUGUUUCAGAUCGUGAUACUAAAUUUCUAAGCCACUUUUGGAGAUGUUUAUGGGCUAAGUUGGGGACUAAACUGCUUUUUAGUACUACCUGUCACCCCCAAACUGAUGGACAAACUGAAGUAGUCAAUAGAACAUUCUCUACUAUGCUUAGGGCUGUUUUGAAGAAUAAUAAGAAAAUGUGGGAAGAAUGCUUGCCUCAUAUUGAAUUUGCUUAUAAUCGUUCAUGGCAUUCUACUACUAAGAUGUGCCCUUUUGAAAUUGUGUAUGGUUUCCUACCUCGUGCACCUAUUGAUUUGUUACCUCUUCCAUCUUCGGAGAAGGUUAAUUUUGAUGCUAAACAACAUGCUGAAUUGAUUUUAAAAAUGCAUGAGUUAACUAAGGAAAACAUUGAGCGUAUGAAUGCUAAAUAUAAACUUGCCAGAGAUAAGGGUAGAAAACAUGUUGUGUUUGCACCUGGAGAUCUUGUUUGGUUACAUUUGCGUAAGGAUAGAUUUCAUGAUUUGCGCAAAUCAAAGUUAAUGCCACAUGCUGAUGGUCCUUUUAAGGUGUUGGAGAAAAUAAAUGAUAAUGCAUAUAAACUUGAGCUGCCUGCAGAUUUUGGGGUUAGUCCCACUUUUAACAUUGCAGAUUUGAAGCCUUAUUUGGAUGAGGAAGAUGAGCUUCCGUCGAGGACGACUUCAUUUCAAGAAGGGGAGGAUGAUGAGGACAUCAAUACCAUUGUUACACCCACAGCCCCUACUGCUACAUAUACUGGACCAAUUACUAGAGCUCGCGCAUGCCAAUUAAAUUAUCAGGUACUUUCGUUUCUUGGUAAUGAUUCUAAUGUUCAUGAGAAUAUGAUGCUGCCUAAAUUGGAUACAUUUGUUUUGCUUACAAAUGAAGGGCCUAGCUUGGAGAAGGAUGAACAUUGGAGCAAGAACAAGCAUGGAGAUGAUGGCAUGCGCAAGGGGAACAAGAACGGAGUUACAAGUGAUGAUUUCAGGACUUUGAAGCCACCAUAAUGGGUGCAUGAAGCCUUGGAAGAAAUAUACAAGAUGCCACUUCAUAAAUUUCGUCCCGAGGCUAUUCUAGGUGCUGCGUCACCUUAUUAUUGGGCCAGACCCAUGUAAUUUCGAAAUACAUAAGUAUAGGCUAUUUUUAGAGUCCGUAUGUGUGGGGAAACAAGAGAUAGGGUUGAUUUCGGACCCCUCCACCAAGGGCCACGAAAUCCCCCCCCCCCUCUUCCUCCAUAUAUACAGCCCUUAGGGCACCGUUUAGACUUUGGGUUUUGUUUAGAUUCAAAGUUUGCCAUAGUUGCAACUUCACGUACUUUGUUUGUGUUCAAUGACCAGACAAAGGCGUCACAGAACCCCACCUUGAUCAAUAAAGCUUUCAUCUUAUAUUCGCAAUUUCCAGAUUGCAAUCUCAGUUUCUUGCUUGUUCUUCGUUUGCUCGCAGGAAACAGGCCCUCAUGGUCAGGUUGAUCAUGCUCCGGCGUGGUCAAUAACCUCUCGGAGUUGGUUUAGCAAUUGCUAAGGCGCGACGUUCUCGCACGUUCAUAGUCAGAUCGUCAAAGUCGACUUCCACCAAAGCGAUAUCCAUCAUCUCAUCGAAAGACGGGACACCUUUCCCUCUAUCAUCUUCACCUUUCCCUUUUUCAUUUUAUCCUUUGGCAAGCACCUCGUGUUGGAAAGAUCCUGAUAUAUAUAUCCAAUUGGAUGUAAGUUAGCAUGAACUAUUAUUGUUGACAUCACCCAAAGUUGAGUACGUUGGGAGGCAAAAUUAUAAGCCCCUAUCUUUCUCUGUGUUCGAUUAAAACUUUGGACCCAUAAAUAUCACGUGAGUGUUAGCAAUUGUAGAAGACUAUAUGAUAGUUGAGUAUGUGGAGUUUGCUAAAUCAAAGCUCUGACAUAGACCCUUCCUGAAAAUAAGAUGAAUUGCAAUUGUUUGAUGAUUGAUAAUGAAGUUUGCUAGUUUUCAAGAAAGUUUAUGGUCUAUACUUUAACAUGUGAAUAACUUGUUACUUGAUCUUGAGAAGUUUUAUGAGAUGAACUACUGUUAUGACAUAUAAACAUGCUAGAAAAGGUGAUUGAAAUUAUCAUUGAUCAAACUUGUGCACCUGCUAGCAUUCACACUUCAUAAAUUCUUUCUUUUAUCAUUUACCUACUCGAGGACGAGCAGGAAUUAAGCUUGGGGAUGCUGAUACGUCUCCAACGUAUCUAUAAUUUAUGAAGCAUUCAUGCUAAUUUAUUAUCUGUUUUGAAUGAUUAUGGGCUUUAUUAUACACUUUUAUAUUACUUUUGAGACUAACCUAUUAACCAGAGGCCCAGCCCAUAUUGCUGUUUUCUUGCCUAUUUCAGUGUUUCGAAGAAAAGGAAUAUCGAACGGAGUCCAAACGGAAUGAAACCUUCGGGAGCGUGAUUUUUGGAACGAACAUGAUCUAGGAGACUUGGAGUUCACGUCAGAGAAGCUUCGAGGAAGCCACGAGGGUGGGGGGCGCCCCCCCCCUACUGGGCAUGCCCCCUGUCUCGUGGGCCCCUUGAGCAUCCCCCGACCGACUUCUUUCACCUAUAUAUUCCCAUAUACCCUAAAAACAUCGAAGGAGAAGAUAGAUCGGGGUUCCGCCGCCGCAAGACUCUGUAGCCACCAAAAGUCAAUCGGGACCCUGUUCCGGCACCCUCCCGGAGGGGGGAUCCCUCACUGGUGGCCAUCUUUAUCAUACUGGCGCUCUCCAUGACAAGGAGGGAGUAGUUCACCCUCGGGGCUGAGGGUAUGUACCAGUAGCUAUGUGUUUGAUCUAUCUCUCGUGUUCUCUCUCGUGUUCUCUCUAUGGCGCGAUCUUGAUGUAUCGCGAGCUUUGCUAUUAUAGUUGGAUCUUAUGAUGUUUCUCCCCCUCUACUCUCUUGUAAUGGAUUGAGUUUUCCCUUUAAAGUUAUCUUAUCAGAUUGAGUCUUUAAGGAUUUGAGAACACUUGAUGUAUGUCUUGCCGUGCUUACCUGUGGUGACAAUGGGGUAUUCACGUGAUUCACCUGAUGUAUGUUUUGUUGAUCAACUUGCGGGUUCCGUGACCUUGGAAAUCUAUGCAUAGGGGUUGGCACACGUUUUCAUCUUGACUCUCCGGUAGAAACUUUGGGGCACUCUUUGAAGUACUUUGUGUUGGUUGAAUAGAUGAAUCUGAGAUUGUGUGAUGCAUAUCGUAUAAUCAUCCUCACGGAUACUUGAGGUGACAAUGGAGUAUCUAGGUGACAUUAGGGUUUUAGUUGAUUUGUGUCUUAAGGAGUUAUUCUAGUAUGAACUCUAUGAUAGAUUGAACAGAAAGAAUAGCUUCAUGUUAUUUUACUACGGACUCUUGAAUAGAUAGAUCAAAAAGGAUAACUUUGAGGUGGUUUCGUACCCUACCAUAAUCUCUUCGUUUGUUCUCCGCUAUUAGUGACUUUGGAGUGACUCUUUGUUGCAUGUUGGGGGAUAGUUAUAUGAUACAGUUAUGUUAUUAUUGUUGAGAGAACUUGCACUAGUGAAAGUAUGAACCUUAGGCCUUGUUUCCUACCAUUGCAAUACCGUUUACGCUCACUUUUAUCAUUAGUUACCUUACUGUUUUUAUAAUUUCAGAUUACAAAUACCUUUAUCUACCAUCCAUAUUGCACUUGUAUCACCAUCUCUUCGCCGAACUAGUGCACCUAUACAAUUUACCAUUGUAUUGGGUGUGUUGGGGACACAAGGGACUCUUUAUUAUUUGGUUGCAGGGUUGUUUGAGAGAGACCAUCUUCAUCCUACGUCUCCCACGGGUUGAUAAACCUUAGGUCAUCCACUUGAGGGAAAUUUGCUACUCUCGUACAAACCUCUGCACUUGGAGGCCCAACAACGUCUACAAGAAGAAGAUUGUGUAGUAGACAUCAGUACCUCGUAGUCCAGGACACCGUCAGUGCCCCCUGCCCCCGUAUAUAAAGGAUGGAGGGGGAGGGGGAGGCCGGCCAGGAGGAGGCGCGCCAGGGAGGAAACCUACUCCCACCGGGAGUAGGACUCCCCCCUUUCCUAGUCCAAGUAGGUGAGGGGAAGGANNNNNNNNNNNNNNNNNNNNNNNNNNNNNNNNNNNNNNNNNNNNNNNNNNNNNNNNNNNNNNNNNNNNNNNNNNNNNNNNNNNNNNNNNNNNNNNNNNNNNNNNNNNNNNNNNNNNNNNNNNNNNNNNNNNNNNNNNNNNNNNNNNNNNNNNNNNNNNNNNNNNNNNNNNNNNNNNNNNNNNNNNNNNNNNNNNNNNNNNNNNNNNNNNNNNNNNNNNNNNNNNNNNNNNNNNNNNNNNNNNNNNNNNNNNNNNNNNNNNNNNNNNNNNNNNNNNNNNNNNNNNNNNNNNNNNNNNNNNNNNNNNNNNNNNNNNNNNNNNNNNNNNNNNNNNNNNNNNNNNNNNNNNNNNNNNNNNNNCAAUUUGGUUCGGGCUAGGGGGGAUGCGUGCCCCUAGUUGGCCGCCUCCAAUAUAUCAAUCUUUACAUCUCGACCAUUUCAAGACUCCUCGUCAUGUUCGUGAUCAUAUCCGAGACUCCGAACUACCUUUGGUACAUCAAAACACAAAAACUCAUAGUACCGAUCGUCACCAAACUUUAAGCGUGCGGACCCUACGGGUUCGAGAACUAUGUAGACAUGACCGAGACACGUCUCCGGUCAAUAACCAAUAGCGGAACCUGGAUGCUCAUAUUGGCUCCUACAUAUUCUACGAAGAUCUUUAUCGGUCAAACCGCAUAACAUACGUUGUUCUCUUUGUCAUCGGUAUGUUACUUGCCCGAGAUUCGAUCGUCGGUAUCUCAAUACCUAGUUCAAUCUCCUAAUGAUGUGAUCCCGUUAAUCAAAUGACAACUCAUGUCUAUGGCUAGGAAACACAACCAUCUUUGAUCAACGAGCUAGUCAGGUAGAGGCAUACUACUGACACUAUGUUUGUCUAUGUAUUCACACAUGUAUUAUGUUUCCGGUUAAUACAAUUCUAGCAUGAAUAAUAAACAUUUAUCAUGAUAUGAGGAAAUAAAUAAUAACAUUGGUAUUGCCUCUAGGGCAUAUUUCCUUCAGAAAGUGCGGUAAAACACUUUGUGUGGAGACGGUUUUUCGAGCGAAGAGGGUUUUGAUGGGACCAGGGCGUCGGACGCGUACGUGGCUGCUGUCCCGAUGCCCGCAAUUCCCCUGAUUUGCGUUCGGCUUACGGAAAAAUGGACAACCGAACCGGUCCGCAGACUAAUGAGGUACCACGUUGGAUAGCUAACUGCGCCGUAGGCGGUCUGAGAGUCCUUGUUCAAGAUGCCCUAACGUAGAAACUCUUUGCUGGUUCGUAUGCUUGCUCUGCAGAUAGGUUUUGGAUUAUCGAUUCGUGCCAUUUUGGUUCUCCAAUCUUCUCGGAAGCACGACACGAUGACAAGGAUGGCACGGCUAUUCUUGUGCAAACAAGCGGCCGGACGCCCAUUUCAUUUCAGCGUCCGAUCAGACCGUUGCCCGUCUGUCUCCCCGGAGGCAGUAAACUCGUUUCGUCCACUCACCCGCAGCAUGCAACUUGACCAGCAUUCACUCUCUUAGACGACCGUUGUUUUCCGUUCACUCUCAGACGACCUCUUGAACAAAAUUUGGAAUUUUUGAAUGUUUUUCGUAAAAAAUGAACAAUUUUUCAUAUGUUGAUUUUUUCUUAAAUUUGUGAUUUUUAACAACAAAUAAAAGGAAAGCAAAAAGAAUAUAUCUAAAGUUGAAAAAUAAACAUAAAAAGGAAAACAAAAAUAAAUAAAAAAGAAACGGAAAAUAACAAAAGAAAAAAGAAACCAAACAGAAACAGGUAUAUAAAAACUAUCUGUUCAAAAAUCCGGCUGCCUCACUAUGCGAAAGUGGGCCGGCCAAAUUCUCACACUUGAGAGGAUCGCAUGUGCGAAUGCUAAGAGUUUGACGCUGUAAGCAACAAAUAUGAAUUUUCCUCCUCCCGACGCCUUAAGCUCCAUGGAGAGUAGCCGGCACCACCCUUCAUGGGCGGAACCGACAAGGAGGUGAUCGAUCGCUCGCUCACCGGUUUUCCUGGUUCGCUGAGUGCGGUUGACCGGUUGGCUAACCGUUCCACCAUUGACUUUUCUAGAAAAUUCACUUUUAAAAGGAAUUCAAAAUAUCCAUCAAAUUCAAAGGUAUUUUGCCAUUUUAAAAAAAGUUCAUGAAUUCAUAAAAAAGAUCAUUGAUUUCUAAAAAAACUCUGAUUUGAAAAAAGUUCAUCGAUUUUGGAGGGAAAACAAGAAUUUGAAAAGAGUUCGUGGAUUUGGGGAAAUUUUGGAUGAAUUUGAAAAACUUCAUGCAUUCUGGAAAAAAAAAAGUGCUCGCAUUAGGAAAAAAAAUCCUGAAUUGAAGAAAAGUUCAUGUGUUUUGGAAUACAAUUUUAAUGAAUUAAAAAAUUUCCCCAAAAUUUAACCAGAUGGCCAUUUUGGCCUAACGUAGAAACCCUCUUUGCUGCUAGUUCGUACACUUGCUCUGCAUAUAGAUUUUGGAUUAUCGAUCUGUGCCCAUUUUGGUCCUCCAAUCUUCUCGGAGCCACGACACGAUCUCACAAGGACGGCACGACUAUUCUUGUGCAACAAGCGGGCCAACGCCCAUUUCAUUUCAGCGUGCCAUCAGACCGUUGCCCAUCUGUCUCUCCCGGAUGCAGUAAACUCGUUCCGUUCAGUCACCCGCAGCAUGCAACUUGACCAGCAUUCACUCUCUCAGACGACCGUUGUUACUUCCGUGAUCCCCCUGUCGCCGCAGCACGAAAGUCUCCCCCAUCUCCGGCUCUCCGGCCGGUCACCUGGCAAACGCCAAAGGCAUGCGACGCGCGGCCAUUCCCAAGUACUAAACCAUCGUACCACGGCUGCAGCCGCCGCCCGCGCGCAUGCAGGCCAUGUGGCUCCGGCCGUCGGGACUGGCACGCAAAGUGGACGACGGGGCGCCCCCGUCCGUCCGGCCACACAUCUCCCUCCCCCUAGCCGUUAGAAAAUCGAUCGAUCGGCGGCCAUGGCCGCAAGGAUCCAACCAUUGAAUUCCCCCUCGCGCACGGCAGAGCACGCACGUAGGCACGUAGCAUCGAUCUGUAGCUCUGUCAGUUGCCACGCUUCUCUUCUACAGGUUCUUCUUCUUUGGCAGCCAGCCAGCACAGCACGUACUACGCUUUAACGGCUCUCCUCCCGCCGGCCUCGCCCCCUUGCAUUCGGGCGGCCCCAUGCAUCGUGCCGUAGGCCGUAGCUACGGGCUAUGGUCCCUUUUUUCCACCAGGCCCAACGGUCAGAUUCGGCGAAGCUGCUACGGAUGCACCAGUGAUGGGCGCGCUAAUGACCAAGAUCGUCGUGCUUGUCGUCAUGGCAACGUAGUAGAUUGUAACGCACGGGUCGAUCCUCCGGAGUCCGUCUGUACUAUACUUCGUAUGGACCAUGGAUCAUUCGGCGACAUUUUAUCCGUAACAGUACAAAAACUGUACCGCUAGUCAGCUUGGUAACUAUAGCUAGCGAACUUUGUUUCAGAGACCUACUCCUAACUAGUAGGGCUAAUCGGAGCGCGCGCGAGAGGGAGAGAGCAGAAGUGACGGCGGAGCCCGAGAGAGAACAGCAGUGAUGAAUCACUGACCGGCACGGACAGGGCACGCUGAGCACCGGGCCCCGCCGUCGUAACUGCUGCCCCGGAUGACCGUUUCUCCCAUCUACAACACCGCCGUCCCGUACUCCUACUGUGAUGAGUGAGUGCCAUGUCAUGCAUGCUGCGUCGAUCACUGAUCCAUCAUCGCCAGAGGAGAAGUGCAAUUUUUUCCCCUCAAAAGGAGGACCGGAAUAUUUCCCUGAACUUUCUUUGAUCACACCAAAGCUCUUCCCAAUCCCCGCAAGAAGAGACAUUGCGAAACCAUUUUAUCCAUUCGAUCUGGCCAAAUGAAGGAGCUUAAGCCGUUGGUAACAAAACUACUAUACGAGUGUGAGUUUAGGAGCCGGUGGAGCAACGGCCAAAACGAACAAACCAACCGACGGCACGUCGCCACAGAUGUCUGCAACUGCAAAGGGAGUAAUAGUAGUCCUGUGGAGUACUGCACAUUCAAGCCUUCAGCUGCAGGCCAACCAAGCCACCGGCGCCGCAACGUUCGCCGCGUCCACGUGCCGCCACCGCAUUGGCCUUUGCCCGGCAUCCUAGGCCUCCUUCCCCUCCGGUCACUCCAUCGGUUCACGUCUGCGCCCGUCACAUGCUGUAUUUAACCUUCCGCCCGUUCGGCUCCGACACCACCUCACUCGCCUCGCCUCCGCCGGCCACUAUUAAACCACGGCCUGCUGCUGACUCCAGUAGACACACCUCACUCACCUCCUCACUCACCCAGUCGUCGAAGCAUUGAUCCAUCGGACGGUGCUGCAAGCAGCUAGUGAGUGCUGCAUUGCCACUGCAUUAGCUUAAUCACUUCCAGUCAGCCGCAGCGCCGGCUUCACCGCCGUUGCCGGUCAGGGCAGCAAUGGGGCUGUCGUCUGUGCUUCUGCUGGCGCUGCUGCUCUUGCCGGCGGUGGCGUCGGCCGGGCACCACGACUACGGCGACGCCCUCCACAAGAGCAUUCUCUUCUUCGAGGGGCAGCGCUCCGGCAGGCUUCCACCCGACCAGCGCCUCCGCUGGCGCCGCGACUCCGGCCUCCACGACGGCGCCGCCGCCGGCGUACGCACUCUCCUCUUGCAUUAUCCUGAUCUACAUUUUCUUUUUUACAGAAAGUGCUGAUGGUUCCAUGGCAAUGCUGCCUGCAGGUGGACCUGACGGGAGGGUACUACGACGCCGGCGACAACGUGAAGUUCGGGUUCCCGAUGGCGUUCACGGCGACGCUCAUGUCGUGGGGGCUGAUCGACUUCGGCCGCAGCUUCGGGCCGCACAAGGAGGAGGCGAGGAAGGCGGUGCGGUGGGCGACGGACUACUUCAUGAAGGCCACGGCCAAGCCCAACACGGUGUACGUGCAGGUGGGCGACGCCUUCAAGGACCACUCCUGCUGGGAGCGGCCCGAGGACAUGGACACCCCGCGCACCGUUUACAAGGUCGACCCCUCCCACCCAGGCUCCGACGUCGCCGCCGAGACCGCCGCCGCCCUCGCCGCCGGCUCCAUCGUCUUCCGCGACGCCGACCCCGUCUACUCCCAGCGCCUCCUCGACCGUGCCAUGGCCGUAAGUCGCAAGCCUCGACUCUGACGACUCAAAUGCACUGUAUCUGUCAGCUGCUCUGACAUGAAAGAAUCAAACCAACGAGCAGGUGUUCAAGUUCGCGGACAGGUACCGGGGCGCCUACAGCAGCAGCCUCCACGCGGCGGUGUGCCCCUGCUACUGCGACUUCGACGGGUACCAGGACGAGCUGCUGUGGGCGGCGGCGUGGCUGCACAAGGCGUCGCGCAAGAGGGUGUACCGGCAGUACAUCAAGAAGAACGAGGUGGUGCUCGGCGCCAGCGACUCCAUCAACGAGUUCGGCUGGGACAACAAGCACGCCGGCAUCAACGUCCUCAUCUCCAAGGUAGGCACUAGUAACAUACAGUACUGCAUUGCUACUCCACUGUCUCCUCUCCAUGCGGCACAACAUUUCCUGAGAAUAGGAAGCAUUGGCACUUUGGCUGUUUCCACCAUCGAUCUUUGGUUUCCCCACAGCACAAGUUAUGCGAUAUUCCUUCCGCAUGCAACUUUGGUCUUUGUAUGCAGUACAGCUACUGAUGAUGAUGGUAAAAGAGUACUACACAUAAGAUAGCAAGCCACUCGAUCUAAUGAUGGACUGUCUUGCCUGCUGCUUUUUUUACACCUUUAAGCUUUGCAUGUGGAUUCAGUUAGUUUCUGACGAUGCAUAUGCAUAUGGCCACAUCUUGCCAGCGGAUCAGCCAUUCUGAAAUUACCCCGACGGCAGAUGCUACUGAUUACUGAAUCUGCAUGAUGCCCCGGUUCAGAUUAGAUUAAUCAAUGACCAGGCAGUAGUAAACUAGUAAUGGAGUGUGCAUGCAUUCUGAUUAUGGUAGUGCACGGUGGUGGCGUACCACCAAAUAGGAGACGAGGAGGAUGCUUGUCUGUUCUAUCUUGGCCUCCUCCUACCUAGGCCCCUGUGCUCCGCACGCUGCCGGCGCAGCAAACGGUAGCAGCACCUUUUAGGGGCUCACGGGUCCUCACUCUUGACUUGUCAUGCCAGUCCAGAAUCCAGAAUCCCCCAUGUUCUUCCUGCCAUUUGAAUCAAGUUACUACCAGCUAGUAGUAGAACUAGAUCAUGCCUGAACUUGUUGCCAAUAAUAUUUUCUCGUGUUCUUGAUUGACCAGGAGGUUCUAAUGGGGAAGGACGAGUACUUCCAGUCCUUCCGCGCCAACGCCAACAACUUCAUGUGCACCCUCCUCCCCGGCAUCUCCGACCACCCCCAGAUCCAGUACUCCCCAGGUUUGUUGCACCAAACACAGCAAGAAAAAAAUGGGCUUCUUGUGAACUGGUGGAGUAAUCAAGAAAUGGGAUGCAGGCGGGCUGCUGUUCAAGGUCGGGGGCAGCAACAUGCAGCACGUGACGUCGCUCUCCUUCCUCAUCCUGGCCUACUCCAACUACCUGAGCCACGCGGGCGCGCACGUCUCCUGCGGCGCCGGCAGGUCUGCGCCGCCGACGAAGCUCCGGCAGGUGGCCAAGCGGCAGGUGGACUACAUCCUCGGGGACAACCCGCUGCGCAUGUCCUACAUGGUCGGCUACGGGCCGCGGUUCCCGCGCCGGAUCCACCACCGCGGCAGCUCCAUCCCGUCCGUGGCGGCGCACCCGGCGAGGAUCGGGUGCAAGGCCGGCGCCGCCUACUACGCCAGCGCGGCGCCUAACCCGAACCUGCUGGUGGGCGCCGUCGUCGGCGGGCCCAGCGACGCCACCGACGCCUUCCCCGACGCGCGCGCCGUGUUCCAGCAGUCCGAGCCCACCACGUACAUCAACGCGCCGCUCAUGGGCCUCCUCGCCUACUUCUCCGCCCACCCCAACCCCGCCGAGUGGGCCGACGACUAAAACCCAGCAGGAGGAUGAUAAUAUAUGAAAAAAAAAGAUGCCUCUGACUGACUUCGGCGUACUGCAGGAGUAGUGCAGUAGUAGUACUAAAGCUCAUCAUUCAUUUGUUUGGUUUAACUGUAACUAAUUACUAUUAUUAUCGACAGCCAUUUCCUCUCCUGCGAAAAAGAAAAGAUCAGGGGGAUGUAUAGGCUGUAUCUGCAAUAUUAUACUUGUAAGAGUUAGUGUGCUAGAAUAUUGGCACUAUGUAAAAUGUUUAUCAGUAAAAGAGCUUCUUGUUUCUCUGACGUCUAGGAAUGUUCACUGGUGGCUACAGACAGAUAGAAAAAGAUGCUGACCGCAAGCCAAUGAGAUCACAUGACAGAUGUUGAGUUAGUACUCCCUUCAUUUUUAUUUACUCUACAUAUUAAAAUUGACUGAAGUCAAACUUCGUAAAAUCAAGUAUAUAGAAGACAAUAUCAACAUUUACAAUAGCAAAUUUAUAUGACGGGAAAGUGUAUUCAAUAAUGAAUCUAAGAUAUUGAUUUGUCAAAAUUUGGCUUUGACCAAAGCUAAUAUAUAGAGUAAAUAAAAAUGGAGGGAGUACUUGUUGGUGUUGUUGUAUUUGCAAGUGGUAAGAUUCAGUGUGCGUGGUGGGCUAUAAUCAAUUAGAGAAGUAAAAGUCUGGUUUUACUUCUCUCAGGACCUAGCCGAACCCUUAAAAUCGUUAGAGUACAAUUUAUCCUUCAUCGCUUAUCCCGCACAUAUGUACUCCACCGCUCAAUGACAUAGUAAAAAAAACUUCACCCUUCUCUCCCACUUGUCCUCCCCAAACCCCGCUGUCGGCGAAUCCUCGCCGUCCCCCGUCGCCCUAAUGGCCGGAUCCCGUGUCCACUAGUCCCCGCCGCCCGUUUGCAGCGCGGAUCCACGCCGCCACAAGCACAACACGGAUGCGUCCUCCUCGCACCGCCGCCGCAACACUGCAACCCCUUUGGUGGGUUGGUCGGCUUGCUUGCCCUCCCUGUGCCGCCACCGCCGCAGAGGAAUUACCUCGGUAUCCGACAACGGUCGUGGUGGACGUGGGUGGCCGAAAUCACGAACAAGGAGACCCACAAGAAGCAUUGGGUGGGCUCUUUUCACACCGCUGAGUUCGCUGCAAAGGAGUACAACCGAUGACAAGUCCGGUUGCAUGGCGCCGCCGCCUGCCUCAACUUUGCGUCGGACGAGAGUCCGCUGCAGCCUCCGCCGCCGCGGGGGGUGGGGGUGCUGACUAUCGGGGUGGUUAGGGAGGCACAGGAGCGCAUCGCGACGGAGGCCGCAGACGAGGAGUACAUGGCGGACCUCCGCCGCAAGUACCCCGAGCUGGUGGAGGCGGAGCGCAGGGCCAACGGGGAGGUCAUCGUCCUCUCGGACAACUAGGAGGGCGGCGUCGUAGAGGAUGGCGAGGAGGACAGCGGCACGGAGGACGACAAUGACUUCAAUGUUGAAGAAUGGUGGUGCAUCUUCCUCGAGAGCAGUGAUGAUGGCACAGGGGCGGACACCAUGGGCGAUGGGAUGUCGCGGGCGGAUUGGCUCGCCCUCUAUAAGGGUGACGAUGAUGUUUAGUUUUAGUUUUAAAUUCAUGUUCAUGUUUAGAUUUAAAAACUAGACUAUGUUUCAGUGGAUGAUUAUGUACAUUAUGUGUCGACACCGACAUAGAUUUUCUCCGGCAAGGUUGCACCACCGCCGUCGUUCUUCUGCCCCACCCUAACUGUAAGAUAGAUGGUGGGGUAGCCCGCCAACGAGCUCCUUCCUUCACUCCGGCCUUUCUCUGGCGAACUUCUUCGGCCAUCUCAAAAUCGACUGACUCAAAAGCUAAAGUCAGUAGACUGCAUUUCGCUAAUGUGGAAAUGUUUAGUAAUAAGUCAACUAAAAAAGAAAGAGGAAAUGUCUAACAAGUGGAAUAUAAACAUAGCUUCUAGUUCCUCUGAGGCUAAAUUUCAUGUUUUGACCCUUUUCCUAAACAAAUUCAGGAUCUGACCCCACUUUGAAAUAUUUUCGGGAUUUGACCAUUUUGCUACCGCCAGAGCUCCUGGCGGUAGGGUUAGACAGCCUACCGCCAGGCACCAUGGCGGUAGGGUGUGACGGAGGGGGACGGCAGCCGUCACCGCGCGCUGACGUGGAUAAGUACCUUACCGCCAGAUAACUUGGCGGUAAGAUGUCUAACCCUACCGCCAGGUGCUCUGGCGGUAAGGUGUGGCGGGGUUUUGCCGUACAUGCAUUCUGUAACGAAAUAUGCUAGGACCCAUGGCGGUAGGCUGUCUGACCCUACCGCCAGGGCGCCUGGCGGUGGGGUCCUGCGUUUUGCCAUAUAAAGUUUCUGUAACAAAAUAUGCAAGGGCCCUGGCGGUAGGUUCACCCUACCGCCAUGGUGUUUGGCGGUAGGUUGUGUAACCCUACCGCCAGGUUUCCUGGCGGUAGGGUCCUCUGUUUUGUUUUUUCAAGUUCAUUUGGUUGCUUGUUCUCAAAUUCAAUAUCACAGCAAGUAUCACAAAUAUAACAACAAUAUCAUAGAUUUUAAACAAUUAAAUUUGGGCAUCACGUAGAUCCAUAUUAAGAUAACUUGAAGUGCAUAGAACAUUUCAAACACAUAGAUCCACAAAUAGCAAACACAUAGUUCCACAUAGUUUCACAACCACUAGACAAGUUCAACCAAACUAAAAGAGCCAAGUAUCGAAGAGCAUAAUCAGUUGCUCCUUCCCCUCUUGGAGGUACGGUCCUCGUUACUCUUUGAACGAGCCUCUUCGGUCUUCUUCUUGGGCCGGCGAGGAACCGGUCUCUGGAAAGGGUCCGGACUCAGCAAAUCCUUCUUCUUCGGAUUCCUCUUCGGCAGCUGAGAUGCCUGAGAUGUUUGAGUUGGUGGAGGUCCAUAAUCUUCAUCGUACUCCUCCUCCCCGUUGCUCUCAUCCUCCUCCCCCUCCUCUUCUUCAUGUGUGGCCUCCUCAUCCUCAUCCUCUUCCUCCUCCUCCUCCCCAACCAACCUAGACGACGAGGGAGCAUGGCUCGAUGAGCCGAUGAGACCCUGUGUGGCUACAGGCUGAUAAGCUUCAACUGACCCAGCUCCAGCACACCCAAGCAGCCCUACCAGCUUGCGACAACGUUGCACGAACUUCUGCACUCACAAUGAAGCAAGGUCAUAAUAAGUAUCAGAUCGACUGACUGCAAGUGAACAAGAUGCAUCUGUUCCGAGGAGGCUGAAAUUGUACCUUCGUCGUCCCCCUAACUCUGGUCUCAGAUUGUACGCUUCCGGGAAGAUGACCUAAUGCAUCUGAGGCUUCAAAGAUGCAUCUGUUCAGCUCACCGGACUGCAACGGCAUAAGUCAGUCACAUUGACGAAUAAAAUAUUUUAAAUACGACCGCUGGUUCAAACGUACCACUCUGUUGAUGAGGGGUGCAAACUCCCUAAAUCUACUGUGCAUGUCUCUGAUGCCGGUCUGGUAUGCCUGUUCAUCGGGGUCAGCCCACUCCAGCUCCGCGAUGUCUUCCGCCGUCCAUCGAGGCCUGAGACGAAGACGGUGCUUCUGGCCAUCAUCGUACCACCUCAUGUGUCGGCCCAGGUAAUCAUCCCUGUUAGUCACUCUCCUCUCCACGUCUUUACGCCACCUCCGUCGGUUCCACUCUGUCACAUGAGUCUUAUGCUCCUCUCCCCAGUCUGUGAUCGACUGAUUCUUCUGCCGGCUCAUCCUGCAAGGCAUAAGCAACAAGAAUCAUCAUAAGCGCAAUGAGAUCAUCAUAAGCAACAAGAAACAUGAUAAUCUCACGGAGAACAAAGAGCUCACAGGUGCAGCGCGUGGCCGCCGGUAUCGGUGGGCUGGCCCGGUGGGGUAUGCUGAUAAAUCCCAAACUGCGUGGCCACGCGUUGUGGCAAAUGCCACUCGACGGCGUACACACAGAUCAUGGGCACGAUGCACCGCCAGAUACCACGGUCCGCAUCGCACAUCACGUUCAGAUCAAAGGCCCACUCUCGUUCUUGUCGAUACGGGCACCAGAUUACCUAUUACAUAUACCUUGGUAAGUUCGCACUCUCGGUCAAUAGAGGAAUCAAAGAGAAAGGUGUUGUGCGAGUUCAUAUACCUGCGUGUGCGUCAAAGCGUCUAACUCGUUGGUGUAGGUCUUGUACGAAGUCUUGUUUAGGCCCGUGUAGAGUUUGACAACGUCCCACUCGUAAGCUACAGUGGGGUUUCGGGUCUCGUCGCCUUCUUCGCCAUAGUCUUCCGAUGGGCGUCUUGGCAACUUCUCCGGACGCCCCACCGGCAGCCGCUCCCACAUCCAAAUGGAGAAGGCCCAGACAAAGCCACCCAUAUUGGACUUUUCUUCCGUCCUCUGCGUUGCGUCGUCAAGCUGCAAAACAUCAAAUGAGGAUCAGAUAUAAGAAAAUGUCAUGAACACACUUUCGUAGGUAGGUACGCAAUUAGACACUCUCUUACCGAACGGUAUAGGUAGGCGAGAGAUGCCGUCCCCCAACUGUACCCUGCAUCCCAGUCCGCUAGGAAGAACAAAUACGCCCAGUUGGCAGAGUUCCCAGAGCUGUCUGAAAACACGACCUCCGAGAGAAUAUACCACAGAUAGGCCCUCGCGUACAACUCCACAGUCGCCUCAUCUGCGCCUUGGGGGCAUGUUCUCCGGUGCUCCGAGAGCCAGAUCAACGGCACACCGGAUGUACGGUUACUCUUGGCACCGGGGCAGUCGCCGAGAGGGUGGUGACCCUCUCCUGCCAGUUGGCCCUCUCCACUCGACCGGUGAGUGCAUGACCCUCGAUCGGUAUUGUAGUAAUCAUCCCCCAGUCCUCUAGGGUCACCGUCAUCUCCCCGCAUGGCAGAUGGAAAGAAUGGGUCUCCGGUCUCCAACGGUCAAUCAGAGCUGUGAGAGCCGCGUGGACAAGCGUCGGCGGCUGACGCUUGAACUACAACACGAAACCCAACAGACGGGCUCUCUUGAAGAACGGCGCGUAGCGCUCGUCGUAGUCCAUAUGCCCAUGAACCCCGUGACCCCUCAUGCGCAGUGGCUGGAGCGUCUGUCAAAAAUUGAACGCCAAAAAGUUAGGAAAUCAUUUUCAUCAAUCCGAGAACUUUGAUCAAAAUUUCUUUCAUAUCACUUACCUCUCCGUUCUCUAUGAAACGGGCACGAUGACCCUUGUCGAAUGCCCAGUCCAGCAUGCAGUACCGUGGGCCGAUGUUGUCCGCAAGAGGUGGCCGCCUUAAUAGAGUUUCAAUAAACAAAAGCACCAUAAGCAUAAGCAUACAUAAACAAACAAUGAACUCAAAUCAUAUGAAGAUAAAAUUUUAAGCAUAUUCCUCCAACAACAUCUACUACACAUGAUGGAUCAAAUCAUAUCAACAUGCAUCAUAUCAAAAAAAAAUCCAACAUACAUCAUAGCUUCAUAUUUUUAAACAAAAUUUUCCAAACAACAUCUUCAUAUCAUCAUAUCAACAUGCAUCAUCAAACUAGGGUUCAUCUUCACACUAGAUCAUAUCAUCAUAUCACAUGCAUCAUCAAACUAGGGUUCAUCCCUUUAUCAACAUUACAUCAUAAAUUUUUUAACAAAAAAUUAUGAACUAGGGUUCAUCUUCACACUAACAUAUGAACUAUUGAUUAGAGUACAUAUCCAAUACCACUACUUACUAAAGAACUAAGAACUACAACUACAAUCAAUCUUAGGUGAAAAAAAAUCAAUCUUAGUUCCAUGAGGAAUUUCAAGCAAAUAAUGCGUCGAAUCGGUAGCAAGUUUGCAAAAACUAAUUGGAGGGAUCGGAGGAGCUUACGGUUCUCUCCUCGGGGCCAUCUCGAUCCGCCAAAACGGUGAAGAAUCGGUGAAGAUCCAAGGGGGGAGUGAAGGAGAUGAGAGAGGGAGAGAGGGGCNNNNNNNNNNNNNNNNNNNNNNNNNNNNNNNNNNNNNNNNNNNNNNNNNNNNNNNNNNNNNNNNNNNNNNNNNNNNNNNNNNNNNNNNNNNNNNNNNNNNNNNNNNNNNNNNNNNNNNNNNNNNNNNNNNNNNNNNNNNNNNNNNNNNNNNNNNNNNNNNNNNNNNNNNNNNNNNNNNNNNNNNNNNNNNNNNNNNNNNNNNNNNNNNNNNNNNNNNNNNNNNNNNNNNNNNNNNNNNNNNNNNNNNNNNNNNNNNNNNNNNNNNNNNNNNNNNNNNNNNNNNNNNNNNNNNNNNNNNNNNNNNNNNNNNNNNNNNNNNNNNNNNNNNNNNNNNNNNNNNNNNNNNNNNNNNNNNNNNNNNNNNNNNNNNNNNNNNNNNNNNNNNNNNNNNNNNNNNNNNNNNNNNNNNNNNNNNNNNNNNNNNNNNNNNNNNNNNNNNNNNNNNNNNNNNNNNNNNNNNNNNNNNNNNNNNNNNNNNNNNNNNNNNNNNCGGGGCAAAUAACUGCCCGGACCCUACCACCAUGGCCCCUCGCGGUAUGGUUAGACAGUCUACCGCCAGGGCCCCUGGCGGUAGGGUGCGACGGAGGGGGACGGCGCCGUCUCCGCGCGCUGACGUGGAUAAGUUUCCUACCGCCAUGGACCGUGGCGGUAGGCUAUCUAACCCUACCGUCAGAGGCCCUGGCGGUAGGCAAAAGGGUCAAAUCUCGAAAAAAUUUCAAACAGGGGUCAGAUCCUGAAAUACUUUCCAAAAAGGAUCAAAACACGAAAUUUUGCCUUCCUCUGACGGUUCUGAGGAAAUGUUCACGGGUGGCUAUAGCAUCUGAACAGAUAUAUAGAGAGAAAGAUGAUGACCGCAACUAUCAGCCGUAGAGAUCACAUGGCAAGCUUCUGUUCACGGGCGGCUACCGAUCGAGGAUCCACUUUGAUGAGCCUUUCUGGUGUGCGUAGAGUACUUUUUUGUCUCUUGCUUCCUGGUAGCCCUCUUUUUUAUGAUAUGAUACACUGACGACAUGAUCAGGUCAUCAGGAUCUUGCAUCUUGCAAUGGAAACGCAAUGAAAUUCUGCUGCUGUAUGAUGUCAUUGUCACAGCGAAGAAACGGAAAUUCUUUCGAUCAUCCUUGCGACUUGGGAUACAGAAGAAUGGGAUCACGCCAUGGCACUUGAUGUGGUAGUGAUUCCAUUCAUCAGUACAAUCAUCGUUCAUCAAUUGCAUCCGCGUGUGAAAGUUAAGGAGGGAAACGGAGCAGAAAAAAUGACAGAAGAAAAACAAAAACAGCGUGACCCGCUGAAACCAUUUCCACAGUUCCAUUCAACCGUAAGCAC
rnacentral:lncRNA from 1 species